rnacentral:lncRNA from 1 species
CCUCAUAUCAUUCACAUUUAAGCCCAAAAUCUAAAUAAAGUUAGAAAAGAGUUUAAGGAUAUUAUCCUUCAAUAAUCCCUAAAUAAAAGCAAUAAUGUUUGUUUUGUUAUAAAAUAUGAGAAUUAUUGCAUUGUAGAACUUGUGGAUGAUCACCAUAUUGAUGUAAUUAUCUUCCUGAAUCUCUAUAAAAGAAGGAAACCUGCUAAUGAAAUAACAUUCUACUUUUUUUUUAGUAUUUAUGUUUAUUCUCAUUUCUUUUCUUCUUCUCAUUAUUUUAUUUUACGACAUAUUAUUAACAUGACGCUUUGAGUAUGCAAAAAAAUAAAAGAAUGCUCGAAAUAGAAAAAAAGAAAAAUUCAUGUAUAAAAUUUCUUAUAAGGACAUAUGUAGCCUUAUUUUCUUCAAAUGAAAUAUAAAAAGUAAUAUGUAUUGUAUUCUAUUAUUAUAAUUUUUAUUUAUUUUAUCUCAUAGUCAAGCUAUGUAAAUCAUAUUUCAUAGAAUCAAGCCAAAAGCUUGUAAUUUUAGAAUUAAUUAUUUAAUAACUAGAACUUAUAUAGAAAAUUUUCAUAAUCUGAAGUUAUGAAAAUAAUCUUUAUUAACCAUUGCUUUAUAUUCAGAAGCUAUGUAAGCCAUAUUUUAUAUAAUCAAGUCAAUUGUAAUCAUUGGUAAUUUAAUUUUAUAAUAGCCAAAAGUUAUAUAGAUAAUUUUUCAUAACCAGAAAUUAUAGAAACAACCUUUAUUAACAAUUAUUUCAUAGCCAGAAGCUAUGUACACAAUUUCUAAUUCUCUUGUAUAACUUCUAGUUAUACAAAACAAAAUUGUCAAUUAACAACUAUACAACUAGAAGAUACAGAGACAAUUUUUAUUUUUGUUAUAUAACCAGAAGUUAUAUCAUAAUAUAAUUGUCAAUUGUUUAAUGUUAUUAUAACAUUACUUAAAUUUUAAUUAUUCAUAACCUAAAGCUAUGAAGAAAAAGUUAAUAAAUUAAUAAUUAUUAAAACUCGUGUAUUUAGAAGUUAUAUUAAAAUAUUUUAUUAUAAACUUAUACUAUAUAGCCAGAAGCUAUAUAAGUAUUAUUAUUAUUCAUAACCUGAAGUUAUGAAAAUGAGAAAAUUAAUAUUUUUUGUACUAAUCAAAAGUUAUGUCAAAGUUGUUAAUAUGUAUUUUCUUAUGCCUAGAAGUUAUAGAGAACAAAAUUGUUAAUUAACAAUUUUAUAAAACUUUAUGAAAUUCAUGUAACCAAAAGUUAUAAUAAAAUAUAUUAUACACUGAAGCUAUGAUAACAAACAUGUAGAUAAUAUUUACAUAUUAUCAAAAGUUUAAUAUUUUGUAUAUCAAGCUAUGCAAAUAGAUAAGUACUUAAUAAUUUUUUAUAAACUCUUAUUAUUAGAAGUUAUACCGUCAUUAGUAGAAAUAUUUAUAUAUAGAUUUGGAAUUUUGGGUUACAUGAAAGUAUGAUAUUUAUACUUAAUAUUCUUGUGUUAGAGGUAAUAUUUUGGAAUAUUUUAUAGUCUAAUUGUUUAAUACACAAUAAUCUUUUGAUAUGAUAUAAUAAUUGAGAUUAAUUUUAAUCUAUAUUUUUCAAUAUCUAAAGUAAAAUAUGUUUGUUAUUCGUAUAGAAAGUUGAGAUUUUUGGAUAAUAUAUGUACUUAUAUCUUGAAAAUUUUAAAUAGCAUAUUUUUAUUUAGUUGUAUAUGAUUUCAAUUGUUAAUGUUCUGAAAAGCAUGUAUAAGAAUUCCUCUCAUGCCAAAGAGGUUUGGAUUUACUUGUUGAGAAUUUAAUACUGAAAUUAUGUGUUAAAAAUAUUGGAAAUUAUAUGAGAAAAUUAUUUUUCCUAAUAAAUCAUUAUUAUGAUGCAAUUUUCCUUUUAUAUGGAUCUUGUUUAUAAAAAUAUGGACAUAAGUAUUAUAUUUAUAUGGAGAGACUUUAAAAUCUAGUCAUCUUUUAAAUACAUAUUACCAUAUUUAUUUUUCCUUAUUUGAAUUUAGAAGAUAUUUAUUUAAAUAUGAAAAGAUUUCAUUUUGAAUAUUAUAAUAUUAAGAAUAUGCAUUACUCUAGUAUAUCUUAGAAAAUAUAUGUAACAUUUCAUAAGAUUUUGUACAUAAAUAUCUAUGUUAACAUAUUUUAUAAUUCUUGAAAAUUUGAUGUUAAUACAAUAAUAUUAUUUUGAUUUUAUGACAUGAAUGUAAAGAAAUAUUUUAAAUAUGGUAUGCAUAUUUUAAUAUCAUGCUUGAUGAAGAAUAAAAAUUUUGUUUUGAUAUAUUUGUAAUAUAUGGAAACUUGUACAAAUAUGUAUGAAUUAUAUAUUUGAUUUAUGAUUUAAUUUUUAAAGACAUUUUUGAAAAUUUUGAUUACAUAAUUUGUUUUGGAUACAUGUGAAAUAUAUGACUCAUUCAUAUGAUUAAUAAUUCGAUUUUAUGUGUCAAUUUUCUUUAAAACAUUUUUUUUAUGAUUGGAAACUUUUGAUGUUAUAUAAAAUAAUAUAUUAUUGCAUAUUGUCAUAUAUGGUAUUUUUACUAAUGCAAUAAUUUCGUUAUCUAAAAAUAAUUUUGAAAUUACAAUAUUUUCAACUAUUGUUUUUAAAAUAUUUUGUUAUACCUUUGCAUAAAUAUUUAGAUAGAUUUGUUAUGCUUUAAUUAAAGUUUUGAGACAUGGAAAAAUUGCAAGAUGCUUUAAAUCAUGAUAUGUUCUCUUCAAAUUUUGAUUUAUGAAUUAAUUUUUUGAAAUUGAUUUAGAUCAUAAUAACAUUUAAAUAAAAAUCAUUUAUCUAUCAUUACAAUUAGUUCGAUUAUUGAAAUACUUCUUAAUUAUUUCAUGCAUAAAUUGCUCCACACUUAUGAAAUCAAAUAUGUGAGAUAUUUAAGAAAUAUAUAACUCUAAAUUAUAUUUUUCAUAUUUGUUUGGUUGUGUUAUAUAUGUUUUCAUUGCUUUUAUAUAACUUAUUAAGUCGGCUUCUCAUUGUUAAGACAUUGAAUCUUAUUUGUAUGUUGGCAAUUUUGUUCAUUUUACUGUUUGGCCCUAGAAGUCUUUUUAGAUGAUAACUUGCUCUCCAUUGAAGAUCAAGGGUUGUUGUUCGUCCAAUCGGGAAAUCACAAGUAUGUCUAAAAAGGUGUCUCUUGUGGCAAGUUAAGUACUUAUGAAGUAUAAAGAAGAAUGAUAUUUUUUAAAUAAACAAAAAUUGAUUUUUUGUAAAAGUUUAAUGAAACAGGGGAUGCUCGAGCAAGCAAUAGCACUCAGGCGUUGGGACUACUCAAGUAGUGGUUAGGUGCGCUCGAGUGCUCAUAUAUUUCUUACUAAAAAUUAGAGAACAUUUUUUAGAAUUUGACACAAAUUGGAUUUGGAAACCUAUUUAUAUCAAACCUCUACGAGUUAUUUGCCUAUAAAUACCUCAUUAUAACCCUUUUGGGGUAAAAGAUUAGAGAGAUUUCAAAAAAUUCUCCUAAAAAGAAAGUUUAAUGAGCCACACUAUUCUCAAUCUCUCAUCAAAGGAUUCAAACUUUGAAUCUUAGGUUGAAGACUGUUAUCCCUUCAACAAGGUUGAAGUGUAUUCAAUAGAGCAAUCAAAGUUAUCACGUCAUAGAUGUAAAUCAAGUUGUAGGUAUUGAAGAGUAAGUUUUUAGGGUAAAAUAGUCAAGUAAAUCUAUGUAAUUUGAUCUCAUAUAGUGGAUUUAGAUUAUCGGUCUUAGACAUCGUGGUAUUUAUUCAUUUAUUAUUAUUUCAUCAUUCUUCUAUUUAUUUAUUUAAUUUUAUAAUUUGAAGUUAAAAAUCUACUAAUAAAAAAGUUUUUGAAAAAGGUAGGACUCUUUAAGUUAUGUGCUUGAUUCAUUUUUGGAAUUUAAAAAGAGUUUUUUGGUGGAUGAGACAUAAAAUUCGGAGAAAGGAGAAGUCGUCAGUUGGGACGGCUGCCAAUUGCUAUAAAAAAGCACAGGCUGGUGGAUUUGAUUUUUUUUCUCAGAUUGUCUUCAUAGGGAGAGGAAGGAAGCACGACAAAGCAGAGUAAGAGAUCUGAGACGAUAUACCAGCGGGGAUUUUCUUACCAAGGGUGAGUGUUUCCAGGUACGUUUUCUAUAGACCGUUCCUUCAUUCCCAUCAUCUUCUCGUUAUGUAUUGAUCUUCGCGGGAUUUUGGGUCUUGUCUGGAUGCUAGGGGGUAGAAUGACAGAGGUUAUAUGUUUGUUUGCAUUUCUACUUGAUUGCUUCUAUAGAUGUUGUUGAUUUCUCCCUUUGGAGUUCUCUAAUUUUGAUUUAGGGCUGAAAGGUUCUAUUUUUUUUUCCUGUGCAUUACAUGAGAUCUAUGGCUGUACUUGUUUGGUGGAAUCUGCUCGUACUUCUCUCACCAUUCCAAGCCCAUUGAAUAAGCAUGAAAUGUGGCAUUAUUGUGUUCCUGUUUUACUUGUUCUUUUUUUCCUCCUCUCUGUUUCAUUCCUUUCCCGUUUCUGCACCUUCCCCUGUUUUUUCUUUCUGGCGGUCCACCGCGGUUAUUCCUUCUGGACAAGUUUUGAUAUAGCGGGUGCUGGGGCAUUUUGAAGUGCUACACUGAUCCAUCAUUCUUUAAAGCAGAAUCAACAUCCUCUGGGGUUGUGAAGUUACAGGUUCAGAGGGAAAAGAAAAGCCGCAAAGGAAAGAAGAAAAGAUAUCGCUGGAGGAAUGGAGAAACCCCAGAGGUUUUACUAGCGACACAUGCCAAAUUGCAUCAGUUGUUUUAUGGAAGAUCGUGUUGAGAAUGGUACUGAUGGUCCUGCAAGGCUUGUGAAAUUGAAGAAAAGGCAACUGAAUGAAUCCCUCUUUGAUUCAAAAAACUGGGAGAAGUUACAUGGAGAAGUUUUUGGAAACUCAUUUGCCAGGGUAUGAAGUGGUUCAUGAAAUUUGUGCUAGUCCACCCUCAUUGAAAUUGGCAUCCAACAGUCGUCAUGAGCUAGGGCUUGAAAUACUUGAAAUCAGUACAGUCAAUCCUUCCAAGGAGUCAUUGCAGAGGAAGAGUUCAUCUCCUCGUGGACAGGAAAAGGUCCAAAGACCUUUCAUGGAUGAGGUGGUUGAAGAAGCCAUUGAUGGAGCAAUUUUGAAAGUGCCUGAGUCAAACCCUGAAGGUGAAACUGACAAAAUUUCCUCUAUUUAUAAGGUGUUGGACGAAAGGGAAGUACAAGUUGAUGGGGAAAGCAAAAUAGAAGGCAAUGUAAAUGGGUACCAUUCUGAUGAUGUCACAAGUGACAAUUACAUGGAUGUCCUUAAUACUAUGGAAUCGGAAAUGGAAACAGACAUUGAGAAUAAACCUAAGAAAAAGAUGGGUUUCCUCAAUGUUUAAAAAAAAAUGGGACUGAUUCUGAUGCAAAUGAAGAAAACCAGGAACUUGGAGCUCAGUUUUCAGAUUCUCAAUCAAAUGGAGACUCUACACCAUCAAGGGAUGGGAGCAGUUUGUGCAAGAAAGGAAGAUCUAGUAUUUUCAACUCUGAUAUAAGUAAUUUUUAGCUAAGAACUCACCAUCCAAUGGUGAUGGAGUAGUUGAAGUGUUCCCUUGUACUGAUAUCUGUGUGGAUGAGAUUGUUGAUGUGCCACCUAACCAUCUUUCCAUAAAUGAGGAGUCCAAACCCAAAUCUCAUGAGCAUGUAGUGCCCAAUGAUACAUGCAUUGAUGUAACUGAUGUCCAUGGUUACAGGUCUGAAUUUUUAGAGGCAUCUUGUACUUCGUCUCCUAAAGAUUUGAAUGUUAUGCUUUCGCCUGUGAAUUGUGGAAAAAGUUUGAAAGAAGUUUCGGUGGUGGAACCAGAAUCGGAUGGAAUAUCCUGUGACCAUAUUAAACCUAGUACUGAAUUUUCAAAUGCUGUUGACAAUGAGACUGAUCUGGGUGACAAAUUAUCUGAUGCAAGCCAUCUCAAGAGCAAGUUAGAUGGUGCAGAUCCAAAUGUCUUUUUUGAUGCUUUGUUGCAUCUUUCAAAUGUUUCAGAUUUGGAUCCCAAAAAGGGAAGCAGUGAUAUGUCCAAUGUAUCUUCUUGGACAGAUGAUGACUUCUUCAGAGUGUUUUGCACAAGCACAAAGCCAUCCUGUGGAUGAAUCAUAUGGUGGCGAUCCAAAUUUCCUUUCUGAUGUUCUGCAGCUCAUGUCAAAUGCUCCUGACCUGGCUCCUGAAAAGGAAAGUAGUGACAAUUUUGUGAAUGAGGUUCUACAAACGGAAUGUGGAAAUGAUUAUUCCACUGAAAUGUUGGUAAGAUUGAUUCACCAAAACCUAUUACGUUACCUGCAGAAGAUCAGCUUCUUGGCUCAACCUUGUCAAGACCACUGCCUGACUGUUCACCUGCUUCUAUUGCUUGUGAUGCUGAUGUCAAACCUGUUUGCAUUGCCUCCGAAAUUGAUGCCAAUGUCCCAGAAAAUGGAUUCAACUUAAAGAACUCAACUCCUGUGGCAGAUAUGCCACAUACCCUUCUCUUACAGAGCAGUGGUCUUCGGAAAUAACAGUUGGUGGUCCUCAACUUGAACUUGAUAUUUCGGAGAUGCAUGUUUCAUCCUCUGGAGAGAAAAUGAAGCUUGAAGGGGGUUUCUGGUGCCUCAGAUGGUGAUAAAACACAUGGGUCCACCUGCAAUGAGGAUACAGUAGGGAGAACUAUAAUUCCUCUUUAGUUUUCAUCCAAUCAUCCAAAUUAUCCUGGUCUUGGAGAUCAUAUACUCUCAAGUGAUAUGGUAAUUGAAACAAUUAAAGCAAAAACCGUGGUUGUAGGUGCUGCUAGUAGUGCUAAUAGUGAAGAUGAAAUUCCAUCCAAUAAUCAAAAUUGUCUAGUUCCAAAAAGAUCUUUUAAUCUCAGAUGAUUCAAUACCUGAGACAGUUCAAGCGGAACCUGUAGCUGUGGCUGCUGCUGCUGCUUCUUUUGGUGCCAACGGUGAAGAUGAUUUUCCAUCUGGUUAUCCAAAUUAUCCAGAUCCUAAGGAUCACUUAAGCUUGGAUGAUUUAGUAACUGAAUCAGUUCCUGUGACAUGCUCUGCUCAUUUUGCUACCAAUGGACUACAUGGCUGUUCACUUUGCAAAGAUUUGCUGGCCAAGUUUCCUCCCAAUGCUGUUAAGAUGAAGCAACCAUUCUGUAUGCAACCUUGAGAUUCUUCUCCAAAGCUUGUCAAGAAAAUGUUCAAGGUCCUUCAUUUUCUAUAUACUUACUCUGUAGUAGUUGAUAGCUUAGCAGUGGAUUUCUCCCUCAUGUGAUUAAAAACUGCAAGUUUCUUGGGUUACUUCAAUCGGUUGAACAAAAUGAGUUUGUGCUGAAGUUUUGGAAGAGAUCUCUGGAUUCUUUAACAUGGACAGAAAUACAGCGUCAAGUUUUGGUUGCAACUGGUUUUGGUUCAAGAAAAGGUACCUUGCGGAAGGAAGCCCUUGAUAAGGAACUGAAUCCUAUGGUAAAGUAUGGCUUACAUCCUGGUACUUUGAAGGGUGAACUGUUUAGUAUUUUAUUGAAUCAAGGAAAUAAUGGUAUGAAAGUUCCAGACUUAGCAAGGUGUGUGCAGAUUUCUGAAUUGAAUCUUGCUGGCACGACUGAGGAGCUAGAACUUCUAAUAUAUUCUACUCUUUCAAGUGACAUUACAUUAUAUGAAAAGAUUUCUAGCUCUUCAUAUUGUCUACGCAUUACUUCUCACAUAAAUGAAGCUGAAAAUUUUCAAUCAGAUACUGAUGACUCUGGAAGCAUUGACGAUGACUCUAAGGACAACAGAAAAUAUAGCAGUAACAAUGAUUCUGACUCUGAUUCAAGAACUCCAAAUUUAGGGAAACUGAAUUAUAUGAACCAUCAUAAACAGAGAAAGGGCAUGUUGACUAUAUAUACUGAAAUUGAUGAGACCUAUCCAGGAGAAGUAUGGUUAUUAGGAUUGGUGGAGGGUGAAUAUUCAGAUUUAAGCAUUGAAGAGAAGCUCAAUGCCUUAAUGGCUUUGGUUGAUCUUGUUAGUGGUGGAAGCAGUAUCAGAAUGGCAUGAUCACCACCGUUGAUCACACUUCCAUUGUUGACCAUCUUCAUAGUCGUCCAACUGUCUGCAACCGCAGAUGGGUUGUACGGGCCAUUGUCGCCUGUGGUUCAGCCACAGCCUUCCAGUUUUGAUAAACCUGGAUUAAUUGCUUCCCCACUACCACUGGCACCAACCCAUGAGUAUGAAAAAGCAAAAGCAUAGCUUCAUCUCGAUGUGUGGCAGCUAUCAGGUUGGUGGUAAUUCACAGUCAAGUCAAAAAGGACAGUAGCAAGCAAGGCUCCAAAACAACGAGAACCAGAAGUAAGAUGACCAAUAUCUUGUGCAAUAGGUGAAGAACACUUCAAAUGACAUAUUCUGAUUAGAUACGGAAUGAGGACUCUCUCCAGGUAGGAAUUAUAAUGGUAUGGAGAGGAUGGAAAGUCACAAUGCAAAGCUGUUCUAUUGAUUUAGUUUGGCAGUUGACAGCUUCAUUUUCAAAUGGCGGAUUUCCAUAGAUAAGGAGCUUUAAGACAUGCCAAUAAAUUGCCAAGGUGCCUAGUGAGGGUUGUGAUCUAUGCCUAGAUGAUUUUGGGAUGCCCAGUUACAGCUUCUGAAUGCGGGUAUCAAUUGAAGGACCUGAUUCACUACUUUUUUUUGCUUUUGAGAUAAGUCUUGAAUAGGCUUUGUAGCCAAAACAGUGGCAUAUGACCUGGUACUUGAAGUUGCCAUGAAAAUUCAGCAUUUUCAACAGAGAAAUUUAUUAAUCUAUGGGCCUUGGAAGUGGUUUCUGACCAAGUUUACAUCAUAUUAUGGUGUUUCUGAUGUAUACACCAAAGCUAAGGUAUUUAUCUUAUGUCAUGAAUGUGGCUACACCUACAGCUGACUGUCUGACCUUAGCAUAUAAUUUGUUGCUGCCCGUUGUCAUGAAGGGCCACAGUAAGAGUACAUUGAGUCAUCAAGAGAAUAGAAUCUUAGGAGAAAUCAUGAAUCUAAUUGAACAGAUCCUUGCACUAGUUUUUGAGAAUUAUAAACCACUUGAUGAGUCAUCUGUUUCUGGGAUUAUAGAUGCUUUCAGGCCAGCAACUGGGCUUGUUGCUCCUGCGUUGGAACCUGCUGUAAAGUUGUACACACUUCUUCAUGACAUCUUAUCUCCUGAAGUACAAAAUCAUCUAUGCCACCAUUUCCAGGCUGCUGCAAAGAAAAUAUCAAUAAAGACACAAGCACUCAGUUGAAGAAAAUCGUUUUUGAGCGGGUUGACGAUAGAAGCAGAACUCAGAUGUUAAUACAAGAGAAAUUGCUUAUGCACAUUUCCAGAUCAGAUAAUAAGUUGAAAUUGCUCUUCCACCAGCUUUUUCUCUCUUUUGCCAUUGUGGGGCAUCGUUAGAAUGAUGACAGUGGUUCUACUUCCUCCAAUGUAGUAAACCCAAACGACCUCUCAUCACUCUCUGAACCUGAAUCAGAAGAAAUAUUGGAAGACAUCAGUGGGAGUGCACCAAGUUCUGGCUUGGGUUGUGAUGGCAGUAGCAUGAAAACAGAAACUUUAGGAAGAGAUGGCAGUGGAAUUCAUUUCUCCACAGUUCUUUUAAGUGAAUUGAGUUUGCUGACAGUGACAACUGAUGUCAGUAUGCAGAAUUCCAUUUUAGUAAUCCAUAGAAGCAUCCUCAGGCAACCCUAGUAAUUCAGUCUCAAAAGCAGCCCAGACACUAAUUCAGCUUGGCCAUUUUGGUACACUUCCUCUGUUUGCUUCUUUGAUUUGGACAUCUACUGUUUUGAAUAGAAUUUUCAAAUCAUUUUUCAAUUAAACAUUUCUAUAUAUCUUUUUAAACUCCCACCUUAGACUUGUUAUAGGCACUAAAAUCUUUAUUUUUAACAAACUUUUUGUUGCCAUCUUCCUUCCGGCAUGCAUUUUCACUAUUUUCUUUGAAUUCCAACUAUUUUCUUGAUUUUCUCGAUUUUCCAUAAGCAUGAGCAAACUUCAUGAUUCCAAACAAUGAAAUUCAUAGAAUCAACUCAUGCAAAAUCAAUUAAGGCUUUGGUGGGGGCCCAACAUCCAUGAAAUUUUUUUUCACUAUUGUUAGUUCGAUAUUUGAUUGAUUGUGCUUCCUAUGUGUGAAUGCAUGAGAUGAUUUUACUCCCAUUAUUGAGCUAACCUUGUUCCCCAUUUUAGCGCUUAGAUUGUUGUCCAAGUACGCUCUCCAUCACCCCAUUUUCAAAAUUCCACGAAUAUCCAUGUCUUUAUGUACUAUGCCCUUGUUUGAUGUCUAGCUUGAUUGCCUUGAUAUAUAUUUGAUUAUUUGGUCAUCUUUGAUAAAAAUGCAUAUUGUGUACUAUAUUUCUAUACUAACCUUGAUAUUUUAUGAUAGCACUUGGAAAACAGUCUAGGUACACACUUUGACUCUCUUUUAUGAUCAUGAUUUGACUUUUUGGCUUGGCACGAUAAUUCUGAAAUCACUUUAGUCUACCUAGGUAUCUAUAAUCAACCAAUUAAUUGCGUCAUUUCCCUCAACUUAGUUAGUAAAAACCUUUGUAGGGUUUAGAGGAGUGCUAUCUUUUAGAGGUACCUUCCCAAUUGGUAACCUAAUCCCCGGAUCUUGACUCGGGUUUUUCAAAAACACGUUUUUCCAAAAAAAAAAAAAGAACUAUGGAGUCAAUUCUUUAAGAUUUUCUUUCUUAUUUUAUUUUCCAUUUUAAAAUAGAAUAAAAUAAGUGGCGACUCCAAUUUUUUCAAAACUAAUUUUUUACCAAUAAAAAAUGAGUCUCGCCAUUGAGUAGGGACGCAUGUGAAAAAUGCGGGUCCACAAGGUUACAAGAGUUUUCCUUUGUAGAGGCUCUUUAUGCUGAUAAUAUGUUACAGAUAAAAGGAAUAAUGAAGAAGAAGAAAUAGAGUUAUAAAAAAACUAUGAGGUAUCAUUUUCAUUAAUCUAAGUCUCUUAUUUACAGGAGUUAGGAAAAGCUAGAAUUAAAUACACUAUUUAAUUCUUUACGACAAAACACAAAAGUCUUCAUAGGUAACUUUGUGAUCAUUCACAAUUAUCGUUAUACAUUUAUAAAAAAAAAGUAUUAUAUGUUUAAAAAUUAUAACUUUGGUAAACCCAAAAAUAGAAAACUAUUUUAAAUGUAUCAUAAUCCAUUGAGUUCUUAGGUUAACUUAAAGGUCUCUCCAACUCUAAAUUUAAACCUAAUUCAUUUAUUUUUUAUCACAUUACUUAAUAGUGUCUAUUAAAUCAUAAUUAUAUUUUAUAAUAAACAUUAGAAAUUAUUUUAAAGGUAUAAUCAAGUAUUUAAAAAAAAAACAAAUAUCCCAAGAAUUAUAUGCAUUUUAAAAUUAAUAGAUAAUAAUAUUAAAUAAGUCGUUUUAAAAUCUUUGAUAUACAUACAUAUAUACAUAUAAAAAUACAUACACACACACAUAUAUAUAUAUAUAUUAAAAAGUCAUAUAUUUAAAUUAAUUUAAAAGAAUAUUAUUAUAAAUUAUUGUUUUAUUUUUAAUUGUAUAUAGUAGAAACUUAAAUAAAAAUAAAUUUCUUUGUUUUUUCAAUCCCAUCACAUUUACUUUUUGUAUGCAUUUCCAAGGGACAUAAUUUUUAUUCUGCAAACCAAAGGAUGACUAAUUGUUAACCUAAUCCUAUUCGAUAUUUCAACUUAAAAAAAAAAAAAAAAAAAGACAAGAAAAAAUCUAUCAAAAUUUCAGGUUCAAUCAUGAAUUAAAUUUUUUUUAAAAGAAAAGAGAACAAAAAAAAAAAAAAAACAAAACAAAACAAAACAAAAAACAAAAAAUGGUUAAAGGAAAAAUUGUUAACAGUAGUAUCUUAAAAAUAUGAUUUAUAUUUAUUUUUCCCUUUUUGAUUUUUUGUCCACUUAUAAUAACUGUGCGUUGGGUGGAAGAAAAUCAAAACAAAACAUUGAACAUCGAAAUAUUGAUCCACUGGAGGAAUAAAUAUAAUUUUUUAUAAAAAAAUAUUUCUUCUAAUAUAAUAGUUGAGAAAUUAUUUUUAAAUUUACAGGAGUUUGUAGGGUGAAAAAUAAAAAUUGAUUUUCCAAGAGAUGAUUUGUAUUGAAGUUUAAAGUUGUCUUUGAAGAAAAUAACUUCAAAUUUUAAAAUUUAUACUAAAUAUGUCCCUUCAAAAGUCAUUUCUAGAAUAUAGUUAUGUUGAAGUCAUUUCUUCUAGAAAUUGACUUUUCUAUUUAACAUCUUCCAAACUACAAAAGAUUAUGAAUAGCUUUUCAAUUACUUAUGUAUCUUAAGUUACUUUUACAACUAUUAUCUUUUAUAAAUACUAGUAAAGAAACUAGUAAAAAAUAAAUAAGUAAUUGAUUACUACCAAAAAAUGCUAUUUUGUAGAUCUAAUUAUAAUGGUUUUAAGCACCUUUAAGUAGUAAUCAUAUUCAUUUAACCCAAUUAAUUCGUUAAGGUCCUUAGUAAUUGGUUUUAACCAUUUUGUGGCAAGUUUACAUGUUUUUAUCAGCUUAUGAAUCGAUUCAAGCAUGCCAAUUGAUGGAGGAGCUAUUUGGGCGAGUUAAACAAGGAUUUUGGAUGAUUACAGGCUUGAAUUUCAAGUGGAAACACGAGCACAAGCAAUGGAGAAGAGGAAAACAGAGUGAAGAAAACAGAGUGAAGAAAACAGCUGCAGUCUUCUUUCGCACUUUUGAAGCACUUUCCGAAGUCCAUUUUUUGCAUGCUAUAUACCAUUUGAAAGCUUAGGAAGUCAAGAAUCCAACGCUUCAAACCGUGUAUGAUUUGGAGCUGAAAUGAGGAAGAUAUGGCCUUCGGAAGGCAACUGCAUCAUGUCAAAUGACCAAUUUCGCAAGGUGAAUUUCACAUUGCGAAAAUUUCGCAAGGAGAUUUUCUUCAUGGUGCGAAAUUUUGCCACUUCGCACCAUGAAGAAACACCUUGCGAAAAUUUCGCAAGGAGGAUUUAGGCACAUUGCGAAAUUCCUUUGAAUCCCCUGUUUUGAGACGUUGUUGAUGUUAUUCCACUACCGGUUCUCCAAGAUAUUUUGCUUGAUUUUUAGUCUUGUAAAUACCUAUUUUACCCUUGUAAUCAACCAAUGAAUAGGUUGCUUUUGUAAUAGCUCUUGUAAUUUAGCUUGUUAUUGUCUUUAAAUAGAGGUGAAGAGCCUCAGAUCAUCUAAUCUUGUAACCUGUAACUUUAUAAGUUAUAAGAGCACUUUUGUUCAUAGGUUUCUUUUCUCUUUUCUUUCUCAUUUUCUUAGUAGCCAAACAUCCUUGGAGGAUGAAAUCCCCAAGGAUGAGAGGCUAAAACCUUUUAGUUUCUUGAAGUAAUGGAUGUCAUGUGAAGCUCCCGUGUCAGGAUGGAGAUUUCCAAGCCAUGAAUGUAAGUAGCUGAGCGUCAUAAAUGUUUUCAUUCAAAGUAAAGCUUUUAAUCCCUCUGACUUGCUUUGAAUGGCCAAUACUUGAUAAGCUUUUGGUCUCAGUGGAUUCUUAUUGUUAGAUCCACUGACGUUCAUUAGUUAUCUCCUACGAGCCAUUGUAUUGCAAGUCGAGGAGAUGACCUAUAUCAUUAAAAGGGCAUUUAUGAGGUUCAGCUACCCUUUUUGUAAGUUUUCAAGGACUAAAACUCAGUUGUUAAACUCAUACCGGUUCGGGAAGUAAGCAUCACCUUAGUUGCUUCCCCAACUCGAGGUGAAAAGUCCUAAAAUCUCCAUUUUUACACAGUGAGUUAAGCAUGGCUAUCCAAAGCUUUGAGAAACUUCUUUUUCCAUCUUUUAACCUAUUUUCAUGUUAGUUUAGUUUACAACACCUUCAUCUUUUUAUGUUUUCAUCUUAACCUAAUUUUUAUUAAGAAAAGUUCACUCCAUCCUCCGAACUUCACCAGUUAAAGUAAAAACCCUUCCCAGUGUUCGAUCCUAGAGCCACUAUGCUAUAGUAGCUUUGCUACUUUAGUGUAAGGACCUUUGGUAUAAAUUUUGUUGAUACCCUUACAUGCCAAGCUACCAAGAGUCGGGUUAUCAGUAAUAUAUAUUUAUUUAUUUUUGUUAAAAAGUUAACUUAAAAAUAAGGAAGUUAUAAAAAUAGAAAAAUAUAUUUGAAGUAUAAAAUUUUAAAAUAUAACAUUACUUAUAAAUCAAAACAAUUAUUAUUUUUUUAUAGAAAAUUUUGAUUAAACACAAUAGGUAAUAAAUAUUACUCUAAAAUUUGCUAUGGGUUUUCAACAAAAAAAUCAAUGAGUAAAAUAAUAAAUAAUAAAAGAUAUUUAGAAAAAAAAUAUUAAAGUAUGUGAUUAUAAACUAUUGUUGUAAUAAUUCGCUUUCAACCAUGUAAAUAUUAUUUGCCUUGGGGUUUAAAACCCUCAUAACUUUAAAACACAUCUACAAGGUUAAGAGGAAUCUAUACAUAUAUAACAUCGAAUUUUUUUUCCCAUAUCCAAUAUGGAAUAUCACAAUCACCUCUUAUGCAGAUAUAAUAUUCUCAUUAUGUCUUGUGAGGCCAAAUAGACAGACAUCCUUAUAGGGACAAAAUAAACCUUCACAUUAGGGUUGGAGAUUAGCUUUGAUAUUAUUUAUAACGACCUGCUUCCAAUUAUCUAGUUAUUGUUCGUUUUGGGCCUAAAAGGCCCUCAUGGAUUUAAAAAACAUUUACAAGCUUAACACGAGUCCAUACAUAUAGCAUAAACAACUUUUUUUCCUAUUCAAUGUGGGAUAUCAUGAUUGCAUCCACUAUUUUUCUUUUGUUAGGUUUGGCAAGCACAAACAUGCAUAUAUAAAACCCACUUUAGAAGGUUUCAUUACCCUUUCGAUCUUAAGAUAAAAUAAAAUUUCCUAUACUACCUCCACACAUAAAAAAAAUAAAAAAUUACAAUUUGUUUCAGGCAAUGAAAAUGUUCAACACAAGUUCCUUAAGAAAAGAAAGAAUUUACAAAAUUACUAUAAUCAUGACCAAAAGCAUAUAAGUUAAUUGUUCUAAAUACAAUGAUCUCCUUUUUUUUUAGGGUCAAUUUUAGAAGAAAAAGCCAACGAAGAUUACAAGAAAACUCCAAAAAUUUGGCAAUAUAUGCCAACUAUUUAACAAAAUCAAUAGUCAAUAUUUUCAAACAAAAAUAUUGCAAUAAAUGGGUAUUUUUUUUCAUUGAUUUCAGUCAAUUAAUUUGCAACUUCAAAUUUCAAUUUCUAAACCCUUUUUAUUAUAUAAUCUCUAAUCCUUAAAAUGAGUCCUUACAUUGUGAUAGUCAACUCAUAAGGUUAAAUUAUUACUUGCAAUAAACAACCCUACACUUGGGAUGAACACCACAUAAUAUCCAAGUUCAAGCAUGAAGAUUUGUGUAGGUUCCGAUCGGUAUAAGACUCUAGGAAGUAGGACCAUCAAGAUAAAGUAAUUCCAUGUACAUUCCUUUCAUAUUUAGUGAAUUUAUUUGUGGUCAUUUGACCUUUUUUUUUUUUACAUCUAUGAAAUUUUUAGGAAAGUUUGUAUGUAAUUUUUCCAUGUUACAUUUAGUGUUCUGGUAUGAAAUUGAUAAACUUUUAAUUAUUAUUGAUAGAACUUGUAGAAACCUACCCUAAAAAGGGUAGCUACAAGAUAAUGAGCCCACUUGAGAGUGAAAUCUGUAGUGGAUUCACAAUCUCAAUAGAUAAAUACAAAGCCUGAAAAGAAUAGAACUUAACUAAGCGAUGUUGAUAAAACAAUAACAACUUGAUAAAAUGAUAGUGGAAAUAAAAGAUUACAAGAUAAGCUACAUCACCUGGAGAAACUAAAUUGAAACUAGAAUAUAUAAAGAAAUGGGCUAUAUGUCCCAUAUAUCUAAUAAGGAAAAACAUUUGAGCUAAGUGCCAAGUAACUUUCUCUAGAGCUAAUUUUAUUUUUUCAAGAGGCACACAAAAAUCCUUACCUAAAAUAUAUUAAAAUCUACAAGAUGAACUUAAAGUCUACAGUUACAAUAUACAAGUAUUAGAUAAAAACAAUUCUAAAACAUAUCAUAUGAUACUUUGGAGUAUAGAAGCUAGCAUAACAUAAUCAUAACAGUAUUUAAAGAAAGUAUGUAAUGUAAAACAUGUAAUAAUAGGUUUGGACAUAUCCAUGGUCAAUCCAUUGGCUAUGAAUAAGCCUACUACCCAUGGCCGCCACACAUUAGCACAAUCUUUAGGGUCAUACUAUCUUAGAUCACAAUACCAAGGGGCUUUAUAAACCCUCCAUUUUGUCCUCUUAGCACAUGUAACACUAGAUGUUCAUCCUACUCCCCUCUUGCCCCAUAGUCAUCCCUUGGUGGUCCAUUGACACUCAUUUGGGUUAUUAUUUCUGAGCUACCUUCAAGGACCUUUUAGGUUUCAUCACUUAGAUACUUUUCUAGGCUUAGUUUCACUUAGAUUUUUUUUUGUUUAUUUAUUUAUUUUUUUGAUUGCUUGAUUUUACGAUUAGGUCAUUUUUUAUUUGAUUUUGAUUUUUGAUGGCAUGAGAUGAUUUUUCGAUGUUUGGUUGCAUGAGUUUGAUAUUUCGAUUUUUGUUAUUGUAUAUUGCAUUAGUUUAAUAUCUUGAUUGUUUUGAUUGCUUAUGUGAUAUUUAUAUUUUGGUUUGUUUAAUUAAUUAAUUAAUUUAUUUUUUAGAAAAUUGUACGAGAUUGAUGAUUCUAAUUCUUUUUAAACUAUAUGAAUUAAUAUUUAGAUUUUUCUUACAUAUGCAUGAGAUUGAUCCUUUUUAUUCUUAUUUUAAAUUGCAUGAUUUUUACCUUCUGAUUUUUAUUUUAUUUUUUCAUGAGAUUACAACGACUAUGUAAUGGAGAUUUUGAUUGCCGAAAAUUCAAAAGAUCAAUGUGGAUUUCAGUAGCUUAGCAAUUGAAAUUUGGAUGUUGAAUUUCAAAACAGAACCAUGGUGGUUGAACUUUAAAGAUUUUCAAUGGAGAAAUGUGGUAGUUAUUAGUUGGAACUUUCAAUGGAAGAAUGCAUGGUUUGGUAGUUGUUUAAUGCCUGAAUUUGGACAAUAAAAUUCAAGGGUACACAACUGCCACUUGAAAAGGAAAGGAAAGGAAAGGAAAGGAAAGGAAAGAUUGGGAUAAUCUACGCCUUCGGGAUGUUUGAAAAAGAAGAGGAUUCUUUAAUGCAUCUCCUUUGAAUAAGGAAAUAUGAGAUAUGAGACAACAGGUUGGUACGCACUGGGAUUCUCCAAAGGAAACAUGCACAACCAUAAGGAUGGGGUGAGAAUGCCAAAGGAAGCACUUGGGGUUAUAAGACAAUAAGAAAGGAGUUGUGAUACCCCAAACUUAAUUUAGGGGUAAAAUUAUAAUUUAAAAAAAUUAAAUUAAAUUACUAAGGGUAAAAAAGGUUUUUUCAUAUUUAAAAUCUCUAGGUAUAAAUUAGAUUUUUCCUAUCUUCUCUAUCUAGAAAAUCCUUUUAUGUAAAAAUAAGAGAGAUCAUAAAGUAUAGAAUUGAAGAUUUUGAGGUUUAGGGUUGAAGAUCAAUUUUUCCAAGUAAGAUUUUAAUCUUUAAAUUAAUAUUUUAUAUUCAUUAAUUAGUUUUACACACUUUAGAUAUUCUUUGGAAGAUCUCAAUCUAGAUUAGUGUUUCUUAAAUUAAUUUUUAGAUCAAAAGAUUGGAACUUUAUGAAUGUAGAUUAAUUCAUGAUGAAAAUAGGAAAAUUUUGAAAAUUCCAAUUAAAUAGAAAAAAAUGAAUGAAAAAUCAAUGGAAGAAAAGAAAUUUUAGAUUUAGAAGAUAAACAAAUUAAUCGUUUGUGAAGGCUUUAGAUUGGAAAAAGAAAAUAACAAUAAUAAUAAUAACAAGAAUUGUAGGGUUUUCGGAUUUUGGAAUGAGGUAGUAUGUCGGGGCGACAAUUUUGGAAGAAAAAAAAAGAACGAAUAUGUUUGGUUGUGAGAUUGUUGACUGAGAAAUUUAAAUAAUAAUAAUAAUAAUAAAUAAAUAAAUAAAUAAUAAUAAUAAGAAUUGUAGGGUUUCUGGAUUUUGGAAUUUGAGGUAGUAUGUCGGGGCGACAAUUUUGGAAGAAAAAAAAAGAAUGAAUAUGUUUGGUUGUGAGAUUGUUGACUGAGAAAUUAAAAAAAAAUAAAAAAAUAAAUCUAUAACUGUGAUAGGCAAAGGGGAAUAAUAAUAAUAAUAAUAAUAAUAAUAAUAAUAAUAAUAAUAAUAAUAAUAAGAAUAAUAAUAAUAAUAAGAAUAAUAAUAAUAAUAAUAAUAAUAAUAAUAAUAAUAAUAAUAACAAGAAUUGUAGGGUUUCCGUAUUUUGGAAUUUGAGGUAGUAUGUUGGGGCGACAAUUUUGGAAGAAAAAAAAAAGAACGAAUAUGUUUGGUUGUGAGAUUGUUGACUAAGAAAUUUAAAAAAAAAAAAUCAAUCUAUAACCGUGAUAGACAAAGGACGGUAGUGAAAUAAAUUAAAAUAAUAAUAAUGAGUGGAGUUAGUGGGGUUGUUGGAGUUGUUAAAAGUACAUGGAUAGUUUGUUAAGUAAAAGGCGAUAUUAGGAUUAAUAAUAAUAAUAAUAAUUGUUAUUAGUAAAAGUUUUAAUAUAAUUUAAGUAUAUAAAAGAAGUAGAUGGUUAUAAUAAGAUUUGAAAGGAAUAUGAGUUUAUAAAAAUUUGGAAAUUCAUUUAUUUAUAUUAUUAUUAUUAAGGAAGUUGAAAAUAAUAUUAUUUCUAAUAAUGUUAACAUAGGAAAUUAAUUAUAAUUACUAAAAACUAUAUAAAAUAUUGUUAGGGGUAUCAAAUUUAUAUCUUUAGAUAAAUAAUCAAUAAUAAAUGUUGUGUAUGAUAUUAUGUUAAGUGAUGAGUAAAUUCUUCAAGAUUUUGAGUGUUUUUUCAAGGUAAGGGAAAUUAAUGCAUAUUUUGUAAAUUGAAAUAAUCUUCUUUUUAUAUUGUAUUUUGAAAUAUGUAAAAAUAUUAUUUUUAUUUCUAUGCAUGGAUCAAAUAUAUGUUUUGUAUGAAAAAUAUGUUUGAACACUUUCUUUGUUUAUGAAAAGUGAAAAUUGUGGAAAUAUGAUAUUUUGUUUUGUAAGUUUGAGUUAAUGAAAUGAAGUGUUUAACUCUGUUUUUAUGGUCCUAAUCAACGGGUUAUAAUUGUUGACAUAUCUGACCCUAAUCAAUGGGUUAUAAUAGUUGAUAUUAUAUGGUCUUAGUCAAUGGGUUAAAAUAGUUGAUCUUAUGACCCUAGUCAACAGGUUAUAAUUAUUGACCUUUUAUUUUGUUCACCUUAAAUGGAAUAAAUUUGAAACUAGUCACUCAUUUGUGAAGUCCUACCUAAUUGGACAUCAUUUGUUAUUUGAUAGUCAGAGUAAAGAUAUUUUGAAUGUAUUUGAUUUAGUUUUGAUAAAAAAAUUGUUUUGAAACGAAUAUGAGAAAGUUUUGAUAAAAAGUUUGACUAUAUUAGCAUUUUUAACUCAAAAGUUUUUUAUGAAAAUAAUUAUAAGGUAUAUCUCUUGUUUGUAAUUAUAAUUGAAAAUGUUUCAUCCAUGAAACUGUUGUAGACCCUCCAUUUUGCCCUCCUAGCACAUGUCCUAUUAGGUUUUCAUUCGAUACUUUAUAACAAUUCCCUGAUGGCCCAUUACUACUCACGUAACUUAUCUUUUAUGAGUUACCUUGGAGACUUUGGUUAAGGGAUUUAUCUAACCCUAUUGUGACUUUUGAUAGCCCUGAUUUAGACUUAGGCUAUUCCUUUCCUUUUAGGAUAGCUUUUAGGUGCACUUUUAGGAUAACACACUUAGGCAUGUUUAGGUCGCUCAGACAAUGUCUUGAUCACUUUAGGACACUUAGGCCCAUUUAGAGCACAACUAGGCCCACUUAGGUUCACCUUGGCCCACUUAGAUUAACUUAGGUACACUUGGCCCACUUAGUUCGCCCUAGCACACUUCGACACACCCUAAGUCACCUUUAGGCAUUUCUGCAUGGUUUGCAUGGUUGCAUGGCUUAUAUUUUUGUAUGGUUGCAUGACUCGUAUUUUUUCAUGGUUACAUGGUUCGUAUGGCUCGCAUGUGGUUGAUUUUUAUUUUUUAUUUUUAGUUUAGUUGCAUGAUUUAAAUUUCUUUUGAUUUUCAAUUUCAUGAUAUUUAUUGAUUUUAAUUUUAAUUUAAUUUAAUUUAAUUUUUAUUUUUAUUUUUUCUAUCUUUAUUUUAUUUCUUGCAUGAGGAAACAGUUACCAGCUAUUGGGAAAGAGGAUCACCAAAAUUUUUGACAAAGGAAAGUCUAAGGCUACUGAUGGAGUGCAAAUAUUAAGGAUAUUCAUGCACCAAAGGGAUUCCAGUUCUAGAAGAAAAAAUGUUUAAAUAGGAAGGUGGAAUUCUUCAGAUUCGUGGCUGCCAUGUGAAUAAUUCUCUCCAAGAAAGGAAGGCACGACUGAAGCAUAAGAAGAAGAGACUCUUUGAAGAUACGACAAGCAUAUCAUAUGGGAUUGAUGCACCAUUAAAGGAAGAAUAGCAGGCUGGUAAGGGUUCUUUCUUUAACAGAGAGGGUCCACAACAAGAGAAAAAGGAAAGGAUUCUCUUCAUCCAAAUAAAAAGGGUGAUUCACGGAUUGGAGAGGGACAAUUUUCUCCACGGAUCAAAAGGACGGGCAGCAGUGGAUGAGAGGCAGCUUUGGUAGUGUGAAUUUUUCUGAGGGCUGUAGGAGAGGAUCAGAGAUAGAGGCAUUAAUACUUUAAGAAGAAAGGAUCAUCACAAACCAAAAAAAAAGAACAAGAGAGAGGAGAAAAAAAGAGGAAUGAGGGUUUUGACGGAUUUGGAGGUGCAGGAAUAGCAGGGAAUGAGUGAUUGCAACCAAGACUAUCCAGGUAUGCUUCUUGUUACUUUGUGUUCUCACUCAUAUUCGGUUCCUCCUUUUGGUCAUUUAUGAAUGUUCAGUUUUUUCUGUUUGGUGUGGACGUUAAGGGCCACAAGUUGUUCUGUUGAGAUUGAUUGUUUACUUGUUUACCCUAUUUUGAUUUUGAUUCUUUUAUAUGCCAUUGAUGUUUUCUGAAAUAUAUGACUCUGUGCAUGAAUUUGAUCAUACUCUGUUUAUGUUUAAAUCCUAUUCUUUACUGUUCCCCCUAUUCUUAGCCCAUGGAUUAAUAUUUGAAGUGGGGCCACUCAUGUUUAUUGAUCGACAUCUUCUGCUCUUUCCUUCCUCGAGUUUUACUUCUUUUUUAUUUGUUCUCUAUUCCUUUUCACACACGGUGUUCGAAUCCUUGUCUUUCUAUUUGGGUGUACACUGGGGGAAUGACGAAAGUGUUGAUAUGACGAAUGAAGUGUGCAGCAAUCCCAGUAUGCUCAGUGUGUUUCCGGUGGUUCUACUUCUGUGUCUCCGUGAAUCCCACUACAACCUGUCUAAUUUUAUAAGGAUUUUUAUGUUGAUGGAGGAUGGAGUAUCCAAGUUAUUACUGAAAGAAAAAUGAGUUUUGGCUCUGUUGAAUUGGCUCUGUUGAAGACACAACAGAAUGAAGUCAACCUAUUUAAGAGAAUUCGCUGAUUUGGGACAGCUUAACAUGGGAGCGGUUUUAAUUAUUCAUGAUAAAAACUCAGUUAAUCUGAGACUGACUAUUGAAAGUAUGUAUCAUAAAUAUGCCUUCAUUAUAACAAAAAUUAGUGUUUUUGAAAAAUUAAUGCUUUUAUAUAAAUGACACACAUUCAAACUUGGUGUGCAAUUCCUUAUGAUAGUUGAGGGGUUACUCUAUCACAUAAAAACUCAUAGAUUUUAUGAGAUAUUCAAAUUUGAUUGAAUCCAAAGGCUUUUAAAAAUGUAUGCCAUUUAAUUUUCAAUAUAAAUAUAUUCUGUUUUCACUAAGACAUUUUUCAACAAGCUCCUUAAUAUGGUGAAAUUGAAUGUUCAUGUGCUUAGUCCUACAAUGCAUCACUAGGUUAUUUGGAGCAUUUAUUGCACAAGUAUUAUCACACAAGAUGGACAUAGUAUUGCAUUUGAUUCCAAAAUCUUCUAUCAUUUGUUUAAUCCAAUUCAUUGAGUGCAAGAACUACCUAUACUACUCAGCUUAUAUAUUCGAUAAGUGGAUAUAAUUCUACCUUUCUCUCAUCCAAGCAACGUAGCUACUCCUAAUGUAAAAUCAACCUUUUGCAAUGUUGUAUAAUACAAGAAACCUAGAGUAGUAUUGUUAGUACACCAUAACCCUAAAUUGUAAGAUCUAGCAAUAUAUUUAAUGAUCAUUUUUGUUGUUGCUAGAUUAGAUUCUUUUAGGCUUGACUGAAAGCUAGCACAUAAACCUACACUACGUACAAUGUCUAGCCUACUAGAUGUAAGAUACAAGAGAUGCCCAAUCAUGCUUCUAUAUGUAGAUUAAUCAAUCUCCUUGCUUUUUUCAUCCUUUAGAAGCUCAACACUUGUUCCCUCGAAGGUCCUCUCAUGUCUAAGCUGAUUCCAAGCAAAACUCUUUACUAACUAUUUAGCAUAAUUGACUCGGACAUACAGAUUCCAUUUUUAAUUUGUCUUAUUUGCAGUCCAAGAAUGUAAGAUAGCUUUUUCAUCAUGCUCAUCCCAAAUUUUGUGUUAUUUUCUUAAUAAAUUAUGUGCUUUCAUCCUUUGAUGUGAACUAAAUAUGAUGUUAUCAACAUAUACUUGGACUACUACAAAGCCAUGCACCAUCCUUUCUCCUUACAAACAAAGCCCUAUGAAAUGUAUGUAAAAUAAAAAAAUUUCUUUAUAAAAUGGUUAAAAAAAUGUUUUUGAAUUUUUUUUAAUAAAAAAUAGCUUUUAAUGAAAGUAGUAGAUGAAGAGUAAACGAGAAAAAAAAUGGUUUUAUAAUAAGAUUUUAUUAGAAUAAAACGAGUUUCUUAAAUUUGUUGAGUGAAUUCCUUUUUUUUUUUUUUUUUUUUUUGAAAAAAGAAUAAAAUAUAAAUUUCUUUUACUAAGAAAAAGGGUAGUAUUAAAACUAAAAUUUCAUAUCAAUUUAAAAAUAAGAGACCAUGUUUUACUACAAGCGCAAUAUUUCUAAUUUUUCAGAAUUCAAUUACUAAUGAGUAAUGAGAACAAAAGAAAAAAAUUCCUAAAUUUUAUAACUACAAAGAUAUUCAUAUUAAAUUAAAUUGAAAUUAAAAUAUAAAAUCGAAUAUUAUAAUUAUAUAAAAAGAUGUGAAAAAAAAUAAAAUUGAAAAAAUUUAAUAUGAUAUUUGAAUGUAUGUCAAACAACAUAUUUUUAUGAAAUGGAAAAAGAUAAAAUCUAUUUUUAUAAAGAUAUGAAACUUUCCUAUUUUAGACAUUGAAGAAGGUGGCAUAGGCUCUUUUGUACACGGUUUUUGAUAAAAGCUUGUCGGGCAUUUACUGCCCAUCUCUAUUAGCCCUAUUCUAUGGGCCUCCUACUUUGCAGGACUGGCGAAAAUGGCAAGAAAUCAAGAGGAGUGCACCUUGUAUAUUUUUUGAGCUUCAUGUGAGUUGUCAUCCAAAUCAAGGUUCAUGAGAAAGGGAAUUUAUGUUAGUCUACUACAAUGUGAACAAUGUCUAAGUCUAGGUGACCCGUCAAGUAUAUUUCUACAUAAUGAGAAUGAGAAUGAGAAUAUAUAGGAAUCUGGGUGACAAGAUAAGUAUAUUUCUAUCGAAUGAUAAUGGGAAUGAGAAUCUAAAUUUACAAUGUAAAUAACUCCGAACCUGGAUGAUACAAGAAGUAUAUUUCUAUGGAAUGAGAAUCUAAGUCUACAAUGUGAACAACAUCUAAGCCUCAAUGACAUGACAAGUACAUAUCUAUUGAAUGAGAAUGACAAUGGGAAUCCAAGUCUACAAUGUGGACCAGUCUAAGUCUCAGUGACACGACAUGUUAAAAUCUAUGGAAUGAGAAUGAGAAUGACAAUGGGAAUCUAAGUCUACAAUUUGAACCGCGUUUGAGUGACAUGAUGAGCAUAUUUGGAUAAAAUGAGAAUACGAAUGGGAAUAUAAGUUUAUGAUAUUAUGAACAAUGUCUGAGUCCAGGUGAGAUGACUUGUAUGAGAGAGAGGCAGAUAUAUGACUAGAACUGUUUUGGAAACUUUUGCAAAGUUUCAUGAGGACCAUCAUGAAGGGGCAAGCAAGAAAACCAAGUUCAUGUUCCCACGGCUACAGGCCGACUUUUUAUUAAUCCUAAAGAACCACCCAGUAGCAAAGGAGAGGAUGUAGUUGAAUGCCGUUUGUACACAAGAUGACUGAGUCAUGAAUUACAAGAUCAUGUGGACAGACAGACCUAACAAACAAGGUGACCGGGUCAUGAAUUAAUUCUAAUAUCAUACGUUAUGGAUAGAUUCCUAAGGUAGAAAUAUUUGCCAAACAAAGAAAUUAUUUGCUUUGGUUUAGUUGGUUGUUUAUUAGCCCAGAUUGUUUUACCCCAUCAACCUUGGUUGCAGCUAAAGAUUUCAAAAUAUUCCUUGCACUAAAUGGUUACGGUUCCUUCAGAGAUAAGGGUAGACUUUCAUGUAAUGGUAACAGUGAAUGAGCAAGUAGUCAUCAAAUCCCCAUGCAUGGAGGCAUCCAAAGAUCACCAGCAUAACCUGAUCUGGCAAAUCAUGGGUCUAUAGUUCAGCCCUCAUAACAAGCAAUUCUAUAUUGACUUGAGUGUUCAAUACAACAUAUCUACAUUAAGGUGCAUGUUUGGAGGUCAAAAUUUGGAAGUCUAUGAAAUGGGUACUUCACAAAUAAGUCAUUGAACUCAAAGUCCUAUAAAAUAUAUAAAGGAAUGUUUCUCCUCCAUUCAAGGUAUUUCUAAGAUCUGGAAAUGAGUUAGAAUAGUCUAGAUGAGAUGUAAGUAACUAUAUCAAGUACAAGAUAUUGAGACCAAAAAAAAAACAAAAAGGAAAAAGAGCCAUACACAAUACCCACGUAAUAUUUAUUUCAUCAAUACUUAGAAAAUACAAACUCAAGUAGAUAGGUUAAAUAAAAGAAACAUCUCUUCUUUAAAGCGCUCUCCAAUCAUGGGCAAUACUCUCCGGAAGUCCCAAAGGUAAAGGCAAGCACAAUUUUAUCAGGCGAGGAACGUGAUCGAUCACUUAGCAUUUCACAUCACAGCUUUUCUUCUUUGGUGUGCUACUUGACGUUGAAGCAGUUGACGCCAUUGUAAACACCAUCAUCCACAUUGUAAAUAACAUUUUUCCCGUCGUUCGAAGUGUCGCGCUGAAUGUGCGGCUCUUAGUCUCUGUAUAUGAGAGCUUCACCUGUUGAAUGUGCCGUUCUUGGGUCAUGUUAAUGGCGUCUCCGGUGGUCAUCUUGAUGACCCUGGUCGUAGAUCCUAGCGUCCAUGAGGCGAAAUUGACAUUAUAGAUGUUUCUUGAUAAAACAAGCUCUCCCACCUCCAAGGGUGCCUCCCUGGAAAUUGUGGAGACGGCGGCAUUGAGACAGCUGGUCUUGCCCUCGGUGGUGAGUCUCUUUCAGAAAUUAUUCGUUACCAAAGCAGCGGAGAGCGACCACAUUUUUGUCAACUCUAACGGGCCAAAACAAAGUAUCUGAGUUGUUGGUGGUGGAAUCAUCGGAGUCAGCCCAUAUCCAGUUUGGGCUGCGCCUCCAGAAUCUGCCGAAGUAAUCUGACUUUAUGCGGACGCUUCCAUCGUGAGUGUUGAAGACCUCGUUCCCACAGUCGGGUCUCCAAUGUCACUUGAUGCAAACUCCAGAUAUGGUCCACCAGUGGUUCUUGGACCACCUUACGCAGUAUUUGUUGCUGUAACAGCAUCUUAUGUGCACUAGUCCCUUGCCAUUCUUUGCCCUCUCCACUUGGUACUUUGAGUAGGGUGUCACAACCUCCUUUCCCGAGAGAAUUGGAGAAAUCCAUGAAUCUGCACAUCUUCGUGUAUGUACUGCAAGUACUUGUUAUAUUUUUAUUUCAGCAACACAUACCUUGGUAAUGCCAUUUCCUCUUUAAUCACUUCUAUUGCUUCUCACUUCUCACUUCUCACUUCUCACUGCACUUUUCUUCUCCUAACUCUAACCUUAUUUAUAAGGGGGAAAAACUCUAUUUAAAUGUAAGUGCAAGGAAUUUAAAUUAUGUUUAAUGGAGCGCUCAAAAAGCAAGAGGCCCAUCAUUGAUUUGGUAGGGAGCUUGUAUUAAAAUACUGAUCAAGUGGUCUGCACUUUUCUUCAGUAAGUAUAAAUCAAUGAAUAUCGGUUUAUUGCCUUGGAAGUGUGCCUAAGAUCACAUCACCAUUACCAUUACUGACUUACUCUAAUGGAGUAACUUUCUGGACACCCAAACAUUCUCAUAUCUAGUUCUUUUUAAGAUCUCCGCUUGCAUAUUAUGUAAAUGCAAGUGGACAGGGCAGUUGUAUGUCAACAUUGAUAGGGGGCCUUAUCAUACCUCAGCAGUUUUGGUCAAGGCUAGUCCUCUUUCAAAUCCGGGUUAUUCUCUUAGACUGACUUGAGUUAAGAAAAAAUUAGUGAGGAAGAGAUCUAUUUUGUGAUUUUAUGACAAAUUUGAAGAUAAAAUAUGUGAUCCAAUUUUAUCCCAAAUUGAAUUAAUUAAAAAUUAAAUUUAAAUACAAAACCAUAAUUCACAUCAUAGAGUAGUAGCAUUCACAUUUCUAUCUCCAUUUCCAUUCCCAUCUAUAAAUACCCAAUCCAAAAAUAAGUAGACGUGGAACUUGGUGUGAAAUACUAAUCCUCAUGAAAAAUAAGACUAAUUUAAUUCCAUAAGAAGAGUCUCAUGGCAUUUUUCGUGGGGUUGGGAAAAUAUGAAUUGAUUUAAUUUGGACCAAACCAAAUAAAAUUGAUUUUUAAAAUUUUUAAAUUUUAUUUGUUCUAUUUAAGAAAACAUAAAAAAUUUCAAUCUAAUAUAAGAAUGAAUAUAUACAUAUUUGUGUCAAUCCACUAUGACACACUCAUCGGUAAUAAAACAAUUACCUCUACAUUUACAAUUUGUUUCAAGCAAUAAAAAGUUCAACAUAAGUUCCCUAAGAAAGGAAAGAAUUUGCAAAAUUACUAAAUUCAUGACGAAAAGCAUUGGCUAAUUUUGUUACAUACAAUGUUGUUCCUUUUUGGGGGUCUAUUUUAGAAGAAAAGGCCAGCAAAAAUUAAGAUAAAAUUACAAAAAUUUUGGCAAUAUAUGUCAACUAUUUAAAAAAAAUCAAUGGCUAAUAUGUCAAACAAAAACAUUGCAAUAAAUGGGUGUUUUUUUUUUAUAUAUAUUGAUUUUAGCCAAUUAAUUAAGGACUUGAGAUUUCAUUUUUUAAAACUCUUUUUAUUAUACCAUCUCUUUGAUCCUUAAAGUAAGUCCUAGCUAGACACUUAAUCCAUAGGUUAAAUUAUUACUUGCAAUCAACAACCCUUUGCUUGGGGUGAACACCACAAAAUAUUGGAGUUCAAGCAUGAAGGUUUAUGUAGUGUAAUGACCUGCUUCUAACCAUGUAGAUAUUGUCCGCUUUGGACCCAAGGACCCCUCACGACUUUAAAACGCGCUUAUUUGGUUAAGAAAAGUCUCUACAUAUAUAGCACUAGGAACUUGCUCCCCUAUCUGAUGUGGGACAUCACAAAUACCCCCACAUGCAGACACAACGUCCUCGUUGUGUUCCAUGGGAUUGCGGGGCCAAACAGACAAACAUCCCUUACGGAGCCAAACAAACCCCUACACUGGGGUUGGAGAUCGGCUCUGAUACCAUUUGUAACGACCCGCUCCCAACCAUGUAAAUAUUGUCCACUUUGGACAUAAAGGGGCCCUCACGGCUUUAAAACGCGUCUACUUAGUUAAGAAGAGUCUCUACAUAUAUAGUGCCAAGAACUUGCUCCCCUAUCCGAUGUGGGACAUCACAUGUAGGUUCUAGUCAAUAAAAGAUUCUAAGUAGGUUCUUCCAUAUCAAGUAAUUCUAUAUACAUUCCUUUCAUAUUUAGUGAAUUUAUUUGUGAUAAUUUGAUCCCUGGUUAUUUUACACCGAUGAAGUUUUUAGAAAACUCCAUAGGUGAUUUUUUCCUUGUUACAUCUAGUAUUCUUGUAUGAAAUAACCUUUAGCAACCCACCUUAAAAGGGGUUGCUAGGAGAUAAUGGGCCACUCUAGGUUGAAAUCUAAUGGAAUCACCAUCUUAAUAGAUAAAUAUAGGGCAUGAAAAGAACAGAAAAUAACUAAGUGAUGUUGAUAAAACGAUAAACUUGAUGAAAUAUUGAUAGUGGAAAUGAAGGUUUACAAGAAAAGUCACAUCGCAUAGAGCAACUAAAUUGAAGAUGAAAUAUAUAUAUAAAGAAAUGGACUAUAUGUCCCAUAGGUUUAAUAAGAAACAACAUUCAAGUUAGGUGCAUUGCGACUUUCUUUCCAAAACUGACACUACAUUUUGAAGAGGCAUAUAAAAAUCCUUACCUAAAAAAUAUAAAAAUCUAAAGCAUGAACAUAAAGUUCAUUGCCAGAACAUAUAAGUGUUAGGAUGAUCAAUCUAAGAUAAAAAUAAUUUUAAAACAUAUUAUGCGACAGUUUUAGUGUAUAUAUAGAAACUAGCAUGACAUAAUCAUAAUGGUAUUUAAAGAAAUAUGUAAUGUAAAACAUGAAAUCACAAGUUUGGAUAUAACUAUGGCUAAUCCAUUGGCUAUAAAUAAACUUACUACCCAUGACUACCACACAUCACCACAUUAUUUAGGGUCUAACCAUCUUAGAUCACAAUACCAAGUAACUCAUCUUCUUAUUAUCCUAUUAGGGGCACAACAAAGUAUACUCUACCACUUUGGGCUCUACCCCCUAACAUGACAUCAAAAUCCAUGGUUUCGCCUUAUAAUCCCCAUCUUGCUAUAUAAGUGGUAUGGAAUUCUAAAACAAAAAUGUAUAAAACACUUCUUAGGUAUAUGUGUUAUCAUGCCCAUCAUAUAUUAAUGCCCAAAAGUCUAAUGGUUUAUUUAGAUUAUGAUAGGGUAUGUAAUUUCAUCAAUUAUAAAUAUAAGUUAUUAAAUAAUUACUUGAAGAUGAAAUAUUAUUUAUUUUUGUAAACUCAAUAGAAAUCAUGUACAUUUGACCAAAAAACAAUACAACAUAUAUCUCAUGUUAUUAGUAACAGUACUAAGCAACAUAUACAAGACAUAUCUAUUUUAAGAAAAAUUAGUAAAAUCAUCCGUAUCAUAAUUACUCAUAAAAUUCCUAAAGCAAUUAAUACUAUAGCAAAGCUCAUAGUAUGAUGACUCCACAAACUCUAAGUUCUCACUUGAUAUAAGAAAUUUUAAGUGGAUUAAAGAGAUUUGGAAAUUUCAUAAAAAUGGGAACUAAGAUUCUAAAGUCCUAUAGGCCUACUCUCACCCAGACAACACCUGAUAUAGAAAGAUACAAAGUCUUUAAAAAUAAGAAUCUAGACAAACAAAGUUCAAUUCACAUAAGAAGCAAGCCAAUAAUUAUAUUGAUGAGUCUAGGUAUCUUGAAGAUUAAUAAAUAAGUCAAAUGAUUAGCAAAAAACCACCAAUUAAGCCUCAACAACUUGAUCCAUGUGUUAUAGCAUCUCAUUUGUGCUUGUGCAGUUCUUUGAAGAUUCUUAAUUUUGCUAUGAGAUUAUGCAAUCAAAUGAAUUCAAUAACAAUCUCACACCUUAGCAAUUUUGUAACAAAAAUUUAAGCAUAUGCAACCUCUACUAGCAUGUAUGCAUUGGUCUAAAAAAUUCAAAGCAUAAAUUUCCAAUGAUUUCUCCCCCUAUAUAUGUCUCUCUACCAAGCACACAUUUUCUCAUUCUAACAUCAACUUCCCUAGUCUUGUAUUUCUCUUGCUUUUUAAGGCAACAUGUCAAAGGCGAAGAUGCAAAACUUUAUGAAAGAGGAUUUUAUUAAACCAAAAAUGUUUUUGUGAGUAUGGUUGAGAAUUCACUCAAGGCUUUUAUUGUUUUUAGUUUGCCAAUUAUAUUUUUCAUCUUUUUUGGAUGGUGUUUGAUGUACAAAAGGUUUUAUAGUUAAGAAUUAACUCAAAGCCUCAUCAUCAUCUUUUCAAGGAGUUAUAUAACCUCGUAUAUUCAAGGAUAUACUCUUGGUACUUAUCAAAACAACCAUGAUAAAAACUCAAUUAAUCCUGGAUUGACUAUUCGAAGUAUGUGCCAUAAAUAUGCCUUUAUUAUAACAAAAAUUAGAGCUUUUAAAAAAUUAAUAUUGUUAUAUGAAGGACAAACAUUCAAACUUGGUGUGCAAUUCCUCAUGAUAGUUGAGGGGUUACUCAAUCACACAAACUUAAAUUUUCUAAGAUAUUCAAAUUUGAUUGAAACCAAAGGCUUUUAAAAAUGUAUGCCAUUUAAUCUUUAGUAUAAAAAUAUUCUAUUUUCAUUAUGUCAUUUUCAACAAGCUCCAUAAUAUACUGAAAUUGAAUGUUAAUAUGCUUAGUGAAAUUGAAGCAUUUAUUGCACUAGUAUUAUUACACAAGAUGAACAUAGUAUUGCAUUUGAUUCCAGAAUCUUUUAUCAUCUAUUUAAUCCAAUUCAUUGAGUGCAAGAUCUACCUAUACUAGUCAACUUUCAUAGUGGAUAAGAGGAUAUAAUGCAACUAAGUUGCUCCCAAUGUAAAAUCAACCUCUUGUAGUGUUGUAUAAUAGAAGAAACCUAGAGUAGUAUUGUUAGCACACCAUAACCCUAAAUUUUAAGAUCUAGGAAUAUAUUUGAUGAUCAUUUUUAUUGUUGCUAGAUGAGAUUCUUUUGGGCUUGAUUGGUAGCAUAAAAACCUAGACUAUGUGCUAUGUCUAGCCUACUAGAUGUAAGAUGCAAGAGAUGUCUAAUCAUGCUUCUGCAUGACCUAGAUUGAUCAAUAUCUAAUUUUUUUUUUUCAUCAUUUGAAAGCUUAAUUAACACUUGUUCCCACAAGUUUCUCUCAUGUUUAGCUGAUUCCAAGCCAAGCUCUUUACAACCUUAUAUAGCAUACUUGACUUUGAUAUAAAGAUUUCGUUUUUAAUCUAUCUUAAUUAUAUGCAGUUCAAGAAAGUAAGAUAACAUUUUCAUCAUGCUUAUCUCAAAUCUUGUUCUCAUUUUCUCAAUAAAUUCAUGUGCUUCAUUAGUUCAUGUGAAACUAAAUAUGAUGUCAUUGACAUAUACUUGGGCUACUAUAAAGACACCAUCCUUUCUUCUUAGGAACGAAGUCCUAUGAAAUGUGUGUCAAAUAACAUUUUUCUUUAUAAAAAGGUUAAGAAAAAUGUUUUUAAACUUAUUUUUUAUGGUGAAGAAUAAAUUUUAAUGAAAAUGGUAGAUGAGUACAUGAGAAAGAAUUUCAAUUAUAGUAAAAUUUAAUUAAAAUGAAAAGGAGAUUCUUUUAUUGUGUGAAUUUUAUUUUUAUUUUUUUGAAAGAAUUAAGAAUGAAAUAUAAAAUAUUUUAACUAAGCAAAAUAGUAAUAUUAAAACUAAAAUUUCAUAUAAUAUUAAAAAUAAGAGACAACGUUUUGCUACAAGUACAAUAUAUCUAAUUUUUCAGAAUUCCAUUACUAAUGAAUAAUGAGAGCCAAAGAAAAAAAAUCCUAAAUUUUAGAACUACAAAGAUGUGCAUAUUUAUUAAAUUGAAUUAAAAUUAAAAUAUAAAAUUGAAUAUUAUAAUUAUAUAAAAAGAUAUGAAAACAAAUAAAAUUGUUUUAAUAUGAUAUUUGAUUGUAUGUCAAACAACAUAUUUUUAUGAAAUGGCAAAAGAACAAAACCUUUUUUUAUAAAGAUAUGAAAGUCCCCUAUUUUUCCCAAAACAGACAUUGAUUGAAGGUGGCAUCUGGUGUGCCCAUUCAGAGGCUUGUUAAUGCUACUUUGUCUCUUGCAUUGGCUCUUUCGCAUACGGUUAGUGAUAAAAGCCUGCUGGGCAUUUACAAUCCAUCUCUGAUGGCCCUGUUCUGUUGGCCUCUUCUCAGCAUUGACCAGAUCCUAGCUUUCACAUGCCCUGUUCUGUUUCUCCUCCAUUCGAGGCAUUUCUAAGAUGAUCAGGAAAUGAAGUAGAAUAGUAUAGAUGAGAUGUAAGAAUAUUAAGUACAAGACAUUAAAACUAAAAAGAAAAAAAGGAAAAAGCUACACAAUAUCCACAUAAUAUUUAUUUCAUUAAUACUUAGAAAACACAAACUCUAGUAGCACAGUACGUGAUAAUAAGUUAAAUAAAAGAAUCAUCUUUCUUUAAAGCGCUGUCCAAUCAUGGACAACGUCUCAAGAUAAGUUCCCAACGUAAACGCAAGCACAAUUUUAUUACUCUUGAUAAUAUUAUUAGGCAAGGAAGGAGGAUUGGACAAAUGCAACAAGUCCUAGAAGCAUGACUUAGCAUUUCACGUCACAGCUUUUCUUCUUUGGUCUGGUACUCGACGUUGAAGCAAUUCACACCAACAUAAACACCAUCAUCCAUAUUGUAAACAACAUUUUUCCCGUCGGUCAAAGUGUCUCGCUGAGUGUACGAGAAAGGGACGUCGCACGAACCCUGUGUUGCUAUCAUGCUUAUGGUCACCCUAGUCCUCGCCGGCACAGUAACACUAUACACUGUCUCCUUUGCUGUUGUCAGUGAUUCAGUUUCUCCCCACUCAUAUGUACCGGUACCGCUAAACUCGGAUGAAACUUCUAACUUUCCGUCAGCGAUGAAUGGAACGCCGCUUUCUAUGGUGAUUUUGACACCCGACUUCAAUGAGACGCUGCCUUUCCAAGUACGGCUAUUUGUCUCUGUAUAUGAGAGCUUCACCUGUUGAGUGUGCGGUUCUUGGGUCAUGUUAAUGGCUCCUCCGGUGGUCAUCACGAUCACUCUCUGGUCGUAGAUCCUAGCGUCCAUGAGACGAAAAUUGACAUUAUAGAUGUUUCUUGAUAAAACAAGCUCUGCCACCUCUAGGCGUGCCUCUCUGGAAAUUGUGGAGACCCCGGCAUUGAGACAGCUGGUCUUGCCCUCGGUGGUGAGUCUCUUACAGAAAUUGUUGUUACCUAAGUUGCGGAGAGCGACCACAUUUUUGUCAACUCUAACGGGCCAAAACAAGGUAUUGGAGUUGUUGUUGGUGGAAUCAUCGGAGUCAGCCAAUAUCCAGUUAGGGCUGCGCCUCCAGAAUCUGCCGAAGUAAUCUGACUUUAUGCGGGCGCUUCCAUCCUGAGUGGUGAAGACCUCGUUCCCCACAGUCGGAUCUCCAAUGUCAGUUGAUGCGAACUCCAGAUAUGGGCGUCCCUCGAUCGUCCGGGCACUGAGGUAGUAGUCAUUAUCGCCCUUGAAGGCGAUAUGUUUUGGCAAUAUCAAUAGUGAUUCCCAAUCAAUGAUUGUAAAGACAUCGUAGAGGUCCUUGUCAGGCGAAGCUGAUCCUGCAAACAAACAAGAACCAUAAGGAGGUGGAAGCCUCCAUAAGCAUGCAUAGUGUCCAAGCUGGACGUGGCGAAAUCGGAGUGUUUGAGCAUCGCCAUCCACGUAGACAGGCUCGAACAAGGUACAUGUCCAUAACGAUUGGUCUUCAUCUGUUUCGUCGGCCCCGGCAACAAUCCACCAGUGGUUCUCGGACCACCUUACCCAGUAUUUGUUGUUGUAGCAGCAUCUUAUGUGCACUAGUCCCUUGCCAUUCUUUGCCAUCUCCACGUGGUACUUUGAGUAGGGGGUCAUCACCUCCUCUCCCGAGAAUUGGAGAAAUCCAUGAAUCUCCCCAUCUUCAUGGAUGUACCGCAAGCACUUGUUGUUAUAUUUUGAUUUGAACACCACAUACCUUGGUAAUUCCAUUUCCACUUUAAUCACUUCUAUUGCUUCUCACUUGUCACUGCACUAUUCUGCCCCUCACUAUGCCUUAUUGACAUGAGGAAAAACUAUUUUUAGAUGUGAAACCAUGUUUCAUUGGAGCAAGGAAUGGAGCGCUCAAAAAGCAAGAGACCCAUCAUUUGUUGUGGAGAUUGUAUUAAAAUACUGAUGAAGUGAUCUGCAGUUUUCAUCAGUAAGCAUGAAUCAAUGAGUACAGGUUCAUUGCGUUGGAAACGUGCUUAAGAUCAUCAUUACAGACAAUGACUUAAUCUAAUGGAGUAACUUUUUGGAUAUCCAAACAUUCUCAUAUCGUAAGCAUGAAUCAAUGAAUACUGGUUCAUUGCGUUGGAAGCGUGCUUAAGAUCACCAUCACAGACAGUGACCUAAUCUAAUGGAGUAACUUUUUGGACAUCCAAACAGUCUCAUAUCUAGUUCUUGGUAUGAUUAGUUCUUGAAAGGAUCAUUAGGCUGAAUAUUGAUGUAAAUGCAAGUGGACGGGGCAGUUGGAUGUCAACUUUGAUAGGGGCCUUAGCAUCCUCGAACAGUUUUGGUCAAGGCUAAUCCCGCUCCUCUCAAAUCCAGGUUAUUCUUUUAGACUGACUGAACUAAGAAAAAUACAUAAAUAAGGAAGAGAUCUAUUUUUGUGAUUUUAUGACAAAAUUGAAGAUAAAAUAUGGGAUCCAACUUUAUCCCAAAUUGAAUUGAUGAAAAAUUAAAUUUAAAUGUAAAACCAUAAUUCACAAUUCAAUUUCCAUUUCCAUUCUCUUAUAUAAAUACCCAAUCCAAAAAUAAGUAGAUGUGGAACCUAAUGUGAACAACUAAUCCUCAUGAAAAAUAAGGUUAAAGGUCAAUUUAAUUCCAUAAAAAGAGUCUCUCUUGCCAUUUUUUGUGGGUUUGGUAAAAGAUGAAUUGAUUUGAACCAAGCCAAAUAAAAUUGAUUUUUCAAUAUUUUAAAUUUUAUUUGAUCUAUUUAAUAAAAUAAAUAAAUAUUUCAAUCUAAUACAAGAAUGAAUAUAUAUACUGGUAAUUAAACAAUUAAACAAUUUUAUUUGAUUUUUCCUUUAUGUUAGUUUUUAUUUUUAUUUUUAUUUUUAUUUUCUCUUGAACAUAACGCAUUUAGUGGUGAAAAUGGUAAAGAAAGACUGCAAGCACUGAGAUUCAAUUAAUAAUUAUUUAAGUACAAAGACAUGAUAAUGGUAGAAGUUGGGUUUGUCUCUAUAAAUAAUUAUUAUUUUACUUGACAUCUAUUACCACCCAUUCCAAAAAUAAGUUGAUGUAAAAUCUCAUAUGAAAUAUAAAUCCUUGGUGAGAAAUAAGGUAAAUUUCCAUCAAAAGAGUCUCUCAUACAAUUUUUUUCAAGGUUGGAAAAGAUGAAUUGAUUUGGACCAAGACAAAUCAAAUUGAUAUUUUCAAAAUUAUAUAUAUAUAUGUGUGUGUCAAUCAACUAUGACACCUUGCGAGUCAUUCAACAAUAAUCAAUUUUCAAUCAUUUAUAAUUCAUACACCGACUUACAUGUAUAUAUAUAUAUAUAUAUAUAUUUGUUUUCCUUUGUUUUGUUUUUCUCUUGAGCACAAUAUUUAUAAUAUGAUUGGUUAUGUAGAUUUUAUGGCAAAUAAGAAGAUAAAAAAUACAUGUUAUAGUUUUAUUCCUAAUUGAAUAAAUCAAAAACUAAAUUUAAAUAUGUUAGAGCUCCAAGUCCAACCCGAAAUCUUCGCAGUGCGAUAUAUAUAGUGAAGAAAAAAUUAUGGAUUUCUUUUAUGCUUUAUUUAUUUUUUUCUCUCUCCCAUAUAUAUAUAUGGGAUGGUGUAUAGGUUUUUAGGGAUUUGUAUUAUUCUCAUUUUUCCAUAACAAACUAGUAUCAGAGCAAGGUUUGAUUAGUGAGAGGUUUGAUCUUCUCAACAAUGGCAAUGAUGAAAUACAAUAUUCCGCUUUUGGACCGCAACACCAAAUUUUCGUUAUGACAGGUCAAAAUGCAAGUUGUGCUCGCACAAAUUGAUUUGGAUGAUGCACUGUUAGGGUUUGAUAAGAUGCCCUCGUCAUGGACAUAGGAGGAAAAGCAAUGUAAGGAUCAAAAGGCUUUAUCUCAAAUUCAACUUCAUAUGUCAAAUCAAAUUCGACAGGACAUUCUAAAGGUGAAAACUAUCGUUGCAUUAUGGUUAAAUUUGGAGCAAUUAUGCAUGACGAAAAGUCUAACUAGCAAGUUUCAUCUGAAGCAGCAAUUCUAUUCUCAUUGUAUGACAGAAGGUAUGUCUUUAGAAUAUCACUUAACUGUCUUUAAGGAAAAUGUUUAUGAUUUAGAGACCAUGGAGGUUAAGUACGAUGAAGAAGAUUUAGGGUUGAUUUUAUUGUGUUCAUUGUCCUCUCAUAUUCAACUUCUAGAGAUACUAUUUUGUAUAGUCUUGACACCCUUAUCCUGUAAGAAGUUUUUGAUGCUUUAUUUUCUUAGGAGAAAAUGAAGCAACUUGUGGUUGGAUCUGAGGCUCAAGUAGAGGGCCUUGUUAUUCGAGGAAGGACACAAGAAAGAAAUUUUGCUGGUGAUGCAAGGAGCAAAUCGAAAUCUAGAAAUAAAGUCAAAACUUGCAAGUACUGUAAGAAAGAAGGGCACAUCAAGUCUGAAUGUUAUAAGUUGCAGGAUAAGAGUUAUUGCAAAUCAAAAGGGAAAACAACCAGAAAAAUCCGAUGAAGCCAGUGCUAUAGAAGGUAAGUAUAAUGAUGGAGAACUCCUUAUUGUUUCUGAUGGCAACUCCAAACCUUGUGAGGAUCGGAUUCUUGAUUCAAGUUGUAUGUUUCAUGUGUCCUAAUCGGGACUGGUUUUCAACAUAUGAAAUAGUGUUCAAAGGUGUUGUAUUGAAGGGAAAUAAUGCAUCUUGUAAGAUAGCUAGUAAUGGAACAGUCAGAAUCAAAAUAUUUGAUGGGGUUGUCAAGACACUUGGUAAUGUGAGACAUGUUCCAGAUCUAAAGAGAAACCUUAUCUUGUUGAGUACUCUUGAUUCAAAAGGGUACAAGUACACUGGUGAAAAUGGAGUCCUAAAGGUUAGCAAAGGUGUUCUUGUAGUGAUGAAAGGCAGAAAAGGUCUACUUGUAGGGAUCCAAAAUUACAGGUGAUGUUACUAAACUUUGGCAUGUGCAUCUUGGGCAUAUGAGUGAGAAUGGGAUGAUUGAAUUGAGUAGAAGAGGACUUUUUAAUGGUCAAAAUAUUAGUAAACUGAAUGUAGACCCUCCAUUUUGUCCCUUUAGCACAUGUCUUUAAGUUCACUUCCAAUGCUCCACAAUAGUUCCCUGGUGACCCAUUACUACUCAUAUAACUUAUCUCUUUUUGAGCCACCUCGGAGACUCUGGUUUAGGGAUUUAUCUAACCCCUUAUUGUGACCCUUGCAAGUCUUGAGUUAGACCUAGGAUUUUUCUUUCUUUUUUGGACAGCUCAUUUAGAUACACUUUUAGGAUAGCAUAUCUAGGCACACUAGGCCCAUUUAGAUGUACUUGGCCCACUUAGGCCCACCUAGGCUCACCUAAGCCCAUUUUGGCACACCUUAGCCCACUUAAGUUUACCCAAUCUUGCUUAGGUCACCUUUUUGGUACAUCUUGCAUGUCUCACGUGGCUUGUAUGACUUGCAUGGCUCGUUGUUGUAAAAUUGCAUGACUUGACUUUUUAUUAUUAUAUUUUUGUUUAUUUUAUUUAUUAUCUUGUCUGUUUCCUCCUUUAUUUUAUUUUCCUAUUAUUUUGUCACUUUUUCGUAAUACUAGUCCUUAUUUAUUUUUAUUUAAUAAUUUUGUUUGGAUGUUUUUUUUAAUACUAUUAUUAUUAUUAUUAUUAUUAUUAUUAUUAUUAUUAUUAUUACUUUUACUCAUUUUCAUCAUUAUUAUUAUUAUUUUAUUUAAUCUAUUAACUUUGAAAUUUUGUAGGGAAGGUGUGCACGGUCACAUUGAGAUUGAUAUUUUGGAAGAUGGGAUUUCCUUGGAUGCAUGGUCAUUGGACAUGGGAUAGAUACCAUAUUGAGAUCAAAAAGUAGGUGUGGACAUUUUGGGAGAGUUUAAGGGAUAGACAAUUUAAAAAAAAAAAUUGGAAAAAGAAAGAUGAAUAUUGAGGCAUUCUUAGGACAUGAAGACACAACUUGAGAGGAGAUGAAGAAUCACGGCUUUGAGAGGGCUCUUUAGGAAAAAUCCAUGCCUGUAUGCACUUUUCUUUGUUUUUUUUUUGGAUAUAGAUAGGAGGAUUUGAAGCAGAGUGGACUUUGGAUGGAAGGUUGGAAAGAGGAAUCUUGUUUUGGGAAGAGUCCUCAUUAAGGGAGGUAAGAUCAUGGCUUUAAGGAGUCCGGGCUGUAUAUAGAAAGUGGGGCAGAUCAUGGCUGAAGGUAAGAGAAAAAGGAGGUUUUUAUUUUUUUAUUUUUUUAAAAUGGGUAGAUCAUGGCUGAAGGUAAGAGAAAAAGGAUUCUCUUUAUCCAAAUAAAAAGGGAGACUCACAGAUGGGAGAAAGGGGGCGGGAGAGCAGCACACAACCAGCAGGCAUUCUGGACACACUCCAUGGAGAUUGGGGAGCAGAUUCUUUCACAAGAAAAAUCAUAGAGGCACCAUCAAUUUUUUUAAGGCUCCACACGCAUAUUGGGAACAAUCAGCUCUUUUGGAGAUGAAUACAGAUCAGAUUUCUUGCAAAUGAGGGCAAUAGAUUUUCUAGAAGGUGCUGAUGGUGUACACGGCUUGGUUAUGAAAAACCUCGGAUUUUAGGAGUUGCAUGAGUGAACGGUUUGUUGAUGAAGACCAUUAAGUUUUUUGGAGGUAGUGGUGCACGGUUGCAUGUGAAUGACGAGCAUCUAAACGCUCUAGAUGAAAGUUGAUGCUUAAUUGACGAGUACACGGUUUGGGAAUAGAGUGAUGAUUUUUUUUUUUUUUUUUUGUGGAGCACGAUGUGGACAAUAGGAUAUAGAGAAACAACAUCUUGAUUUUUUUUUGGGGACUCCUGCACAAAAGAGGGCUACCACUUUGAGAAUAUAGCAAGCAAAAAUCAUAAUUUUUUCUUUUUUUGAGGGAAAGAAAGCCGCCAACAGGAUCAUGCACAAGUAGCCUACACAUUCCAUAGGGAACCACAUGCGGCUGCCAUCCAUUGAAAAGAAGCACACGCAUCUAUUCAUCAGUAAAGAUUCAACCUGCAUGCAUGGAGAGGCCAUGCCACUUGAUAGGAAUUCUCCACCAAAGAGAUACCCAGCCUGCAGCAUCUUCGGGGUAGCCUACAAGCACUUUUGGAGGACACAGAAUCCACUUUGAGAGAAACAAACAUCUCAUGCUGCCACUUUGGAUGGACACUUGAAAUUCAAGCGCCACAUAUGAGGGGCCAUGGUCGCACUUGAAAAAUCAGGAGGUGGCACCCACUUUGAGGCAUCUCUGGCACGCACCAUAUUUUGAAAAGCAAGACGGGGCGCUAUUCGGAGAGAAUUCUCCACAUGCACAGCCAUGCACAUACAUGGGCUGGAAUCCGUGAAAGACUUCACGCCACUCUCCAAAGAUGCCAAUACGCUGCAAGGAGGACACCACACAGCCAUUUAGAGUACUCUCCAACAGAAACAAGGAGCAGCAGCCUGCGCCAUGAGGGGGAACCACAUGCCGCCAUGAGGAUGCUUCUCCUCAUGCCAGGGCUGCAUGAGUGGACACUCACAGUCCUCUUUUAGGAAAAAUCCUCCAAAGCACUCACCAUUCACUCAUUCUCAAGGGCAGUCACACCAUGCUCCUCUUUCUUUGUUUUGUUAAACGAUUCUAGUUUCCUUCAAAUUUCAUCCUUGAGAGUUUCUAGAUUCAUCAAAAUUCGGAUAUCAAGAAACUUUUUGCUGUCAUUUUCCACAUGGCAUGCAUUCUCACUAUUUUAUUUGAUUUUCAACUAUUUUCUUGUUUUUAUUGAUUUUCAACAACCAUGAACAAACUUCAUGAUGCCAAAUAAUGGAAUUCAUUGAACCAACUCAUGCAAAAGCAAUUGGGGAAUUGGUGGAACCCCUACAUAAAAUCAUUUUUUUUAACACUCUUCCUUGCUGCCAAUUUUCACUCAACCAUUGACCCUUUAGUUUUAAAAUUCGUUUCAGCAACUUUAGAAUACUUCAAAAAAAAAUUUCAAAAUAGCAUGAUUUUCCUCACUUCUUGAAUUUUAAUUUAGAAUUUCGUUUGAGUUAGAAAACAAUUCUAGAAUAGAAGAUAUAAAUGAGUUUUUAGGAGGGCUUUGUUUUCACCUAGUUCUGGACACCCGAAAUAUUUUUAUAAACAUAAAAUAACAGAUGAAUUUUUAAAUUUAAUUAGAUAUUUUUUUAUUAAUUGUAGACUUCUUUAAAUUGAUCUUAGACAUAAAAAAUAUUAAAAAAUAUGUUUUUUUGAGGGAGAUAUGAUUUUUCAAAUUCGUACCUACUGUACAUGAUGGAAUCUGGACAUCUGAUGAGUUGGAGUGUUUUAAAAAUAUUUUUGAGUACUACUCGACCCUGGAUUUAUUUUUCCUAUAAUAUAGAAUUUUUGAAUGAUGUGUGUGAUUUUUUGUACAAUUUUAUGUGAUCUUUUAUUAUUUUUAAAAAAAUUUCUUAUGCAUGUCACUAUUUUUUUACCUAAUCUGGAUCUUUUGGAACUUUUGGGUGUCUUUGCUGCAAUUUUUCAUUAGAAUGAGUGUUUGGAUUUUGGUAUCUUGUUCUAGAUGUGUAGGAGUUGCUUCUUGAAUUUUUUUUGUAAUUGAAUCCCACUCCAAGACAUUUUUUUCAGAAAUUGUUUUGUGAGGCUCCCUUUUCUAAUUGCAUGUUGAUGAUCUUAUGCUUUGCUUGAAUUUAUUAUUUAUUUUUGGGGUCAUUUGACUUAUCUUGACUCAAUUUUGGCUUUGGUACUGUAUAUUAUACAUAAUAAAGAUGUUAUAUAAUUUAUACUUGUCCUAACCACUUUAGCAUUUUUGGAGAAAUUUUAUAAAUUAUGCAUGUUAUCCAAGUACGCUCUCUAUCACUUACUUUUCGGAAUUUUAUGAACAUACAUGUUGUUGUGAACCAUAUCUUUGUUCGAUGUAAUCGUUGGGUGCCUAGAUGUCUAUUCGAUUUGCUUUGAUUAAAAACAUGUCGCGUGCUAUAUUUCUAUGCUAACUUUAAUGUCUUAUGAUAGCGCUUGAGAAUCAGUCCCGGUACACAUUCUAAGAUUUCUUUGCGAUUGUGAUUUGAUUUCUUUUUUGGCAUGCUAGUUCUAAAAUCACCUUAGCCUACUUAGGUACCUUCAAUCAAUUGAUUAAUUGCCACUUUUCCCUUGACUUAGUCAUUAGGGACCUCUUUAGGGCUUAGAGGGGUCCUACUUCUUAGAGGUACAUUCCUAAUAGGUAACUCGAUCCCCAGACCAAGACUCGAGUUUUUCAAGACUUGUUUUUCCAAAACUAUGAAGUCACUUCUUUAGGGUUUUCUUUCUUGUUUUAUUUUCCAUUUUAAAAUAAAAUAAAAUAAGUGGCAACUCCAACUUUUCCAAAACUAAUUUUUCACAAAAAAAAAGUCUUUCCAUUGAGUGGUGUUAGUGUCUCAUUUUCCCAUUUAUACGCGUUACAAAAUCAGCAUCCCACUAUAUGCAGGUUGCCUCUAUGGUAAGUUCACAUAUUCCCACAUGCAACCCAUGAUUUUCUACCAAAAAUUGCCAUGAAAAAGUCUUCACAUGCAUCUCAUGCCUCCAUAGCUUGCAGCCGUGAACCUACAUUUUGUUUACUCGCAUUUUUCACGUGCGUCCCCACUCAAUGGCAAGACUAUGUUUUUUUUUUUUUGAAAAAUUAGUUUUGGAAAAGUUGGAGUCGCCACUUAUUUUAUUUUUAUUUUAAAAUGGAAAAUAAAACAAGAAAGAAAACCCUAAAGAAGUGAUUCCAUAGUUUUGGAAAAGCAAGUCUUGAAAAACCCGAGUCUUGGUCCGAGGAUCAGGUUACCUAUUGGGAAGGUACCUCUAAUAGGUAGCAUCCCUCUAAGCCUUAAAGAGGUCCCUAAUGACUAAGUCGAGGGAAAAGUGGCAAUUAAUCAAUGGAUUGAAGGUACCUAGGUAGGCUAAGGUGAUUUCAGAACUAGCAUGCCAAAAAAGAAAUCAAAUUAAAAUUGCAAAGGAAGGUUAGAAUGUGUACUUGGACUACUUCUCAAACGCUAUCAUAAGACAUUAAAGUUAGCAUAGAAAUAUAGCACACGACAUGUAUUUAAUAGAGCAAAUCAAACAGACAUAUAGGCACUUAAGGAUUACAUCAAACAUAGAUAUGGUUCUCAACAACAUGUAUGUUCAUAAAAUUCCGAAAAGUAAGUGAUAGAGAGCGUACUUGGAUAGCAUGCAUAAUUUAUAAGAUUCCUCCAAAAAUGCUAUAGUGGUUAGAACAAGUAUAAAUUUUAUAACAUAUUCAUUAUGUCUAAUAUACAGUACCAAAGCCAAAAUUGAGUCAAGGUAAGUCAAAUGACUCUAAAAAUAAAUAACCAAUUCAAGCAAUGUACAAGAUCAUCAUCAUGCAAUUAGAAAAUGGUGCAUCACAAAAUAAUUUCUAAAAAAAAAACAUAUCUUGGAGUUGAAUUUAAUUACAAAAAAUCUCAGGAAACAACUUCUACACGUCUAGAAUAAGAUACCAAAAGUCAAACACUCAUUCGAAUGAGAAAUUGCAGACACCCAAAUGUUCCAAAAGGUUCAGAUUAAGUAAAAAAAUAGUGACAUGCAUAAAUGAUUUUUUUUUAAAAUAAUAAGCGUUCACAAAAAAAUCAUACGAAAAAUCACACACAUCUUUCAAAGUCUAUAUCACAUAAAAAAUGAAUCCAGGGUUGGGUAGUACUAAAAAAUAUUUUUAAAACGUUCAAGCUAAUCAGAUGUCCAGAUUCCAUCAUGUAUAGUAGAUACGACUUUGAAAAAUCAUAUCUCCCUCAAAAAAGCAUAUUUUUUAAUAUUUUAUAUCUCUAAGAUCAAUUUUAAGAAGUCUAAAAUUAAGAAAAAAAUAUUAAAUCAAAUUUUAAAAAAGUUAUUUGUUAUUUUAUUUUGACAAAAAGAUUUCGAGUGUCCAGAACUAGGUGAAAAUAGAGCCCCCUUAAAAACUCAUUUAUAUCUUCUAUUCCAUAAUGGCUUUCUAACUCAAACAAAAUUUUAAAUUCGAGUUCAAGAAGUGAGGGAAAUCACACAAUUUUUGGAAAUUUUUCUAAGAUGUUCUGAAGUUAUUAAAAUGAAUUUUAAAACUAAAUGCAUGGGUUGGUGAUUGAAUGAAAACUAAUAACAAUGAAGAGUUUUGAAAAAAUGAUUUUAUGUAAGGGUUCCACUAAUUCCUCAUUUGAUUUACACAAAUCUAGUCUAGAAUUAUCCCAUUUGUUUGGGACCACAAGCUUGGAUUCAUGUCUUACUGAAAACCAUAAUUUUUAUUGAAAGCUGAGAAAAAUGCGAACCGAUCAAGACAUGGUUGCAUAUUAUUUAAGAAAAUGAGAUUUUGAUUCUAAGGACUCUAAAUGAAUUUUUUUUAAAUAGAUUUUCAAAGGGAUCUUUUGAGAAGAGUAUUUUAUUUUAAAAUAAAAGAAAUUAAUUUGAAAACAACAAAAAUAAGACACAAAAUACCUAACAAAACAAAAGAAAACAAAAUGACAAAGUAAAAUUUUUGACAACCAAGCUAACUAAAGUGGUGAGAAUGGAGCCAACCUUCAUGAGUUUUUGAUGGCUUCUGAAAAGUAAAUUUGACAAGGGACUACCAAAGAAAUAAACCAUUAAAACUUAGAUCAUACAAGUUAAUGAAAAUAUCCACUAAGAAUUAAAAACUAGGAUUCAAGAAACACAUAAAUCGAGAAUAACAAAUCAAGAACUAACAUAUGAUUAACUAAACACACAAACACAUCUAGACUUAAAAAAUAAAUUAAAAUUGAACUAAAUUAGGAUUAAAAACAUGGACUUUAUCUGACAUGAUUAAAUAAACUAUUGGAUUAAAAUCACCAACACAUCUAAACUAAAGAAUAAAUUAAGACUAAACUAAUUGGAAUUAAAAACAUGAACUUUAUCUAACAUGAUUAUUUAAACUAAUGAAUUAAAAUCACUAACACACUUAAACUGAAAGAUAGAUUAAAACUAAACUAAUUCAGAAUUAAAAAAGCAUAAACUUUAUUUUAUAUGAUCAAUUAAAAAACACACGAAUUGAAAUUGGACCAAACAAGAAUCAGAGUUAACAUACUUAAAAAGUGAAUAAAACAACUUUGGGUCAACUAGACUAACUUACACACCAAGAGAGGAUUUUAUGAGAAACACGCACAACAUAUUUCAGGAUUGCAUCCAUAGGCAACUCCUUUCAGCAACACACACGGGAAGGUGGGAGUAUCCAUUGGAUUUAAAAUGGGCAUCACCUUUUUUGAAGGGGCUUCAAGGCGGCUACAAUGGAAAGGCUUUCUCUCAACCACGGACAACCUACACGCAUUCACCAUUGAAGAGGGCAUCAACCGCACCACCAUAGAGGAAUUCUAGAGAAGGUAAGUUAGAAUUUCUAGAUUUUAGUUUUAAUUUUUUUAUUAGAUUGAAAGUUAGAGUUUUUCUUAUUAGUUUUGAUUCAUAAAUAUUGGAAUGAAGGUUAGGUUAUUUGAUAACUUUAAUUCUUAAUUAAUACAAUUUUCAUUUUGUAUUUCAUCUUUUUAGAAAUUUUACCUUGUACUUUGUGGAGAUUCUAUAUAUAAAUAUGGAAAGUACAGGUUGUCAAUAUUAUUAUUUCUCUUUCCACCUGGUGUUAGUGCCUCCUUUUCCCAUAUAUACAUGUUGCAAAAUCAACAUCCCACUAUAUGCGAGUUGCCUCUAUGGUAAGUUCACAUAUUCCCACAUGCAACCCGUGAUUUUCUACCAAAAAUUGCCAUGAAAAAGUCUUCACAUGCAUCCACUUGCAGCCGUGUAUGGUUGCCUUCUGAAGACAAGUUGGUCUGCUUUGCUUCACUAAAAUUCAGCAUGCACCAAGUCUCUAUGCAAAGAUGAGUUGGCUGCAACCCUCCCAAAAUUUCUCCAUUAACGGAUCCCAAGUAUCUCCACCAAAAUCAUGCAAAGAUAAAUACAAAAAAUAAAAAUUAGAAAUCAUGUAAUAAUAUAAAAAAAAUAAAAUAAAUCUCAAAUAAUGCAAUGAGAGGGAAACAAAAGAAAAAAAAAAAAAAAAGAUCAAUCACAUGCGUUAAAAAUGUGUAUAUAUAUAUAUAUAUAUAUAUAUAUAUAUUAUUCCAUGUAACUUAAAAAAAUUAGAAUCAUAAUCUCAAGCAAUUUCCUAAUAAAUAAAUAAAUAAAUAACCUAACAAAAAAUAAGGAAAUAAAUGAAUAAAUAAAUAUCACAUGGGCAAUUAAAAUUUGAAAAUAAAAAUAAUGCAAUAGAAAAUAAUGAAAAACGAAUGCAAUCAAGAAUCGAAAUAGAGUCCAAUGCUCACCUAACCCUAAAAUCGGGCAAUCAAACUCACAUAAUUAAGUAUCAAAAGACCAUCUCAUGCAAUCAAAAGUAAAAAACAAGCCAAUACUCAUCGAAACCUAAAGAACCAAGCAAUCAAGAAAUCAAACCUAAACAAGUGUCCAAAUGACCUAUUUUGAAAAAAGUGCCUAAGUGACCUAGGGUGAAUGUGUGCAAGUUGGAAGGUGCUUAGGAUGUUUAGGACAAUGUCUAAGUGACUUAAACAUGCCUAAGUGUGCUAUCCUAAAAGUGCACCUAAAAGCUAUCUUAAAAAUGAAGGAAAAGCUUAAGUCUAAAUUAGGGCUGCUAAGAGUCACAAUGGGGUUAGAUAAAUCCUUCAACCAAAGUCUCCAAGGUGGCUAAAAAAAAGGUAAGUAGUAUGAGUAGAAAUGGGCCAUCAAGGAACUACUAUGGAGCAUUGGAAGUAAGGCAUGUGCUAAAUGGAAAAAAUGGAGGGUCUACACUGAAGUUCUGUGAGCAUUGCGUUUUUGAGAAGCAAAGGAGAAUCAAAUUCACAAAAGGCUUCACAACACAAAGGGGACACUUGAUUAUAUACAUUUUGAUCUCUGGGGACCAUCUAGGGUACCGUCUAAGGGAGGUGCUAGUUAUAUGUUAACUAUCAUUGAUGAUUUUUCUAGGAAAGUUUAGGUGUUCUUCUUGAAGCAAAAGAGUGAUAUGCUAGCUACAUUCAAGGAGUGGAAGAUUAUGGUUGAGAAACAGACAAGAAAGCAAGUAAAACAUCUCCACACUGGUAAUGGCUUGGAGUUUUGUUCUGAUGAGUUUAAUGCUCUAUGUAAGUCAAAAGGAAUUGUGAGACAUCAUAUAGUUUGUCAUACUCCACAAAAAAAUGGUGUGGCGGAGCAAAUGAAUAAGACUUUGAUGGAGAAAGUGCAUUAUAUGCUCUCCAAUGUUGGUUUACUUAAGUCUUUUUGGGUUAAAGCUACCUCUAUAGCUUGUUUCCUCACUAAUUGAUCUCCCUCAACUACUAUUGACAAAAGAACUCCACGAGAGGUAUGGUCUGGUACUCCUACUAGUUACUAUAAUUUGAAGAUAUUUGGAUGUCCUACCCAUGGUCAUGUUGAUAAUGGAAAUUUGGAACCUAGAUCUAUAAAGUAUGUUUUCCUUGGCUAUAAGUCUAGUGUUAAAGGAUAUAAGCUAUGGUGUCUAGAAACCAAGAAAGUCAUAUAUAGUCAGUAGAGAUAUUAUUUUUUAUGAAACUGUUAUGCUUCAUGACUCAUCUUUUAGAGAUUCUUGUGAUAAAGAGCAAUAGAAAUCAAGCACACAGGUAGAGUUUGAGUUUGGGUUAGGAUUCAUACCUGAGUCUACAUCUCAGUUUAGUUUUGAGAUGAAGAGUGGUGUUGCUACUCCCUCACCACCACCUGCACCACCACAGUAUUCUAUUGCUAAAGACAAGCUUAGAAGAGAUAUUAAACCUCCACAGAGGUAUGCUGAGGCUGAUUUGGUUACUUAUGCCUUAAAUGUGGCUAAAGGUAUUGAUUCCAAUGCAGAACCUUCUACUUACUCAAAGGCAGUUAAUUGUGAUGAUUCUAGCAAAUGGAUGAUUGUCAUGUAGGAGGAGAUGGAGUCAUUUCAUAAGAAUGACGCAUGGGACUUAGUGAGACUACCUAAAGGUAAAAAGUAUAUUCAUUGCAAAUGGGUGUUCAAGAGGAAAGAAAAAAUACCAGGAGUUGAAGAAACCAGGUAUAAGGCAAGAUUAGUUGCAAAGGGCUAUAGUCAUAUUACAUGUAUAGACUUCACUGAUGUGUUUUCUCCAGUUGUAAAGUAUAGUUUGAUUUGAGCUUUGUUUGGUAUUGUGACCAUGCAGGAUUUUGAACUUGAGAAAUUGGAUGUGAAGACAACAUUCUUACAUGAAGAACUUGAAGAGGGCAUCUACAUGCAACAACCUAAGUAUUUUAUAGUUUCAGGAAAGGAGGACUAUGUGUGUUUGUUGAAAAAGUCUCUCUAUGGCCUGAAAUAGUCACCCAGAUAGUGGUAGAAGAGGUUUGACUCAUUCAUGAAAACUCAUGAUUUUAAAAGAAGUAAUUAUGACAGUUGUGUCUACUUUAAAUGGAGAUCUGAGAGACAGAAAGGUAGGUAAAUUAUACCUAAGUUAAAAAGGGUAAUUGAGAAAGUUCUUUAUAGGUUCAAUAUGCAAAAUGCUAAACCUGUUAGUACUUUAUUAGCGGCUCAUUUUAGACUUUCAUCUGUUUUAUAUUUGCAAUCAAAUGAUGACAUUAAUUAUAUGUCACUGUGGACCCGCAUUUUUCACGUGCGGACUCGAUUGGCGAGACUCUCUUUUAUUUGUGAAAAAAAAAAUAUUUAGUUUUGGAAAAGUUGGAGUCGCCACUUAUUUUAUUUUAUUUUUUAAAAGGGAAAAUAAAACAAGAAAUAAAACCCUAAAAAAUGACUCCAUAAUUUUUGAAAAAGCGUGUCUUUGAAAAACCCGAGUCUAAGUCCGAGGAUCAGGUUACUUAUUGGGAAGGUACCUUUAAAAGGUAGCACCUCUCUAAGCCCUACAAAGGUCUCUACUGACAAAAUUAAGGGAAGUGUGGCAAUUAAUCAGCUAAUUAUAGAUAACUAAAUAGGCUAGGUGAUUUUAAAGAGUGGCAUGCCAAACACAAUCAAAUUGCAAAAAAAGGAGUGUUAGGGUGUGUACCUGAACUGCUCUUCAAGCGCUAUCAUAAAACAUAAAAGUUAGUGUAGAAAUGUAGCACACAACAUUUGUUUUAUUCAAGCAAAUCAGGCAUAUAUCAAGACAUCCAAGAAUCACGUCAAAUAUGGAUAUGGUCAUCAAUGGCAUACAAGUCCAUAGAGUUCUAAAAAAUAGAUGAGAAGAGAGCAUACCUGGAUAGCAAGCUAGUACUCGUCUAUGGGAAUCAAGAGCAUCUCAACAAGAAAUGCGAAACAAAUUCAUGUAUAUCAUCAAGAAGAAUCAAAAAUCAACAUAUCAAGCAAACAAUAUUGAAAAAGGUAUCAUGAAUGUUGGGCCCCCACCAAAGCCCUAAUUAAUUUCGCAUGAGUUGAUUCCAUAAAUUCCAUGACUUGGAAUUAUGGAGUUUGUUCAUGCUUGAGAAAAUUGAAAAAAAUCAAGAAAAUCGGUUGAAAAUCAAAUAAAAUAGUGAAAAUGCAUGUUGGAAGGAAAAUGGCAGCAAGAGUAUGUUAGAAUAUGGAUUUUAUACCUAGAAAGGAUCUAAGAUGAAUUUUUCAAAGCCAGGAAUGUUUAGUUGAACAAUGGUUCAAGAAUUCAAUUUAAAACAAUAAGUUCCCAAUCAAAGAAGCAAAUAGAGGAGAAUGUGUGUAUAGCAAGGCUGCCAUGAAGUGAAGCCAGGAAAUUCUGGAUAGAAGGGACCAAUUCACUGCAAGAGUGUUCAAUUGUCAAAUGCUUCAACUUAAAAGACAUCUUGAUUUGUAAGCUCAAUUGGAUUCUCCUCAACAGAAGUCAAAUACUGAAUUGAAGAUUCAGAAUUUCCAAUUUUCUGCAUUGUUGUAUUUCUUGCAUUUUGUGUUAUUUCCCCACCACCGAGACUUGGUUCAGUAGUAUUGUCGGAGUUUGCUUUUUGAUUGUGGGCGGAAAUGGAUCCGGCGAAUCGCGAGUAUCUGGCGAGCCAAGCUAUCCAGGUGGAGUGUGAAUCGUUGGCCACAGAUGCUAUCCGGAUAAGCGUUAUCGAAGGAUCCGGACAUGUCUGCCCGGGGAAGUUGAAUUGUCCUCCUAUCCCAUCCGGCGGCGGGAGCCAGAUGUGAAAUAUCCAGAGAAGGUGGAACGUCAGCCGGAUAGAAUUGCAGCUGUGAGAUAUUCGGAGAGAGUGGGAUGUCAGCCGGAUAGAAUUGCGGCUGUGAGACAUCCGGAGAAAAUGUGAUGUCGGCCGGAUAGAAUUGCAGCUGUGAGACAUCUGGAGAAAGUGGGAUGUUGGCCAGAUAGAAUUGCGGCUGUGAGACAUUUGGAGAGAGAGAGAUGUCGGCCGGAUAGAAUUGCGGUUGUGAGACAUCCGGAGAGAGUGGGAUGUCAGCCGGAUAGAAUUGCGGCUGUGAGACAUCCGGGUAGAAUUAGUGAGAAUUUCCGUCCGGGUGGAAUGAGCAAUGCCAUAAACUAAGAACCCUUAAGAACUAUGGUAACCUCUGCAUUUGUUUAACUCCAAGAAAACCCGUUUUACACAGCCUUUAUCAAGUUCCCAACUUUCUCGGAAUGCUCAUGGUCUCCAUAUCCGAGAAUACCAAGGUAAAGAAAGGGAGGAAACGUAGAUACAGAAGCACGCAAAAAGACCAAGAAAGAAAAGAAAAGAAAAUAGGGGAAAAAAAGACAAUCGAUGGGUAUUUUAAAGCCAGAUUGGGACAUAAAUGGGGGCAAGACCCAUAGCAUCAAAUUCAAAGGUAAACUUAUAUUCACAUUGCUUUCGGAUGGAACCAAAGACAUUAAAAGGAAUAUUAAAAUAACAUAAACAUGCAAGAAAACCAGUCUCAACUAAUCAAAUUAUGGCCCUUGCGUCCACACCAAACGACAAGAAUGAAUCUUUAGAAAACUAAGAAGUCGGGAAAGAUUGAAACUAAAUGGUGAUAUAGCAAAAAUCUGGAAACAUACCUGCACGUUCUCCUCUCCAAUUGCUUGGUUCUAGGCUGCUGCACCUUUUCCCGACUGAGAAAUCUGCUCCCCAAACCUUUUUCCGUCCACCAAUCUUCUCCUUCUCUAUACGUAUUCCAAGUCCCUCUCUUCUAUACCUCAUUUAAGACGAUCCUCUCAUGCACACCUCCUCUUCUUUUCCCUUUCCCCUUAUAUUUGUAUCAGCCUCUCAAACCAAAUAUGCUAAAGAAAAUCCACUUUCCUUUAUUCUAUAUCCUUUCCUUUUUUGAAAAUCAGAAUGCUCCUUUAGGAUCUCUUAUUUCCAUAUGUAUGCAACCACAUUAAUUCCUUUUUCCUUCACAAAAUAUUUUUCUUACCUUUUUGAGUGCACAUACCUUAGUGAGAUUUGAAUAGUAGCCUCCAUUCUCUUGCCAAACAAUAAGAAAAAAAAAACGAAAAUAAAGAGAAUAAAAAAUAAAAAAAAGUUAGCAAUCUUACAACCUAUCAAAGAUUAAAAUAAAAAAAAUAAAUAAAGUAAAACAUAAUAAAAUGAAAUGAAAUAAAAUAGUCAAUCCCAUGUGGGCCAUGCAAGUCAUACAAGUCACGCUAAAAAAAAGUCUUAAUGGGCCAAGUGCGUCUAAAAGGGCUUAGGUGAACCUAAAUGAGCCUAAGGUUGGGAUAAGGGUGCCUAAAUGGACCUAGGGUGUCUAAAUGGGCCAAGUAGACUACCCUAAAAGCUAUCCUAAAAAUGAAUGAAAAAUCUAAGUCUAGAAUAGGGCUGCUAAGGGUCACAAUAAGGGGUCAGAUAAUCCCUCAACCAAAGUCUCUGAGGUGACUCAGAAAAGGGUAAGUUAUACGAGUAAUAAUGGGCCACUAAGGAGUUACUGUGGAACACUGAAAACAAAUUUAAAGACAUGUGCUAAAGGGACAAAAUUGAGGGUCUACAAAUAUGCCCUUCUUCAGUAUAGAUCACGAGUGUAGAGAAUGUGAGUAGAAACGCGAGUAAUGAGCGAAAUGAAGUGAACUAUAUCGAAGAAUUAAAGAAGGACCAGAGAUUUUGUCCUAGCACAUGAAGAGGUAAGGUCAAAAGAUGGGGUCUCAACGAUAUGGAUGGGACAACUCUAUGUGGAGAGGGAAUGGCAAUAAAGAGAGAAAGGUAUGUGACGAGUAGCACAAGGAUGGAAAGAGGUGAAAAGGAUGACGAGUCAUGGAUGAGAUGAAUGAAUAUGGGUCAAGGACAAGAUGAACGACUCUGGGUCUAAAAUAGGAUAAACGACUCUGGGCCGUGAGCUCAGGGCUCUAAAUGGAUAGAAAUGACUCUAGGUCUAAAAUAAGAAGAAUGACUCUGGGUCAAAAAUGGAAAACGACUCUAGGUCGAGAGUUCCGAGCUCUAGAUGAAAAAGAAAUGACUCUGGGUCAUAAAUAGAAAACGACUCUGGGUCGGGAUUUUUGGGCUCUAAAUGAAAAAGAGAUGACUCGGGGUCAUAAAUGGAAAACGACUCUGGGUCGAGAGCUCUGGGCUCCAAAUGGGAAAGAAUGAGUCUGGGUCAAAAUGGGAAAAAUGACUCUGGGUCGAGAGCUCUGGGCUUUAGAUGAAAAAGAAAUGACUCUGGGUCAUAAAUGGAAAACGACUCUAGGUCGAGAGCUCUGGGCUCUAAACGAAAAAGAGAUGACUCGAGGUCAUAAAUGGAAAAUGACUUUGGGUUGAGAGCUCUAGGCUCCAAAUGGGAAAGAAUGACUCUGGGUCAAAAUGGGAAAAAUGACUCUAGGUCGAGAGCUCUAGGCUCUAAAUAGAUAGCCGAUCAGGAUACUUUCUGACUCAAGGUGCCAAGUCGAGGCCACUCACAAGUGGCUAGAAUGAUGAAAACGAAACAUCUCAGGGAUGUGAAUGAUGCAAAUGACUCUGGGUCGUGAGCUCAGGGCUCGGGGUGCUAUGAAUGACUCUGGGUCAUGAUGCAAUGAGUAAUUCGGGGUACGAUGAAUAGCUCAAGACUACGGAUGGUAUGAAUGACUCUAGGUCAUGAUGCAAUGAGUAACUCAGGGUUACGAUGAAUAGCUCAGGGCUAUGAGCUUCGAGCUCUAUGACUGAUCGGCUAGAAGGAGAAUGCAAUACGCAAACUCUAGGUCGAACCACUCAUGGGCGACCAAAUGAUGAAAGCUCAGCUAAGAGCUGGAAAGACUCUGGGUCUAUAGGAAAUGAUAGCUUAGGGCUACCAAGCUCAGGGCAUAAGGGAAAAAGGAUAGCUCAGGGCUAUAAGACUCAGGGUCUAUAAGGAACAGAUAGCUCAGGGCUAUGAGGCUCAAGGCCUAAAAAAAAAGGAUAGCUCAGCGCUACUAGGCUCAGGACCUAGAAGGGAAUAAUAGAGAAGACCAACUUGAAAGUGGACAUGAAAUAAAUUGGCUCAAAGCCAUAUACUCAAAAUGACAGGGGUCGGACUACUGAAACCAAGAAGAGAAAUAUGCCCCAGUAUCCAGGGUGCUCACACUACUGAAACAACCAGUUAAUCAAUCAUCUGCUAGAAUCAAUGGGUCAAGAACCAAUACAUCAUGACAAACCUCUAAGAAGUCAAAACUGAAGGAGGCCUCUGUGUCUAAAAAACUGCUAUGUCGACGAAUCUCAAAGUGUGUAUAUCGUGGCUCAUCUAAAAGCAAAUCUCAAAGUGCACAAAAUGGUGCUCAUCUGGAUAACCCAAUCGACAAGAUAACAAUGAUGAUCGAAAACAAAUCCAUCAUGAACAUCUAGAUAAAGGAUCCACCCAUGCUCCUCAGGUGAAAUCUGACGUGAUCCAUCUCUAUCUCAAUAAAUCCAUAUAGGGGGGUCCUGAUACAGUCAAUCAUCGAAAGCUCUGAGCUAGUACUCAAUCUGAAACCAAGCUGGUCAUUGUCUCAAUCUCAAGGAUACUCAAAGAAAAUGGGGAAAUAUGUCCCAGUAUAAGAUCUGAUGUCAAAGUCGUGAGGUGAACAACAAACAAUAAUCAUCCAUCCUCGUACCACUGCCCAAACACAAUCUCAUCGAGGAGAGGGGAAUAUGCCCCAGUGUGGAUAAUCUAAUGUUGAAGUCGUGAGAUAAACAACCAACAAUGAUCAUCCAUCUAUGCACGAUCUCAUCAAGGAGAGGGGAAUAUGCCCCAGUAUGGAUAUCCGGUGUCAAAAUCAUGAGAUAAACAACAAACAAUGAUCAUCCAUCCUCGUACCACUGCCUAAACACAAUCUCAUUAAGGAGAGGGGAAUAUGCCCCGGUGUGGAUAUCUGAUGUACAAUAAAGAGUCUGUCAAAAUCAACCAAACAUCUCUAUAACCAUGAAUAAGGAUAGUCAUACCGCACAAUAACAGAUAGGAAUCUCGGGGGAAGGGGGAAUAUGCCCCAAUGUGAAUAUAUAAUGCACAACCAAAGAAUGAAUCCAACAUCAUCAAUCAACUAUCCUCAGCUCAACAAUAAUUCGCUAAGAAGUCAGAAUGAAGUAUCGACCAAUGCCUCAAAGGAGACACUCUAAAUCUAAUCUCAAAUGAAUAGCCAAAAUGAUGAGGAACGUGAUAAUCUCAAGAGUAGAAACAUGUCUCUGAUGAAUCCCUAACUAAAUCUGAUAGGAAUCUGGUAACCUCAAAAUGAGGAAAUAUGCCCCAGUAUGCCGGAUCUAUACACUGCACUGAAAACUGCCUCCAACUCAGUACUAAUCCACUAGUCUAUCUCAGAAAUACUCCACGAAUGGAACCAACUAGGGGCUCAACGAUGCUCCACUAAAACUGAUAUAGUCUCAACAUACCCCACUAAGGAUCUCUGAUCGGUGAAAAUGCCAGGACUUAAAGAAAGUGUUCCACUAGGGGCUCAUCUCAACCAAAUGAAAGGGGAAUAUGCCAAGCAAGAGAGAUACCAAAUGCUGCCAAAAGCAUCUUCCAUAAAAGAGAACAUAGUAACGACUAUACUUCAACCAAACUACAAAAGCCUGUCCAAGUGAAGACUGUCAAAGAUAACUUUUGAUCUCGUGGCCUUAGGGUGGUCUUAAGACGCGGGACGUAAUGUAGGCCAAGGUGAUAGGGUGAAAGAAAUGAAGGGAAACUAGGCUUAAACACCCAAUGAUCAAACCCAUACCCUCGUGUAUAAGAUGUAAUGCAUAGAAAAAAAAAAAAAAACUCAUGAGUCAUGGACUUAGAAGUAACCAAAGGGAAUGUCGAUAGCGGAAUGAGAAAAAGGAUUAAUGGUCAAACUAUCAAUGAAAUAUGUGAAUGAUGUGAAGAAGGUAUCAAAUCAGUAAUGUGUAUCAAUAUGUGGGGGAUGAAUAAAAGGUGGAACAAAGAUCUGGAAAGAGGUAAUGGGAUACAAAAGAAAGCAAUGAGAAAGUGGAAUGAGUGAUGAUCAACCCAUGUUAGUACAAUAAAGGAAAGUCAUAUCACCAAUGAUGGAAUGGUGGGUAAGACAAUGAUCCAGAGACCCUAGUAAAAAGAUUACUCAUCUCUCAUACCUAGUAUAUAUCAAACAUGAUCCAAGAAGCAUAGGAUCUCAUAAAACUCUCAUAUGAACCCUCGACACUCCAAAUGUAUAACAAGAGUGGCUCAAGGAGUGAAAAACUCAUAAAAAACUCACAAAAACCCACAAUGACAAAUAUACCCAAUAAAUGAACCCCAAAAGGUGGCAUAAAUGCCCAAUGGAACGAGAUACCAUACAUGAGCAUAUCGUUGCGCUUUUUUUUUUUUUUUUUUUUUUGCACAUGCUCUGAUCAUCAAUAAAUCAAACUCCAAUGGGAAAAAUAUAAGGAAUAAACAAACUCUCUCAAAUCACUGAUGAAUACAUGAACCCUAUCCCAUGAGAUAACCUCUCAAACCAAAAUCUCCGAAUCAAUGUCAAAUGAUGGAAUGAAUAGAGUGAUAUGACUGCCCUCUUUGCACUAAGACGUGAAAAAUCAUCAACCCAAGAAAGAGAAUAGAUAAGAUGAAGCAAAUAAUGAUAGAGACAAGAAAGAGAAUGAAUAUGUGGUGAUAAUAAAAUAAAAAAAUAGGGUGAUAAGAGGAUGGUAACAAAAUGAGAAGAUAGACCUAUAAGUCUAAAGCUCAUGAGACUUUCCUAGCAAAGCAUGCAUAUACAUCAAAGGGCCCCAACCCGGGUAUAGAAAUGGUAAUCAAAGCUAUAAGAAAGAAAUAAGGCUAUAACGUACCACGCGAAGCUCAAUGGGCUAGCAACGGUCUAAUAUAUAGAGGUGAUAAAGUAUGAGGCUAACCGAAAUGAUGGCCACCCAUCCUAUGACCAUGGUCUCAAACAUAAUACUUCUUUAGCUGAUCCACAUUGGUAGGCUCUGAAAAUUGGUUUCCAUCUAAGUCUGUCAACCAUGCAGCCCCUUUUGGAGUCAACUCUUGGAUAACAUAAGGCCCACUCUAACUAGGUCUAAACUUUCCUCUAGGGUCUCCAAUCAAACCUCUGAGAAUCCUCAAAACUAAGUCCCCUUUUUGCAAUGGUCUAGGCUUAACCCGUUUCUUGAAAGUGAUUCAUGCCCAAUUGGUGUGCCAGCUGAUUCGUGUCCAGCUGGUGAUCCUUGAUUGAGGGAGUAAUAAACAAAAUUUAUAACCUAUAACAACAUAUACUAGGGUAGCAAAGAAAAAGCUAUUAUAGUAUAGUGGCUCUAGGAUCGUUCACUAGGAAGGAUUAACAAGCUAUCAAUGAUACCAAUUCAAAGUGAAUUGGUCUUGUUUCAUUUCAAGGUUAGCUUAAGAAAUAAAACACAAACCUUGAUUGGUAAAGAUUUAGACUUAAACUAACUAAUCACAACAAGUAAUGGGAAUAACUUAGGAAGAAAAACAUUCCUUGGAGAGUUAGGUUCACUGGGGUGGUUCCUCAUGCAAAAGACAUAGCUCCGGUCAGAUGGUUCAUUUCCUCGUGUUAGAGAUUCAACAUAUAGUCAAUUCUCUAACCGGUGUUGUACAGAUACAUUCUUUAAUUAGAUUUCACUUUAAUUCUCUCACUGAUGCAACUUGCAAUGGUUUAAGCCUCUCACUAAGCCUUAACCUUUCAAGGUGAUCUUUAACCUUGGACUUCCCUUCUCAAGCUCGCAAGAGAUAACUAAUGGAUGUCUCUUUGGAGUCCAAAAGCUUACCAAGUGUUGGCAAUUCCAGAAAAUCCUACCUUAAAGUCACCUCCCAGAGGCUCGCAAGGGGUAAACUAGUGCAUCUCCAUGGACGGAGAUCACUUGCCUUACCAAGUGUUGGCCCAGGUGACUCUAAGGUGUUUUAAGUUAACUAAAAACAUAGAAAUCAUUAAAGGAUUUCACUUCCUCUUCAUUACUUGCUAAAACCACAAAGCUUUGCAUUCUUACACUUGGAACCUUCCCCGGCAACCUUAGCUCCAAGGAAUUAGAGGUUUAGUUACUCAUUCUCUAGAGAAAACUCCUCAGAGAGUUCAUAACUUAGUAAUAAAUAAAAAAUACAAAGUGAUAAGGUAAGACAAUACAAAGAACUGAACUUUACUUGCUUACCCAAAACUUUACAAAAGGAUCUCCUCUCUGAGAACAGGCUCCCGAGAGGUAUAUAUAUGAACAUAAUAUAAAACUAAUUAUUACAUAGAUAUUUUCUCUUUUUACUAACUUAAAAGCUAAGGAAUCUUGUAAUUGGUGGCUUACAAGGAGUAUUUUGGGAUUUAGACAACAAAAAUCUAAUAGAAAAUAUCUCCAAAUGUCAGUAGCAAAUAUCGGGGUGCUUCAGGAACCAUUUCGCAAGAGAAAAUGGUGUCUGCGAGAUUUCGCAAGCACUCAAGAGGGCUGCGAAAUCACUUUGCAACAACAAGCUAUUCUCGUAGGGCUGCGAAGUUGGCUUCCACCUUGAGGUUCCAAGCUUCCCUCUCGUGGUAUAUGUCGGGCAACUUCAGAAGGAAAUACACCCUACUGUACAAAAAGGCUGCGGAAUCACUUCGCAGCAAAAGGGUGAUUUCGCAACACUUUGGAAAAUGCUUCCUUCAGCUGGGAGUGAUUGGCUUGCAAAGGCAGCAAUUUCUUCGUUUCAACUCCGAAUUGCGCACUGUUUGAAGAAUUGGAUUGUUGACUUCCUGAGCUUUGAAAUGGUAUAUAGAAUGCAUCAAUUGGACCUCAAAAAGUGCUCCAAAAAUGGCUGCUAUGACUGUCAUCAAGAAUAUGCUUCUUGGUAGAUUCUCUUUACUUUUUUUCCUUGCAUUCCGGAUUUACUCUUGGAAAAUGACUUCCAAGCUUUGCCCAAGAUUCCUCAACACUCUUCUCAAUCUUGAAUUGCUUUGGUGAUCAAAUUACUAACAAAAACACCAAAACUUACACAAAGUGAUUAAAAUUGCUUUCAAGGGUCCUUAACAUGCCAAUUGAGUUAAAAGGCCAAAACUACUACUCAAAAGCGUUUAAAAGGAUUAAUUAUAAGCUAUCAAAUAGCACUUUUUGAGUAGUAAUCACUCCCCCCAACCGACAUAUUGCUAGUCCCUUAGCAAUAUAGGAGAGAAAAAUGAAAAUAAAAAGCAACCUAUACUAAAAUUUACAAUAUCAUGCUGAACAAAAACAAUUCUCAAGUGGCAUGAUGAUUUAAUUCUCUCAUGAAACAUUAAAGAAAUACAAACCCAAAUUUCAACAAGAGUUAUAACAAACUAUGCUAAACACUUUCAAUCAAGGGAAUGCAUUAUGCAAACUGAAGUUUUAAAAUCAUUUCCACUUCCAAAGAACCAAACUUUAUUCUUCCUAAAAAAUCUGUGUAUAGGUUCUUUAGCUUCCGAGAAUAAUAUGCUAAACUAAUCUCUCCCCCCAACCUAUCUCUUUUCAACACUUAGCAAACUGACCAAAAUCAAUAAAGAAAGAACACAUUUUUUUUUUUUUUUUUUUUUUUUUUUUUUUUUUUUUUUUUAAGGAGGCUUUAUGGGAUACUCUUUCGGAAUUGUCCAUGUAAUGGGGGUCCAUCGAUGACUCCGAACCAAUUAAGGUUUAGGGCAUCAAGCUUUAAGGAUCUUUCAACCACUAACUCCUCGGAUUUUUCCCCAGACUUUUGAGAAUGAAUUUCUAAUACCCAAGCACCUACCAUAUGCUAACUCUACCUAUUCACCCUUAUAACGAGCAUUGAGGUCGGUGACUCCCAACCAAUUAAGGUUUAGGGCACCAGGCUUUAAAGAUUUUCACCAUAUACCCCUCAAACCUUGCUCGGGUUUCAAGGCAAGCAAACAACUUUCUUUAUUUCAAAGGCUCAUUGGCCUUUUGCAAGGUGUUUCAAUUUUUAUCAAAUGAGGUCAAAUAUACCAAGUCCCAAAAUUAUCCUAAGUCAAGAGGGAAAUAGUUUUUCAUCUUAUAAUCGAAAUCUAAUGUGCACAGUGUGUGAAUAGCUUAAAGUGGAAGAACUAAAUUCAAUUUCAAUAGAAGUUUCAACAAUUGAACCACUUUAGUGAGCAUAAUCCAUACUCUAAGUCAAGUGAAAAACAACAGUUUAAUUUCUCCUAUUUUAAUUUGAAAAUUUUUCCUCAAAAUUCAUGGAGAAUCGAGUAAAAAGAGUAAAAAGUAAAAAUUACAACUAAUUUACCAAAAUAAUUGCAUUACCAAAAAGACUUAUCAUACUUCCUUCCUCAUUCCCCCCCAACCGAAUUGAGCAUUGUCCUCAAUGUGAUAUGAGUGACUGUAAUUAAAGGGAGGAAGUGGUACCUCCUGAGUGAUAACAAAUUCGAAUACUGAUUGGAGAAACCACAUGUUUCAAAAAGAAUAGAAUAUGUGAGAAAAGGAAAUAAGAAUCAGUUAAUGCUAACUGUUAACAAGAAAUAUUAAACUUGUAUUACUUUAAAUUCAUUCGAGUACAAUGCAAAAGAAAAGUAAAACAAGCAAUCCCAAAUAUAGUACCAAAAUAAUGGGAUUUCUUUCCAACUAAAAAACGAAAUACAUAAAACAAAAAUAGUAGAUAUAUAAUAGUUUGAUGAGUGGGUGGUGCUGGGGCUAGGUAGAUGGGUCUGCCUCUUCAGUAGGUGCUUUAGCUGGGGCUUGGGGCUCUAGAGGAUGAGACUCUGAGGGAUGAGAGUGUGGCACUGCUGGAGUAGAAGUGGAUGGCUCAACAGCUGGUGGCAGGUCGAAAUGAAGCUGGAGCUGCCUUAAUAUGGCAGUGUGUUGAGCUUGAGUGGCCAACAUCUGCUCUUGACAUGCUCUAAUGGCUGCCAUAUCUUGAGCAAGACUGCUCUGAGAUGCUGUGAGAGUGUCCAAUGAACGACACAACUCUCUAUAUUCAGAUAUAGGAAUGGCCAUCCUUGGUUCAGCUGAAGUGGAUGGCUGAGAUGAAGCUGGUGCAGCUGGUGGAGCUCUAGGAAUGGUAGGAGUAGCAACUGUUAUACCCUCAGGUAUGUGUCGUGGGGAUGCUCUCCUUGCAGCUGGCUGUGGGCGUUCAGGCUGGUCAACUCGAUAAGCUGUCAUGUUGUUCCAUUUUUCGAGAGUAAAAAGCUCACGGCAAAUGCGCUUUCGUUCCAAUUGAGGCUCAGAAGGAUACCCCAAGUGCUCCAGAAUUUGGCAUAGCAGCCUUGGAAAGAAGAGGGGAAUGCAAUCAGCUCUCUGAAGCUUCUUUUUGUGUACCUUCUCUUCGAAAUAGAGAAGGGCUACCAGAAUCAGAUGAUGAGGCCCAAAGAAAAAUCCUUCAGACAUCUUGUACAGGGCUUCUAAGAGGACUCCUCCUCUUUGAGUCCAAUUUUGCAAUGGGUAGAGGUUAUGACGCAAAAAUGCAUCAAUCAAAAACAUGAUUGGAGGAAGCUCCCCCCUCAACAGAUGUGAUCGAUUGGCAGCUCCUCUGGAAAGGGCGCGCACCAUCUCCAGCUCAGUAGGAUUGGUCCAAGCUCUAAAAUUAUCGAAUUGGGUUGGCUCAUAGGGAAUUUGCAAGGCUUCAGCUAUAUGGCGUGCUCCCAAUAUGCCAUGCCUCCCAUCAAUAGUGAAAUGAAUUAAAGUUGGAUCCCUGACCUGGUUGGUUGUCAUGGAUUGAUAGAAAUCCAUGGCCACCAUUGGGUAGAAAAAGUCUCUCGGAGUCAACAGGUGCUCCAUGUGGUAUCUCCUCAGCAGAUUGAAUGUCUAUGCAAGCUCCGGCUGUAAUCGGAAUGCGGCUAUGUCGAAGCAUAGCUCGGAAUGGAAUGGCCGAGCUCUAUAAUCCAAAUUUCCCUCAAUUAGGGGUUGAGUUAGCAUUGGCCGCCUGAUUACUUCUUCCAGAGCUAUUUCGGAUGGAAUUUGGGGCUCGGGAAGUGGCGGCUGAGGCUCUUGUGCUUUUGCUUGCGGCGCCGGAGAUGGCACCGGCGACGGAAUUGGCAUGGGAAUCGGCGACGAAACUGGAGUUGGAACCGGUGAUGGAAUUGGCGAAGGCUUUGGAGAUUGCUCCGUCAAGUCGAUGGGUUCUGAGCUUUCAACCCUGGGCCUCUUUUGCAGCGGCCGACCUCCUGACCUGGUUAGGUAACGUCUCGCCGGAGGUUUUGGCGGCGCGGGCUUCACCGGAGGAGGAACUGCUCUCGGCUGCGAAGGCUCAGAAACGGGUUCCAAAACUGGCUCCUUUUGCAAGCUUCUCUUGCGGUUUGAAGGGGAGGAAGACUUGGCCCCUCUGGUUCGCGCCAUUUCGGGUUGCCGAAACUUGGCCGGAACGGAUGGUCGGAGAAGAUGACUGAAGGCUUGCGCGGUGAGGCUUGAGGAAGGAAAUGAACGAUCUGCGAGAAUGGCGAGCUCUAAUUUUGAAACCCUUUUCGCAGCUCAAAUGACUGGUAUAAAUAGGAAUAACUGAAGACUAAGGGUCAGUUUGAGUUUCGCAGCAAAAUGUCAAUUUCGCAGCAAAAUGCCAUUUUCGCAGCAAAAUGCCAUUUUCGCAGCCACUUCGCAAUGCAUUUCGCAGUUGCGAAAUUAAUGUUACUGUGUUGCGAAGUGGCACACGUGUGCCAAAAUCGCUUUCGCAAUUGCGAAAUACCCUACGGAAUGGGACUUUUGUUGCGAAAUCUGGGCUUUACCACUUCGCAAGUCGUUUCGCAGCUGCGAAAUGGGGGCUCCUGUGUUGCGAAGUGGCACUCGUGUGCCAAACUCGCUUUUGCAGCUGCGAAAAUUCUCGCAGAGAAUCCCAAAGUGUUGCGGAAUGAUUUGGCAACAAAAUGCUCAUUUCGCAGAAGUUUUCUUUAGGCUGCGAAAUCUCGCAGAGCUCUGUUUUUGCUCUGUUUUCACUCUGUUUUUGCUCCGAUUUCGAUCAGAUUUUUUUCCUUUCAAUUUCCUUGAAAUUUCUUCCACCUGAGAUCAUUCAAAAAGAUUAAAACACACCUAAAAACAUGAUUUAAGAUCAAAAACUAAGAUCAAAUGUAUGGAAAAAACUUGAAAAUUUACAAAAUUUACAAAAAUUUUGGAUUGUGGUAAACCACGUCCAACAAACCUUUCUUUGCUUAGGCUUUUUGAGGCUCAAGGAGGUUGAUCUCCUCCAUUUCUGGUUUGAAUGACUCCAUGAAUGGCUUGAGACGAUAUCCAUUGACUUUGAAGGUGUCCUUGCCAUUUGAAUUCAAUAAUUCCACCACUCCAUUGGAACAUACUCGGUGAAUUAUGAACGGGCCUAUCCACCUUGACUUGAACUUCCCAGGAAAGAUAUGGAGUCUUGUGUCAUACAGUAAAACUCUUUGCCCUUCCUGAAAUUCCUUGUUGGAGAUGAGUUGAUCAUGCCACUUCUUCAUCCUCUGUUUUGCAACUUUGGAAUUGAUAUAAGCAUUAUUUCUUAAUUCCUCCAUCUCAUUAAGGUCUAGAUAUCUCUUUUCUCCGGCUCUGAUCAAGUCCAUGUUCAACUUCUUUAUUGCCCACCAAGCUUUGUAUUCAACUUCCACAAGGAGAUGACAUGCUUUGUCAUAGACAAGACGAUAGGGAGACAUGCCAAGAAUAGUCUUAUAAGCUGUUCUAUAUGCCCACAAUGAAUCAUGAAGCUUAAUAGACCAAUCUUUUCUGCUGGAAUUCACCACUUUCAUCAAUAUGUUCUUUAUUUCCCUGUUAGCUAGCUCAACUUGCCCGGAAGUUUGAGGAUGAUAAGGUGUAGCCACCUUAUGCUUCACUCCAUACUUGGAUAACAGAGCUUCAAAAGGUUUGUUGCAAAAAUGAGCACCUCCAUCACUGAUUAUGGCUUUGGGCACCCCAAAUCUUGAGAAAAUGUUCUCUUUAAGAAACUUGAGAACCACCCUGUGAUCAUUUUGUUUACAGGGGAUUGCCUCAACCCAUUUAGAAACAUAAUCCACCCCCACCAAGAUGUAAGAAUUACCAAAAGACAUUGGAAAAGGUCCCAUGAAGUCAAUGCCCCAUACAUCAAAUAGCUCAACUAUUAGAAUGGGGUUCAUAGGCAUUUGAUUUCUUUUUGUUAGCUUUCCAAGCCUUUGGCAUCUGUCACAACUUCUACACAUGAUGUGGGCAUCUUUGAAAAGAGAUGGCCAAGUAAACCCUGAUUGCAACACCUUCAUGGCUGUUUUCUGAGAGGCAAAGUGGCCUCCACAUGCAUUCUCAUGACAAUGAUAUAAAAUCCCUUGCUGCUCAUCUUUAGGGACACACUUCCUUAUUAUCUGAUCUGCACAAUACUUAAAAAGAAAGGGCUCUUCCCAAUAAUAAGCAUGAAUUUUGGCAAAGAAGUGCUUCCUGUCCUGUGCAUUCCACUCACUUGGAAUUUUUCCAGUUACUAAAUAAUUAGCAAUAUGAGCAUACUAAGGAGUUUUCACUAGGAACAUGAGUGAUUCUUCAGGAAAAUCAUCAUUAAUAGGCAAGGGAUGGGAGUUAUGUGCUAUAACUAACCUCGAAAGGUGGUCAGCUACUACAUUCUCCACUCCUUUCUUAUCUUUGAUUUGGAGAUCGAAUUCUUGUAACAAAAGAAUCCAUCUAAUCAACCUUGCUUUUGCAUCUUGCUUUGUCAAUAAAUACUUCAAGGCUGAAUGGUCAGUGAAGACAAUGAUGAAAGACCCCACUAAAUAAGCACGAAAUUUGUCCAAAGCAAAUACCACAGCUAACAAUUCUUUCUCUGUAGUUGUGUAGUUCCUUUAAGUUUCAUUCAGUAUUUUACUUGCAUAGUAAAUCACAUAGGGCUUCCUAUCUUCUCUUUGGCCAAGCACAGCUCCUAUAGCAAAGUCAUUGGCAUCACACAUCAGUUCAAAAGGUAGUUGCCAGUUAGGGGCUCUCACUAUUGGAGUUGUUGUUAAAAAUUUCUUCAGUUGAUCAAAGCUAUUUUGACACCUUUCAUCCCAUAUAAACUUAGCAUCCUUAGCUAACAGCUCACAAAGAGGUUUUGAAAGACUUGAAAAACCUUUUAUAAACCGCCUAUAGAACCCUGCAUGGCCAAGGAACUUUCUUACUCCUUUCACAGUUGUUGGGGAUGGUAAUUUGACAAUAAGCUCCACCUUUGCUUUAUCAACUUCAAUGCCUUUUUCAGAGAUGAUAUGGCCAAGGACAAUUCCUUGACGUACCAUAAAAUGGCAUUUCUCCCAAUUGAGCACCAGGUCUUUUUCAAUGCAUUUGUGAAGAACUGCUUCCAAAUUAACUAAGCAUUCCUCAAAUGUACCUCCAUAUACGGUGAUGUCAUCCAUGAAAACCUCCAUAAUUCGUUCCACCAUAUCAUUGAAAAUACUCAACAUACAUCUUUGAAAUGUAGCAGGUGCAUUGCAUAAACCAAAAGGCAUUCUCCUAUAAGCAUAUGUUCCAAAUGGACAUGUAAAAGUGGUCUUUUCCUGAUCUACCAAAUUAAUUUCAAUUUGAAAAUACCCUGAAUACCCAUCCAAGAAACAAUAGAAUGGAUGUCCAGAGACUCUCUCCAGCACUUGGUCAAUAAAUGGCAAUGGAAAAUGAUCCUUCCUGGUUACAGCAUUCAGCUUUCUAUAAUUAAUACACACUCUCCAUCCUGAAGUGAGGCGUGUAGUAAUUUCUUCUCCUUUUUCAUUCUGAACCACUGUGAUCCCUGACUUCUUUGGUCCCACUUGAGUAGGACUCACCCAAGGGCUAUCAGAUAUAGGGUAAAUGAUUCCUGCUUGAAGUAGCUUCAGCACUUCAGCUCGCACCACCUCUUGUAGAUGAAGAUUCAACCUUCUUUGAAAUUGACGAAUUGGCUUUGCUUCCUCCUUCAUAUAUAUAUGAUGAGUACAAACUAAAGGACUAAUGCCUUUCAAGUCAGAUAUUUGCCAUCCUAUUGCCUUCUUACACCUCUUGAGAACUUCCAUUAAACAAUUCUCUUGAUGACUGGUCAGAGAUGAAGAUAUCACAACAGGGCAUUGAUUAUUUUCUUCAAGAUAUAUAUAUUUCAGCUCCACAGGUAAAGGUUUCAAAUUGAGUUUUGGAAUUUCUUUUUCAGCAGAUGCCUCUUCUUCUUCAUUGAACAAAGGUAGAAUCUCUUCUAUUUUUCUCCAACUUUGUAGAGUAGCAAGCAUAGUAGGAGAUCCAGACAAACCUUCUUCAAAAUCCACAAGACUUUCAUUCAACUUGUCUUACAUAUUUUGAUUACAGUGCUCCUCCACCAAAGUAUCAAUAAUACACAGCUCUUCUGGACCCUCUUCUUUUUCCGGAGUGAUUUGCUUUUUAGACACAUAGAAAAUAUUGAGAUCCAGUGUUAUGUUGCCAAAAGUGAGUUGCAUCAGCCCAUUCCUGCAGUUGAUGAUUGCAUUUGAGGUAGCAAGAAAUGGCCUUCCAAGGAUGAUAGGAACUAAAUUAGCUUCUUUUACAGUAGGGUCUGUAUCAAGAACAAUAAAAUCUACUGGAUAGUAGAAAUUAUCCACUUGAACCAAUACAUCCUCAAUUACCCUUCUUGGAAUUUUCACUGAUCUAUCUGCUAGAGAUAAAGUGAUUGUUGUUGGCUUCAAUUCCCCAAGUCCCAAUUGCUUGUAGACGGAAUAUGGAAGCAAAUUCACACUUGCUCCCAAAUCUAGCAAGGCUUUCUCCACUACCUUUCCUCUAAUCAUGACUGAAAUGGUAGGACUUCCCGGGUCUUUGUACUUCAAAGGAGACUUACAUUGUAAGAUUGCACUUACUUGCUCAGUCAAGAAGGCUUUCUUAUUUACAGUCAACCCUCUUUUGAUAGUACAUAAGUCCUUAAGGAAUUUUGCAUACAUUGGAACUUGUUUAAUCAUAUCCAGCAAUGGAAUAUUGACUUUCACUUGUCUCAAUACUUCAAGGAUUUCAGCUGCAUUUCUAAUCCCCUUUUUCCCAUGUAAUGCUUGAGGAAAAGGAGGAGAAGUUGAUUUCUUCAGCAUUUCUUCCUUCAUAAGUUCCUUCUCUGGAAUUGCAUUCAUUGUUGAAUCAGAGUCCUUCUUUUUUUCACUGAUCUCACUCUCUUUAUCUUCCAUUUCCUUUCCUUUCUUUAUCUCUUCUUCUUUCUCAACAUGUGGCUUGGGUGUUGGCUGCUCAAUUUUUUUACCACUCCUUAGAGUGAUCAAGGCUUUGACAUCUUUCAUCUGUGAUGAUUCUCCCUCUUGGCUUUCCACUUCAUGGACACCUUUGGGGUUUUGGUGGGGUUGAGAAAAAAAUCUUCCCUUUUCUUGCAGUGUAUUCAAAUUUGUAAGCCUUGAAAUUGAAUAUUGGAUGUUAUCAAACUUUUGGUUCAUAUCAUUUUGCAUUCCAUCCAUCCUUUUAUUCAACAUACUCUCUACUCUAUCAAUUCUUUGAUAGAUUUGAGCAUUGGUGGCUUCUUGCUUUCCAACAAAAUCUCCCACUACCUUGUUGAGAUUAGCCAUUACUUGUUCAAGACUUGAAGAUUGUUGAGAUGGUGGAUCCGGCUGUUGGUACUGAGUUGCUCUGGCUUUCCAUGAGAAAUUUGGAUGAUUCCUCCAACUUGAGUUGUAGGUAUUUCCAUAGGGCGCAUUGUUAUUAGGCCUGAAUUGUCCAACAACAUUUGCUUGAUCUCUAAACAUCUCCCUUUCAGCUGAAAUUGCAGGGCAUUCAUCCACUAAAUGUUCAUAUGAUUGACAAUUAGGACACAGCUUCACUUGCACUGGUGCUUCAGCAACAGCUUGCACUUCAUGUAUUCUUUUCAGCUCCAGCUCCUCCAAUCUUCUUGUCAUAGCUGCCAACUUUGCUUUCAUAUCAUCAUCUUCUUUCAAGGUAUACAUCCCAGCCUUUGCAUUGAAAGCAUUCAGUUGAGACUUCAUCUUACCCACUUCUCCUUUGGUUGGUUCAUCCCAUCCCCUUGAAACAUCAGCUACAUAGCUCAAGAAAUCCAUAGCUUCCUCUGGAUUUUUGCUCAUGAAAUCUCCUCCACACAUUGUCUCGAGGAGUUGCUUCAUUGAGGAGGGCAUACCAUCAAAAAAAUAGCUCACCAAUAGCCAAGUAUCAAAGCCAUGGUGAGGGCAAGCAUUUAUAGCUUCCAUAUAUCUUUCCCAACACUCAUAGAAUUUCUCAUUCUCUUUAGCUGAGAAGUUUGAAAUUUGCCUUUUCAAGCCAUUUGUUCUAUGAGUGGGAAAAAAUUUCUUGAGGAAUUCAGCUUGUAAAUCAGUCCAAGAACGGAUACUCCUUGGCCUUAAAGAAUUAAGCCAAACUUUGGCCUUAUCCUUUAAAGUAAAAGGAAAUAACUUAAGCCUCAUCAAAUCAAUUGAAGCUCCUCCCUCUUGGAAUGUAUUACAAACAUCUUCAAAUUCCUUGAUAUGUGCAUACGGAUUCUCACUUUCCAUCCCAUGGAAAGUUGGUAGAAGUGGAACAAGAUACGGUCUGAUCACUAGCUGCUCUAUAGGGGGCACUAUACAUGAUGGUGCACUCAUACGAGGUGGAUGCAUGUGGUCCCUCAUUGAUCUGAAUUCAUUGAGAUUGUCUUGACGACCUUGGUGACUAUGCUGAUCUUCAGGUGUAGCUUCCAUGAUAUUCAAGCUCAAUUCGAAUUCUUUUCUCUGAGGUGUAUCACACUUAACAAGCCUUCCUCCACUGUCUCGUAUCCACUUUGGCAUACACAACUAGUAUUUAUCUGCAACUUAAAUGAAAAUAAAGAACAACAACAGAAACAGGGCUACAACAACAAAAUUAAACUAGGCUAAAUUUUAAAAUAUAAACUUAGAUUAUGAAUAAAUAAAGAAAGAAUGAGAAUUAGUAAAGUGAAAGAAAUGUUACCAACUUGUGAUGAAAAUCACAAGUGCUCAAAAAUGGUAUCACUAUAAACUUGACACCUUCCCCGACAACAGCGCCAUUUGAUUCGUGCCCAAUUGGUGUGCCAGCUGAUUCGUGUCCAGCUGGUGCUCCUUGAUUGAGGGAGUAAUCAACAAAAUUUAUAACCUAUAACACCAUAUACUAGGGUAGCAAAGAAAAAGCUACUAUAGUAUAGUGGCUCUAGGAUCGUUCACUGGGAAGGAUUAACAAGCUAUCAAUGAUACCAAUUCAAAGUGAAUUGGUCUUGUUUCAUUUCAAGGUUAGCUUAAGAAAUAAAACACAAACUUUGAUUGGUAAAGAUUUAGACUUAAACUAACUAAUCACAACAAGUAAUGGGAAUAACUUAGGAAGAAAAACAUUCCUUGGAGAGUUAGGUUCACUGGGGUGGUUUCUCAUGCAAAAGACAUACCUCCGAUCAAAUGGUUCAUUUCCUCGUGUUAGAGAUUCAACAUAUAGUCAAUUCUCUAACCGGUGUUGUACAGAUACAUCCUUCAAUUAGAUUUCACUUUAAUUCUCUCACUAAUGCAACUUGCAAUGGUUUAAGCCUCUCACUAAGCCUUAACCGUUCAAGGUGAUCUUUAACCUUGGACUUCCCUUCUCAAGCUCGUAAGAGAUAACUAAUGGAUGUCUCUUUGGAGUCCAAAAGCUUACCAAGUGUUGGCAAUUCCAGAAAAUCCUACCUUAAAGUCACCUCCUAGAGGCUCGCAAGGGGUAAACUAGUGCAUCUCCAUGGACGGAGAUCACUUGUCUUACCAAGUGUUGGCCCAGGUGACUCUAAGGUGUUUUAAGUUAACUAAAAACAUAGAAAUCAUUAAAGGAUUUCACUUCCUCUUCAUUACUUGCUAAAACCACAAAGCUUUGCAUUCUUGCACUUGGAACCUUCCCCGGCAACCUUAGCUCCAAGGAACUAGAGGUUUAGUUACUCAUUCUCUGGAGAAAACUCCUCAGAGAGUUCAUAACUUAGUAAUAAAUAAAAAAUACAAAGUGAUAAGGUAAGGCAAUACAAAGAACUGAACUUUACUUGCUUACCCAAAACUUUACAAAAGGAUCUCCUCUCUGAGAACAGGCUCCCGAAAGGUAUAUAUAUGAACAUAAUAUAAAACUAAUUAUUACAUAGAUAUUUUCUCUUUUUACUAACUUAAAAGCUAAGGAAUCUUGUAAUUGGUGGCUUACAAGGAGUAUUUUGGGAUUUAGACAACAAAAAUCUAAUAGAAAAUAUCUCCAAAUGUCGGUAGCAAAUAUCGGGGUGCUUCAGGAACCAUUUCGCAAGAGAAAAUGGUGUCUGCGAGAUUUCGCAGGCACUCAAGAGGGCUGCGAAAUCACUUCGCAACAACAAGCUAUUCUCGCAGGGCUGCGAAGUUGGCUUCCACCUUGAGGUUCCAAGCUUCCCUCUCGCGGUAUAUGUCAGGCAACUUCAGAAGGAAAUACACCCUACUGUACAAAAAGGCUGCGGAAUCACUUCGCAGCAAAAGGGUGAUUUCGCAACACUUUGGAAAAUACUUCCUUCAACUGGGAGUGAUUGGCUUGCAAAGGCUGCAACUUCUUCGUUUCAACUCCGAAUUGCGCACCGUUUGAAGCAUUGGAUUGUUGACUUCCUGAGCUUUGAAAUGGUAUAUAGAAUGCAUCAAUUGGACCUCAGAAAGUGCUCCAAAAGUGGCUGCUAUUAUUGUCAUCAAGAAUAUGCUUCUUGGCAGAUUCUCUUUACUUUUUCUCCUUGCAUUCCGGAUUUAGUCUUGGCAAAUGACUUCCAAGCUUUGCCCAAGAUUCCUCAACACUCUCCUCAAUAUUGAAUUGCUUUGGUGAUGAAAUUACUAACAAAAACACCAAAACUUACACAAAGUGAUUAAAAUUGCUUUCAAGGGUCCUUAACAUGCCAAUUGAGUUAAAAGGCCAAAACUACUACUCAAAAGCGUUUAAAAGGAUUAAUUAUAAGCUAUCAAAUAGCACUUUUUGAGUAGUAAUCAGAAGGCAUGAGCCAUCUUUCUCUAAUAGGCCUGAACAUGAUUUGCCGCUCUCAAUCUCCUCUCAUCUAAAAGGUUAAGCUGAUCAAAUCGAGCCUGAGCCCACUCUGUCUCAGAAAUUUGCUGCUCAAGGGCUACUCUCAAUGAACCCAUCUCUGUCUCAACUGGCAAAACAACCUCCAUACCAUACACUAGAGAGUAAGGCGUAGCUCCUGUAGAAGUACGAAAAGAUGUACGAUAUGCCCACAACGCAAAAUGAAGCUUCUGUGACCAAUCUCGAGAAGUCUCAACCAUUUUCCUCAAAAUCCUCUUAAUACUCUUGUUUGCAGCCUCUACUGCCCCGUUGGUCUGUGACCUAUAUGCUGAAGAUCUAAGAUGUCGGAUGGCAUACUUCUGCAACAAAGUAUCUACCUCAGCUUGAAAGUGCGCCCCUCUUUCGGAAAUCAACUCAUAAGGAACCCCAUAGUGGCAAAUGAUGUGUGAUCUGAUAAAACUGGCAACCCUAGCAGAUGUCAAUCUCGCAUAUGAUGCGGCUUCCACCCACUUGGUGAAAUAAUCUAUGGCAACCAGGAUGAACUCAUGACCACUGGAAGAUUUUGGUGAAACCUUCCCAAUCAUAUCAAUACCCCAUACUGAAAAUGGCCAUGACGAGGUCAAAGCAUGUAACUCUGAUGGCGGUGCAUGAAUGAGAUCACCAUGAAUCUGACACUCUGGGCAUUUCUGAACAAACUGACAACAAUCUGUCUCCAUAGUCAACCAGAAGGAACUCGUCCUCAUAAUUUUGCGGGCCAACGUGUGUCCUCCCAUAUGCGGACCACAAACUCCUGCAUGAACCUCUCUCAUCACUCGAUCUGCAGAGACUCGAUCUAAACAUAAAAGAAGCAUACCAUCAGCUGAUCGUCUGUACAAGGUAUCUCCACAAAUCACAAAUCUAGUGGUCAGAUGCCUCAAUGCUCUCCGAUCCUUGGUAGUGGCUACCUUAGGGUAUGUGCCAGAUCUAAGGAACUGAUAAAUGUCAUGAUACCAAGGUAGAUCAUCUUGGACCUCUGUCUCUCCAAUCAAACAACAAUAGGCGGGUGCAAACCUCAACUCAAUCAGCAAUGGACGUAUGACUACAUCAAUCAGAAUGUCCACGGAUAAAGCUAAAGUAGCUAAGGCGUCAGCAAAUCGGUUUUUGCGCUCUAGGCAGAUGAACAUAUCUCAAGUCAUCAAAUCUUGCAACCAACAACUCUAAAUAAGCAUGAUAUGACCUAAGCUUCACGUCCCUAAUCUUCUAGUCUCCCUGAAUCUGUCUGAGUACCAAAUUGGAGUCACCAAAUACCUCCAUCUGUCUAAUGCCAAGCUCCAAUGCAGUCUCUAAACCCAGGAUGCAAGCCUCAUACUCAACUAUGUUAUUCGUGAUAGGAUGUCGAUCAUGGAAUGCCAAACGAAUAGAUCUCGGAAUAUGAUCGCCCUGAGGGGACACCAACAGAACACCUAUCCCAUACCCUAACUGAUUGGCUGCACCAUCAAAGUACAAGCACCAUCCUGAUAAGCUAGUCAUAGCAACAAACUCCUCAUCUAGAAAAUCAUCAUCAACUGGUCUGUCUUCAGAUGUCGGUAGUGAAGCUAAGUGAUCGGCGACAAUACUUUCCUUAAUAGACUUCUAAGAAACGUACUGAAUAUUGAACUCUGUCAAAAGUACGAGCCAUCUCAUCAAUCUACUAGUCAACGCAGGUCUAUCAAACAAGUAUCUCAACGGGUCUAGGUGGGAUAUCAAAUGCACUGAAUACUCUGUCAUGUAAUGCCUCAAUCUCCUGGUGGCCCAAACUAAUGCUAGGCAAAGGCGCUCAAUCAUAACAUAUCCCAUCUCAUACUCCAACAUCCUCUUACUCAGGUAGUAAAUAGCUCGCUCUUUUCCUGAGUCAUCAAUCUGAGCUAACAUACAUCCUAAGGCCAUGUCUGAAACUGACAAAUGUAGAAGGAGUGGACGUCCUGGUGUAGGAGGCACUAAAACAGGAGGAGAAAGCAAAUACUCCUUGAUCUUCUCAAAUGCAAACUGACAGUCAUCAUUCCAAACUGUUGGCUAGUUCUUCCUCAAAAGACAAAAGAUAGGCUCACAUAUGUCUAUCAAUCUGGCUAUGAAUCGAUUGAUGUACUAUAAUCUGCCUAGAAAACUCCUGAUCUCUUUCUCAGUCUUCGGUGCAGGCAUGUCAAGUAUGACUUUGAUUUUAUUUGGGUCGACCUCUAUGCCUCGCUCAUUAACCAUAUCCCCCAAUAAUUUCCCAGAAGUCACUCCAAAGGUGCAUUUCUUGGGAUUCAGCCUCAAUCUAAACUUCCGGAUCCUCUCAAAGAAUCUCUCUAGAGCAUCUAGGUGAUCUGCUCUACCUCGGGAUUUCACAAUCAUAUCAUCCACAUAAACUUCAACAUCUCUAUGCAUCAUGUCAUGAAACAAAGUAGUAGCGGCUCUUUGAUAAGUGGCUCCUGCAUUCUUUAACCCAAAUGGCAUAACCCUGUAACAGUAGGUACCCCACUCAGUAAUAAAGGUUGUCUUCUCCAUAUCCUCUGGAGCCAUCAAAAUCUGAUUAUACCCUGAAACCCAUCCAUGAAAGACAACAUCGAAUGGCCUGUGGUGCCAUCAACCAACAAAUCAAUGUGUGGAAGGGGAAAGUCAUCUUUAGGGCUGACUUUAUUAAGAUCUCUGAAGUCAACACAAACCCUAACUUUGCCAUCCUUUUUGGGAACAGGGACAACAUUAGCCAACCACUCUGGAUACUCAACCACUGAUAUGAACCCAACACUGAGCUGUUUCUGAAUCUCCUCUUUUACCUGCAGACUCCAAUGUGGAUGCAACCGUCUCAAUUUCUGCUUAACUGGUCUGGCAUGUGGUAGGGUAGGUAAAUGGUGCUGGACUAUAGAGGGAUCGAGACCUGGCAUGUCCUCAUAAGACCAUGCAAAGACAUCCAAGUAUGACCUAAGUAAAUGAAUAAGUCUAUCUCUCUCAUCUGUAGAUAGGGGUGAACCAAGCUUCAGCUUUCUAGGCUAAUCCUCUGUGCCAAAAUCAACAAUCUCAACAUUCCCUAUAGUAGGUGAAACUCUUUCAUCCACGGGAUCGAAGUCAUGAUCAAAAGAGUCCCUAUCUGAACCGGGCUGUGCAACCUUAUCAUCUAUAUCAAAUAUCUGUGAGAUGGGUGGGUGGGGUGCAGAUAUAGAGAUACUAUCACAAGAGAUAGGCGAAUACUAAAAAAUGCUCAAAUCCAUAAAUGAAGCAAUAGUAACAUCGUCAGAGCGGGAGACAAAUCCCGAUAAAACAUCAAAAGAAAGAGGUGGGUCCACAAGGUCGAAUGCUCCCUCAACUAAGCUAACAAUGCUCUCAAAUAAACUACUAUCAUCCUCUAGAAGCUCUGGAAUAGGAAUAGUCUGAGUCCCCUCAAGAACCUUAAUGGUAGACACCCCAAACAUAUCAAAUGCUGAAACAGGUUGAAGCUGAACAAUGCUGGUAAUCUGGCUCAUGGUCAUCAUGUCCAUCUCAUCAUGGUACUCAUCAUGGGAAACAACUCCAUCUCAUCAUGGUACUCAUCUCAGUAGAAUCAACAAUCACCCCAUCAUCAUUGAUUUCCUCUAGAAAGUAUAGAGACAACAUGCUAGCUCGAUCUGGAGACGUGGGAGUAAUCGUCAUAGGGAAAGAAGUGUUGGGAGCUCCAUCACUCAACUGUAGCUGGUGAAAUAAAUGCUGAAGAUCAGUCUCUCUAUCUGUAUGAACCACACUAUCGAUCUCCCCUAGACGAGGUCGAAUCUCUGAUCCUCUGACAAAGUAGUCGGCCAAACUCAUCCUAUAAGGUCGAAUGGGACAAUCAAAUGGUGUGUGGGAUAAACGAGCCCUCACCCUCUCCCUACGCAGCCGCGCCAUGUAACUGUAAUCGGCCUCAGUAGGGAUGAAUCCAAGUCCAAAUGUCGUAUCAUGGUCAAUGGCAGCUAUGAACUCGCUCGGUCCCUGUUGACGUCGUCCUAACCCCGUGCCAGGUAGAAAGGUCAUACCCCUCAUCAUAUCAAGGACCACUGUGCUGCUAUGCUGAUCAAAAGACAUAGCUACAAAAUCUCUGCAAAAAUCCUCAAUCUCGAGAGUCUGUAUCUCAUCAAAAGUAAAUCUAGUCAGAAGUAGGUCAUCCUCAUUGUGACUGAUCUGAAGUAUUGGCUCAGAAACGGUAAAUAUAUCCCUGGUAGAGCGCACUGUGAUGACCUGCUCAUCAUGAAUAAACUUCACCUUCUGAUGAAGGGAAGAAGAAAUAGCUCCAGCUAUAUGAAUCCAUGGUCGACCUAGUAGUAGGUUAAAGGAUGUAGGAAUCCUCAAAACCUGGAACAAAAUGGAGAAUGUUGCUGGACUAAUUUGCAAAUCAAUCAUCAAGGUACCCAUAAUCUCCCUCUUGGUGCUAUCAGACGCCCUGACUGUCUGAGUAGAAGGACCAAAAUCUGAAGGCGCGAAACCAAGGGUUAUAUCAGUGGCUAAAGGGUAAACAUUCAGGGCUGAGCCGUUGUCCAGUAGGACAGACAGGACUCUACGGCCUGAACAUCCAACUGUGAUAUAUAGAAGGCGCACGUGAUCUAAACCAUCAAGUGGCAAGUCGUCAUCUGAAAACACAAUGCAAGUGGCCCUACCGGCCGUCAUCAUAUGAAUCAAUCUCUCGGGAGUGGUAGUAUUCUCUACUCUAAUCUGACUCAAGGCUCGAAUCAAAGCAUCUCUAUGAGUACUGGAUGAUGCUAAUAAACUCCAGAUAGAAAUACGGGUCUGAGUGCUCUGUAAUUGUCUCAAAACUUCAUCAUCCUCUCUCCUAACCUCCUCAUGAGAGGUUGCACCCUCAAAUGGUCUGACUGCUGGUGGUGGUGGCUGAGCUAUCCUCCCACUAUGAGUCACAAUCUGUAUCUCCCUCCCCUCUGAAUCAUCAUCCUCUGGCCAUAAAGUGAACAGGAUAAAAGUAUCCUGACAUCCAAUAAUCAAGGGUGUGGGAUGAGUACACUGGAAUGGUGUCUCGUCUGGGAUCAAAUUGAAUGGUGUAGGAGCCUGAGGGACCACUGAAACCCCAUCAACCUUAUAACUGUCAUGCAAAACAAUCGGCUUGGGUAAUCCAUCAUCCCAACUCAACAUGUGUAUAUUGUCAUCCUCUAUAAGGUCCAUGUGAUGAAUAUCUCCUGGAGAUGGAGACACUGCGUGUGUAGAAUGAGCAGGAAGAGGGUUCGUAGUCACACUUGGCUGCCCCAAGUUGACUAAACCCUGGUCUAUCAAGUCCUGAAUAGCAUGUCUCAAAGCAGUGCAAUGGUCCGUGUCAUGCCCUAGUCCCUGAUGGUAGGAACAAUGUAAGUCCAUCCUAAAGCGAGGUGGUAUGGGCUGGGGUAAAGGCUUGGAUGCUAAUGGAAUCAAUAAUCCACCCUCUACGAGCUUCUGAAAAGCUCGACUCAAAGGCAUACCCAGUUGGGCAAAUUGACGUGGUGGCCUCUGCACAUAAGUAGUGGUUUGUGGAGCUCGGGGUCGAGUAUAUGGGACAGGAGGCCUCUCUGUGACAUGUGCAGCAAAAACAGGCUGUGAGACUGGAUGUAGAUAGGUAGGAGUCAUAGGUCUGGAAGGAGCAGGCGGCCUGUAAUGCGCAUGAGGUGAGGGUGGAUAGUAGAACCCAAGAGUCUGCCCAACUGUCUGAUAGCAUCUAGGAGGCCUCAUCCCUGUUGAACUGAUAACACCAACAUCUCCUGAUCUCUGUCCUCCUGAAGGCUUCUUCCCCUUAGAAUCAGUAGGGGAAGACUCAGACCAUAAUCCUCUAGCAAUGCCCUCCUCUAUACAGUACAAAGCCUGUACCAAAGAUCCAAAAUCCGUAUGGGGAAAUCCCAUCAAGUGUCUAGCGAAUCUAGGUUGUAAACUCCUCAUGAUCAUGUUAAUUUGAUCUCUCUCUGAAGGAUGGUCUAUAAUAUGUGAAAUCUUCUCCCUCCAGAGGGAGAUAAAUGAAGUAACUGACUCCUCUGGCCUCUGUCUCAAAGCCUCCAACUCUCUCCUCGAAACAUCAAUGACAGUGUUAAAUGCAAACUGUCUCAAAAAUUCCUGGGCUAAGUCAUCCAAAGUCCUACGGCGUGAUACCUCUAAUGAAGCGAACCAACGCUGUGCAGCACCACUCAAUGACAUAGGGAAAAACAUAAUCAUCUGGGCCUCAUCUAGUCCAUGGGCCCUCAUAACCGUACUAUAGAGUCUCAAAUGAAUGCGAGGACAACCUAUGCUAGUGUAUCUCUCAAUCUUAGGCAUCUUGAACUUGGUUGGUAGACUGGCCACUGGUGCUCCAUCAAAAUCUUCCCAAGUAAUAGCUCCCUCUAAAGUCCUCAUAUGUGUUAACUUCUGCUCAAGUCUAUCCAUACGAGCAUGUGGGUCCUCUAAGAUCAGAGUAGGCACUAUGGCAAGAGGUGAUGUGACCUCAGUUUGACUAUACAGAGUAAAAGGUACAGUAUGUGGUGCUGGCUGACUGUGCGAAGGUGGUGGUGGUACAUGGUAUCAAAUUGGGUAUCCUCUUGAACUAGAACCUGUUGGGCCUGCUGCCCAUCUAUCCUCUGGCCAAGGCUAGCUAAAGCCUCCUGGAUAGAAGUCGUGGCUGCGGCAAACUGGUUAACGGUAACUAUCUGUGAGUCUAUAUCCCUCUGAUCAGAUAUCUGAUCUGACUGAUCUGAUACUCUGGUCAAUCUACCUCCAACUCUAAUCCAUAAAGGCGAAUCCAUAUCGAUCAAGGUAAACCCUCCUAUAAAUAUGGAAAUAUUGGAUAAGGUGUGGUACAAAAGCGACUCUGUAGGAAUCAAGUGCGUAGAAGCAAAACCCAAAUAUACUCAAUCUGAUACCCUCCUUUGAUUACACCAAAAGGAGAAUAAGGAAGGGAUAGCCAAAUCCAAUCGUGACCAAGGCAGCUCUGAAGGUUCACAAAUGCACCCACGUGUAGGAAUGAAAUCUUAAUUGGGUCUAGGCUAACCUACAAGGUUAAGGCGGCUCUAUAGGAUAAAAUGGGUGGAUCAAAGGAUCCCUAGCAGAAGCGAUCGUACCCUCCGGCGGUACGCAACCCUCUUCACGCCUCCAAGGAGACGGGGUGCUUCCAUGCAAGGUGGUCAUUACCUCCACACAUGCACUUCCUCGCAUUCCCAGGGGGUUUCUUAAAGGUGAAGGCUCUCCCAUCUCUCAACACUCAGGGAUAAUCUAAAGUGCACAAUGAAGAAUGUGGGUGCAUCCGAAAAACCUAAGAUCUAAAGUGAGAUAGUGAACGAAGACAAGCAAUCAUACGAACAUGCAAGAGAAAGGGUUGUCAUGCAACAAGAAGUCAUGCGAAGCAGAUAAAUAUCAAACAAUCAAAAUCCUAUCUAACAUAUGCGAGAGUGAAUCAUGAUGAAGUGAGCAAAACAAUCAAGUGAUCAUCCAAGGUAAUCAAACAUGUUAGGAUAGCAAACCAAACAAGCAAGCAAAUCAAAUCACCUUGCCCAAAAAAGAGGUACCCACUAAUCGACCAAUUAAACGCCACAUUUUCCUCAACUAGUGUUCAAGCUUGAUCCACAAAAUCCCCAAUGGAGUCGCCAAUUUGUGGACCCGCAUUUUUCACGUGCAUCUCCACUCGAUUGGCGAGACUCUCUUUUUAUUUGUGAAAAAAAAAUUAGUUUUGGAAAAGUUGGAGUUGCCACUUAUUUUAUUUUAUUUUUUUAAAGGGAAAAUAAUACAAGAAAUAAAACCCUAAAAAAUGACUCCAUAAUUUUUGGAAAAGCGUGUCUUUGAAAAACCCUAGUCUAAGUCCGAGGAUCAGGUUACUUAUUGGGAAGGUACCUUUAAAAGAUAGCACCCCUCUAAGCCCUACAAAGGUCUCUACUGACAAAAUUAAGGGAAGUGUGGCAAUUAAUCAACUAAUUAUAGAUACCUAAAUAGGCUCGGUGAUUUUAAAGAGUGGCAUGCCAAACACAAUCAAAUUGCAAUAAAGGAGAGUUAGGGUGCAUACCUGAACCGCUCUUCAAGCGCUAUCAUAAAACAUAAAAGUUAGUGUAGAAAUGUAGCACACAACAUUUGUUUUAUUCAAGCAAAUCAGGCAUAUAUCAAGACAUCCAAGAAUCACGUCAAAUAUGGAUAUGGUCAUCAAUGGCAUACAAGUCCAUAGAGUUCUAAAAAAUAGAUGAGAAGAGAGCGUACCUGGAUAGCAAGCUAGUACUCCUCUAUGGGAAUCAAGAGCAUCUCAACAAUAAAUGCGAAACAAAUUCAUGUAUAUCAUCAAGAAGAAUAAAAAAUCAACAUAUCAAACAAUAUUGAAGAAGGUAUCAUGAAUGUCGGGCCCCCACCAAAGCCCUAAUUAAUUUCGCAUGAGUUGAUUCCAUAAAUUCCAUGACUUGGAAUUAUGGAGUUUGUUCAUGCUUGAGAAAAUUGAGAAAAAUCAAGAAAAUAGGUUGAAAAUCAAAUAAAAUAGUGAAAAUGCAUGUCGGAAGGAAAAUGGCAGCAAGAGUAUGUUAGAAUAUGGAUUUUAUACCUAGAAAGGAUCUAAGAUGAAUUUUUCAAAGCCAGGAAUGUUUAGUUGAACAAUGGUUCAAGAAUUCAAUUUAAAACAAUAAGUUCCCAAUCAAAGAAGCAAAUAGAGGAGAAUGUGUGUAUAGCAAGGCUGCCAUGAAGUGAAGCCAGGAAAUUCUGGAUAGAAUGGACCAAUUCACUGCAACAGUGUUCAACUGUCAAAUGCUUCAACUUAAAAGACAUCUUGAUUUGUAAGCUCAAUUGGAUUCUCCUCAACAGAAGUCAAAUACUGAAUUGAAGGUUCAGAAUUUCUAAUUUUCUGCAUUGUUGUAUUUCCUGCAUUUUGUGUUAUUUCCCCACCACCGAGACUUGGUUCAGCAGUAUUGUCGGAGUUUGCUUUUUGAUUGUGGGCGGAAAUGGAUCCGACGAAUCGCGAGUAUCUGACCAGCCAAGCUAUCCGGGUGGAGUGUGAAUCGUUGGCCACAGAUGCUAUCCGGAUAAGCGUUAUCGAAGGAUCUGAACAUGUCUGCCUGGGGAAAUUGAAUCGUUCUCCUCUCCCAUCCGGCGGCGGGCACCAGAUGUGAAAUAUCCGAAGAAGGUGGAACGUCGGCCGGAUAGAAUUGCAGCUGUGAGACAUCCGGAGAAAGUGAGAUGUUGGCCGGAUAGAAUUGCGGCUGUGAGACAUCCGGAGAUAGUGGGAUUUCGGCCGGAUAGAAUUGCGGUUGUGAGACAUCCAGAGAGAGUGGGAUGUCGGCCGGAUAGAAUUGCGGCUGUGAGACAUCCGAGUGGAAUUGGUGAGAAUUUCUGUCCGGGUGGAAUGAGCGAUGACAUAAACUAAGAACCCUUAAGAACUAUGGUAACCUCUGUAUCUGUUUAACUCCAAGAAAACCCGUUUUACACAGCCUUUAUCAAGUUCCCAACUUUCUCGGAAUGCUCAUGGUCUCCAUAUCCGAGAAUACCAAGGUAAAGAAAGGGAGGAAAUGUAGAUAUAGAAGAAGCAUGCAAAAAAACCAAGAAAGAAAAGAAAAGAAAACAGGGGAAAAUAAGACAGUCGGUGGGUAUUUUAAAGCUAGAUUGGGACAUAAAUGGGGGCAAGACCCAUAGCAUCAAAUUCAAAGGUAAACUUAUAUUCAGAUUGCUUUCGGAUGGAACCAAAGACAUUAAAAGGAAUAUUAAAAUAGCAUAAACAUGCAAGCAAACCAGUCUCAACUAAUCAAAUUGUGGCCCUUGCGUCCACACCAAACGACAAGAAUGAAUCUUCAGAAAACUAAGAAUUCAGGAAAGAUUGAAACUAAAUGGUGAUAUAGCAAAAAUCUGGAAACAUACCUGCACGUUCUCCUCUCCAAUUGCUUGGUUCCAGGCUACUGCACCUUUUCCCGACUGAGAAAUCUGCUCCCCAAACCUUUUUCCGUCCACCAAUCUUCUCCCUCUCUAUAUGUAUUCCAAGUCCCUCUCUUCUAUGCCUCCUUUCAGACGAUCCUCUCAUGCACACCUCCUCUUCUUUUCCCUUUCCCCUUAUAUUUGUAUCAGCCUCUCAAACCAAAUAUGCUAAAGAAAAUCCUCUUUCCUUUCUUCUAUUUCCUUUCCUUUUUCGAAAAUCAGAAUGCUCCUUUAGGAUCUCUUAUUUCAUAUGUAUGCAGCCACAUUAAUUCCUUUUUUCCUCACAAAAUAUUUUUCUUACCUUUUUGAGUGCACAUACCUUAGUGAAAUUUGAAUAGUAGCCCCCAUUCUCUUGCCAAACAAUAAGAAAAAAAAACGAAAAUAGAGAGAAUAAAAAAUAAAAAAAGUUAGCAAUCUUACAACCUAUCAAAGAUUAAAAUAAAAUAAAAAUAAAUAAAGCUAUACAUAAUAAAAUGAAAUGAAAUAAAACAGUCAAUCCCAUGCGGGCCAUGCAAGUCAUACAAGUCACGCUAAAAAAAAGUCUUAAUGGGCCAAGUACGUCUAAAAGGGCUUAGGUGAACUUAAAUGAGCCUAAGGUUGGGACAAGGGUGCCUAAAUGGACAUAGGGUGUCUAAAUGGGCCAAGUAGACUACCCUAAAAGCUAUCCUAAAAAUGAAUGAAAAACCUAAGUCUAGAAUAGGGCUGCCAAGGGUCACAAUAAGGGGUCAGAUAAUCCAUCAACCAAAGUCUCCGAGGUGACUCAGAAAAGGGUAAGUUAUACAAGUAAUAAUGGGCCACUAAGGAGUUACUGUGGAGCACUGAAAAUAAAUUUAAAGACAUGUGCUAAAGGGACAAAAUUGAGGGUCUACAAUCACGAGUUCCAUAUUCUAGUGCAGUGGGGUCUCUCAUGUAUGCUAUGGUUUGUUCACAUCUAGAUUUAUCAUAUGUAGUCACUGCAGUUAGUAGAUACAUGACAAAUCUUGGUAAAGAACAUUGGAAAGCAAUUCAGUGGAUUUUCAAAUACUUGCAUAGUUCUACUGAUGUUUGUUUGCAUUUUGGGAGAACUAGAGAUGGAGUUGUUGGGUAUGUCAAUUUUGAUUUUGCUUGUGAUCUUGGUAAAAGAAGAUCUCUUACAGGGUAUGUUUUUACUGUUGGGGGUUGUGCUAUCAGUUGGAAAGCUACUUUGUAAACUACAAUCUCUUUGUCUACUACUGAGGCUGAGUACAUGGCUAUUACAGAGACUUGUAAGGAAGCUAUUUAGUUAAAAGGAAUAUUUGGUUAACUUAGUGACAACUUGCAGAUUACCACAAUUUUUUUUUUUUUUUUUUUUUGUGAUAGUUAGAAUGUUAUUUUCCUCACAAAAGAUCAGAUACUUCAUGAAAGGACAAAGCACAUUGAUGUGCGGUAUCAUUUUGUGCAUGAUAUCAUUGCUCGUGGUGAUAUUGUUGUGGCCAAAGUUAGCACCCAUGAUAAUUUUGCUGAUAUGAUGACGAAGAUACUCCCUGAAGCCAAGUUUGAGCAUUGCUUGAAUUUGGUUAGUAUUCGUUGUUGAAUUAUCCUUUGGGGUUUGUAAAAAAGGUGAAGAGUUUUUUUGUUGAAGAUUGGAGUUUGUUUUUUUCCAUUCCUUACAUUGGAAUUUGUGUCAAGGUGGAGAUCGUUAGAGCUUGGUGACCCAAUUUCCUUUUUUAGUCCAACCGGAAAUCUUCAUGGUGUGAUAUAUAUGGUGAAGAAAAAAUUAUGGAUUUCUUUUCUACUUUAUUUUUUUUUCUCACCCAUAUAUAUAUAUAUAUAUAUAUAUAUAUAUAUAUAUAUAUGGGAUGGUGUAUAGGUUUUCAGGGAUUUGUAUUGUAGUCGCUUAAUACUCUCCCCUUUUGUACCAAUUUUUAACAUAGUGGAUUAUUCUUCUCCUCUGUUCGUGGUUUUUCCUUUCUAGGGUUUUUCACAUAAAUAUGUCCUUUUUUUUUUUUUUUUUUUUUUUGCCUAUUCUCAUUUUUCCAUAACAAAAUAUAAAGCCAUCUUUCACAUUGUGGGUUUAGAUUUGCAUCCUCAUUCUCAAUAGGUGGAUAACAAUAAUAUCUUUAUGUAUGUCUCACAAUAUUUAUUAAACUACAAGACAACAUUUCUUUCUACAUCAUAUGCUUGGUUAAGGAUAGGAAAGACUUUGAUAUAACAAGUCAUAUAUUUAGCAUAAAAAUAAAAGUAAUGUGAAUGCAUGAAAGGGAAAACAUUCAACGGACAAAAUGGUAGAGUGAACUACAAGUGGUGGGAUUUCAUUAAUAAUUAAAUUACUUAUAAACAUACGUUGAUGGUAGAAGUUAGGUUUGUCAAGUCUUCCUUUGGAAAUUAUUAUUAUUUUCCUAGACAUCUAUAAAUACACAAAAAUAAAAAAAUAAAAAAAUAAGUGGAUGUGGAAUCCCAUGAAAUAAACUAAUUAUGAGUGAUAAAUGAUGUUAACUCCUAUGAGAAGACUCUCUAAUUCUAAUUUAUUUUUAUGGGAUUGGAAACAUGAAUCGGAUUAAUAAACGAAAUUGAUAUUUUCAAAAUUUUAAGUUUUAUUGCAUCACUAAAUAUUUUAAUCUAAUACAUAAUUUAUCGACAUUUUAAUUAAUUUAUGAGACCAAGGUAUAAUAAAAUAAGAUUUUGGUACAAAUAAUGAAACCAAAUACAAAUAUAUUAGACAAGGUAUAAACUAAUAAGUCCUAAAUAUGACCAAGGUACAAACUAAUGAAACAUAAAUACAAAACAAUAAGACCAAAAUAUAGAGUAAUGACACUAAAGUACAGGGUAAUAGGAUCAAAGUAUAAACAAAAAGAACCAAUGUAUAAAGCAAUGAAAUCAAGAUAUAAAAUAAAUAAGAUUAAGUUACAAACCAAUAAGACCUAGAUACAAAGCAAUGAGAGUAAUAUAUAAAAUAAUGAAACUUAAAUACAAAGCAAUGAGAUUAAUAUAAAAAGUAACAACAUCAAGAAUUGAGACCUAGGUACAAAUCAAUGGGACCAAGACACAAAGCAAUGGAACCAAGGUGCUUAGUAAUGUGACCAAGGUACAUAUAAAUAAACUAAUAAAGUCAAAGCAUAGAACAAUGAGAUUAAGGUACAAACUAAUGGACCAAAAGAUGUUAUAACUGAUAUAUUCUACUCUUGAGAGUGAAAUUACAAACUUUUGGGGUGGAAUUUACUUAUAACUAGAAUGGUUAACAAAUUAUGGAAUCGUUUUUAAAAUUUUUUAUGAAGAUGAGGAAUAUGGAACUUUGUCAAAAGUGCACGAAUUCUAAGCAAUUCAAGUGCAAGUAUUUUUUUUAAAUGUAUAGGAGGAAUAUGGAACUCUUUAAAAUCGUACCAAUCUCGAGCAAUUAUAGUCAAAUUAAAGCAAUAUUGUUCUACAUAAUAGGGCUAAUGUAUGAAGAACUUGAUCAACCAAGUAAUUUCACACCCAAGAGAACAUAACAAAGUAACAUACAAAAGACUAAAGAAGUUAGACGGUCUAUUUUUCAAUAGAUUUGGUUAAAUGUGGAUGUUCUGGAUUUUGUACAAACAAAAUUUUAGUAAUAUUAAAGAUUAUAUACAUGAACUUAAAUUUUUAUUUUCAAAUUUUAGUUAUUUUGGUGAUCAUGUACAUAAAAUAAAUAUUUUAUAAAAAUUAAAUAAUUUGAUCUUCAAUGUAAAUAAAUUUGAUAUGAAUAUACAUGCAAAAGUCACUUUCCCAAUAUAAUGGCUUCUUAUCAAAACUCUUCCAUAGCCUAUUCAAAACAAAUAUUGCAUCUCAUUAAUACUAACAAUAGUUGAAUUUUAUAGAAAUAUCAGUAAUUAGGUUUUAUGAAAAUGUUGAAAAUAUCAAUAAAAAUUUGGAUAAAUAUUGGUGAGACGGAAAUUCAUAAAAACUGAUAUAAAUAUUGAAUUUUUUUAAAAUGAUAAAAUAAAUAAUAAUGAACAUUUAGAAGUUAUUUUAUUAAAAAAAAUAUUUAUAAUAAAAAAUAAUUUACAUUUAAUUCUAAAAUAGUGAUUUAUUUAAUUUGAAUAUAUUAAAAAAUGUAAAAAAAAUAAAAACCUCAUUACGAAUAAUAUUUCAAUUUUUAGUAAUUAGUUAAAUGGAAUUUAAAAAUAUAAAAAAAAAUUGAUUUAACUAUUAAUAUAUAUUUUUUUAUAUGAUCUUUUUAUCUGAAGUAGAAGGGAGUAUUUUGGGUUCUCCGGUAGGACCGACUUUGCUAUGCAUACUUUGAUUUCUACACAUAUAUUAAAAAUAUUUUGAAUAUAAAAUUUUAUGCAACUUAUUGUUCGACCCAUAGAUAAGAAUGGUUAUAAUUUUUAAUAUUUUAUUCCAUUAAUUAAUAUUUUUUAAGUUAUAAUUUCGAACUCACUUAAGAUUUUAGUUUCUCUCAUUCUGUUAUAUAUUAUUCCAACAAACAAUUCUAGAACACAAGGAAGAUCAUUCAUAUCAACUAAAUUUUUUUAGCCAAAUCAACAACAUGGGCUCAUCAAAAGAAGCCAUGCAAAUAAUGGAAUGAAGCGUUGCAAGUUCACGAUUUAAAUAACCAUACUACAAGAAAUCAUGACUUCUUUUGUAACUAAAGACAUGUAUGGCUAUUGUGCCAACUACUUCGCAAAAACCACUACAAUGUGUGAAACGCAUGAAACUAAUAGUAAAGCCUGUCUGGUAACUAGUAUUUUAAUAAUAGCUUUUUAAAAUAAUUUUUAAGAACAAUUUUUUAAAAUUAUUUUCUAAUGUUUUGCAUAACAAGUCUGUUUGGAAUUUAAAAUAUUUUUAUUUUUUUUUUAAUAUUUUUAAAAAUAAUUUUUAUAUUUAUUAUUUUAUUUUUAAUCGUUUUACAUGUUUGUAUAACUAUUUUUUAAAACGGUCCUUAGAAAACAAGUGAAAACAAUUAAAAGAUAUUUUCUAAAAAUAUUUUGUUUUCUAUUUUUAAGAGUAUAAAAUAGAAAAUAGUUUUUAGUUGUCAAACCAUGUGUUUUUUUUUUUUUUUUGAGAGAGAAUAGAAAAUUGUUUGGGAUGACAAAAAACUAUUUUCGAAAACAAUUAUCAAACGAGCCCUAAUGUUUUAUAAUUUUUUUUAAAUAACUUAUGAAGCUCAGUUUUGAAGAACCAUCUUUGAAAAUAAGCAUAUGUUAUUUUUAAGAAUAAAAAUUCUUUUAAUAGCUCAAUUUUGAAAAAUAAUUUUCUUAAUUUAUUGUAUGUGAAGUUAAUGAUGGAUAUACUUUUUCUGUCUAUUCUUCUGUUAUCAAUUGUUUCCUAAAAAUUUAACAAGAAAAGACCAAAAAACUACUUCAACUUGUUCUAAACAAGGCCUAAAAAAUAUUUUAUUGAAAAGACCAAAUAUUUUGAAAAUUAAAAUUUUAUUGAACAUAUUUUGAAAAUUUAAAACUAUUUUCUAUUUUUUAAAAUAUAUAAUUAUUUUUUAAAAUAAUUACCAAAUAUGUCAUCCUAUAAAAAAUAAACAAAAUAGAUAAAUAAUUCAAAAAGAAGGAUCGGGCUAGGCGGCAAUUGGAUUAGUUAUUGUUAAUGCAAGUGAACAGGGCCAUUGGAUGUCAACAUGAUAAUAUUGAUUAUUUAGAUUUUAUAACAAAUUUGUAGAUAAAAAUAUGAUCCAAUUUUAUCCCAAAUUGAAUUAAUGAAAAAUUAAGUUUAAAUGUAAAACCAUAAUUCACAUCAUAGAAUAAGAUUCACAUUUUCCAUUUCCAUUUCGAUUCUCAUCUAUAAAUACCCAAUCCAUAAAUAAGUAUACGUAGAACUUCAUGUGAAAUACUAAUCUUUGGUAGAAAAUAAGGUUAAUUUCUAUAAGAAGAGUCUCUCUUGCCCUUUUUCGUAGGGUUGGAAAAAAAUGAAUUGAUUUGGACCAAGCCAAAUAAAAUUGAUUUUAUAUUUGUGUGUAAAUCCGCAAUAACACACUCACUAGUCAUUAAUUUAUGAUAAUCUAUAGCUCAUAUAUUGAUUAGUACAUUCACUUGAGCAAAAUUUCAUAAUAUGACAAUAUUUAUUAUUUAUAUUUUAGAAAAAAAUAUGAAGAUAAAAUGCAUUACCUAAUUUUAUUCCAAAUUGAAUUUACCAAAUACUAAAUUUAAAUGUAUAACCAUGUUUCCCAUUGUAGACUAGGAUUCACGUUCCCAUUUGGAUUCCUAUUCUUACUUGGUAAAUGCUAAGAAAUCUAAGAAAUCAUUCCUCUCUAUGUGUCACUACAUUUAUUAGAUAUAAGUGCAAGAUGUCCUUUCUUUCUAUCAUAUACUUGGGUAAAGAUGAAAAAGACUCGCAAAACAAGUUAUGUAUUUGGUAUAAAAAUAUAAGUAACAUGAACACAUGAAAGUUUAAGUAUUUAGUGGUGAAAAUUGUAAAGUAAACCGUAAGUAGUGAGAUUUCAUUAAUAAUUACAUAACUUACAAAGACAUCAAAAUGAUAGAAGUUAGGUUUAUUGGGUCCUUUUCUAUAAAUAAUAAUUAUUUUAUUUGACAUCUAUUACCACCCAUUCCAAAAAUAAGUAAAUGUAGAAUCUCACGGGAAACACAAAUCCAUGGUUAAGAAUAACGUUAAUUUUCAUAAAAAGUCUCAUACCAUUUUUAGCAGGGUUGCAAAAAGAUGACUUGAUUUGGACCAAGGCAAAUCAAUUUGAUUUUUUCAAAAUGUGUGUGUAUUCAUAUUUUCAAAUUUGUGUGUUAAUCAACUAUGACACUCUCAACAGUCAUUGGACAAUCAUCAAUUUUUGGUCAUUUAUAACUUAUACAUUGACUCCCAUAUUAUUUUUCCUUUCCACCAUCUUACUUUUCCCUUGACCACGAUAUUUAUAUUAUGAUAAUAUUGAAUAUUUAAAUUUUAUGAUAGAUAAAAAAUAAAAUACAUGAUUUAGUUUUGUUAGAUAAAAAAUAAAAUACAUGAUUUAGUUUUGUUCCUAAUUGAAUAAACUAAAAACUAAGUUUAAAUAUAAAAAACAUGUUCCGUAUUUUAGAUUUAUAUUUGCAUUCUCGUUCUCAUUGGGUUGAUAACAAUAAUAUAAGAAUUUUUUUUUCCUUUAUAUAUGUCUUGCAGUAUUUAUGAAACUACAAGGGGUCAUUUCAUUUCUUUCUAUACCACAUUGUUGGGCAAAAUGCAUCAAAGGUAAAACUUUUAAUGGAGAAAAUGGUAGAGUGGACUGCAAGCGGUGGGAUUGCAUUAUUAAUUAGAUUACUUAUAAAGAGGUGUUGCUGGUAGAAGUAGUGUUUGCCUAUUGUCCCUCUGUAAAUAAUUAUUAUUUUACUGAACAUCUAUAAAUACACACUAAUCUCGAAUACAUCUAAUUAUAGGGAGCAUUCUGGAGGAUCAUAGUCUUUUAAUGGUUAAUUAUAUCUUUCUUUUAUAUUUUUCCAAAGAAUUAAAGGGUUAUUAUAUUUUGAUUACAUAAAAAUCACUUAAAAUAACAUACCAAAGAGAAAAUUAAAAAUAUUUAAGUAAGUUUAUAAAUGUAUAUCUUAUCUAUAUAUCAUAUUCAUGUUAUCAUAUUACUGAUAUUUUCCCUACAUGGGUUUUGACUAUGACAAAAAAUAUUUUCAUGUUAUCAUAAAGUAAUAUAAUUACUACAAAUUCAAGAAAUUAAAAUAAUAAUUAGGAAACAUUAAUUAAAGAAUAAUAUAUAUAUAUAUAUAUAUAAAUUUUUUAUACCUUCUAUCUAUGAAUAGUUUUAUUAUGAGAAAAUAAAUUUUUUGCAUAGCAUCAUGUUAUGAAAUAUUCUCUAUACAAUUUUUGACGUUAAAAUUCCACAAAAUUUUUAAUCGAAAAUUUAGUUUUGUAUAACUUCUAGUUAUACCAUAAUUAAAAUUUGUCUAUAUAGCUUCUAGUUAUAGAAUUGUUCAUUAAAAAUUUUGGUUUGUUAGACUUCUAGUUAAACAACAAAAUUUUAAAAAUUGUUUAUAUAAGUUCCGUUGUGAAAUGAAUAUCAAUAUAAAUUGUUUUUGUAGCUUGUGGCUAUGACAAAUUUUCCAUACAACUUAUGGUUGUACAAAAUUAAAUGUCAAUAUUUUCAAGCUUUUGGCUUAAACAUAGAAAAUAUAGAUUACAUAACUUCCGGUUAUGAUUUUUUUUCUUGUAUAACUUCAAGUUAUACAUUCUAUUUUACAUAUUUUAUUGUAACAAACUAUACAAAUUUAUACAUAACUUCAAGCUAUGAAAUAUUUUUUGUAUAGACUUUGAACAUACAAUUUUGUUUUAUAUAACUUCUAGAUAUACAAUAUAAUUUAAAAAAUAAAAUUACAUGCAUAACUUCUAGCUAUGUCAUUAUAACUUUAUAAUUUCUUGUAUAACUUCAUGUCAUGGGAUUUUAUAUAUUUUACAUAACUUCUUUUUUAUAAUUUAUGGCUAAAAAAUAUUUUCUACAUAGUAUUUGCACAUGUUUCUUAAUCUAAAUAAGGUAAAUCAAAUGCAAAAUAAAUAAAAAUGGAAUUUUAUCAUAUACCUUUUACAUGAGAAAGAAGAUAUUUUCUGGCAAUAGAUUUAAAAUCUAUCAAAAUUUCAUGCGCAAUUGUGAAUUAAAAUUUUUUAAAAGAAGAGAAAAAAAAAAGGUCAAAGGAAAAAUUAUUAACAAUAGUAUCUUAAAAAUAUGAUUUAGAUUCAUUUUUCCCCUUCUAAUUUUUUGUUCACUUAUAAUAAUUGUACUUUGGGUGGAAUAAAAGCAAAACAAAACGUUGAACAUCAAAAUACUCAUUCAUUGGAGGAAUAAAUAGAUUUUUUUAAAAAAAAAAAUCUUAUAAUAUAGCAAUUUAGAAAUUAUUUUCAAAUUUAUAGGAGUUUGUAAGGUGAAAAAUAAAUGAUAUCAUGAUACCCCUUAUGCAAACAUAAUGUCCUCAUUGUGUCACAUGAAAUUGGAGGGUCAAAUAAACAAAAAUCUCUUAUAGCGCAAAAUAAACCCUCACACUAGAAUUAUGGAUUAACUUUGAUAUAAUUUGUAACAACUUAUUUUCAAUUGUAUAGAUAUUGUUUGUCCUAAAUCUAAAAGGUUCACACGGUUUUAAAACACAUCUAUAAAAUUAAGAUGAGUCCAUAUAUAGUGUCAAAAUUUUUUUUUCCCUAUUCAAUAUGGGAUAUCAUGAUUGCAUCCACUAUUUUUAUUUUGUUAGGUUAGGCAAGCACAAACAUGCAUAUAUAAAACCCACUUUGGAAGGUUUUUUUUUAUCCUUUUGAUCUUAAGAUAGAAUAAAAUUUCCUAUACUACCCCUGCAUACCCAAAAAAAUUUACAAUUAAUUUGUUUCAGGCAAUGAAAAUAUUCAACACAAGUUCCUUAAGAAAAGAAAUAAUUUACAAAAUUACAAUAAUCAUGACCAAAAGCAUAUAAGCUAAUUGUUUUACAUAUAAUGAUCUCCUUUUUUGAGGGUCAAUUUUAGAAGAAAAAGCCAACGAAGAUUAUCAGAAAAGUCCCAUACCACAAGUAUUUGUUGUCAUAUUUUGAUUUGAGCACCACACAUCUUGGUAAUGCCAUUUCCUCUCUAAUCACUUCUAUUGCUUCUCACUUCUCACUGCACUUUUCUUCUCCUAACUCAACCUUAUUUAUAAUGGGAAAAAAUUCUAUUUAAAUGUAAGAGCAAGGAAUUUAAAUUAUGUUCAAUGGAGCGCUCAUAAAGCAAGACGCCCAUCAUUAAUUUGGUAGGGAGCUUGUAUUAAAAUACUGAUUUAGUGGUCUGCACUUCUCAUCAGUAAACAUGAACCAAUGAAUAUCGGUUCAUUGCCUUGGAAGCGUGCUUAAGAUCACAAUUACCAUUACAGGCAAUGAUACUCCAAUGAUGUAACUUUCUGGACACCCCACCCAAACAUUCUCAUAUCUAGUUCUUGGUAUGAUCUCCACUUGCAUUUUGAUGUAAAUGCAAGUGGACAGGGCAGUUGUAUGUCAACAUUGAUAGGGGCCUAAGCAUACCCGAACAGUACUUUUGGUCAAGGCUAGUCCUGCUUCUCUUUCAAAUCCGGGUUAUUCUCUUAGUCUGAGUUGAGAAAAAAACUAGAUGAGGAAGAGAUCUAUUUUUGUGAUUUUAUGACAAAUUUGAAGAUAAAAUAUGUGAUCCAAUUUUAUCCCAAAUUGAAUUAAUAAAAAAUUAAAUUUAAAUGUAAAACCAUAAUUCACAUUAUAGAAUCACUUUCAUAUUUUCAUUUCCAUUUCCAUUCCCGUCUAUAAAUACACAAUCCAAAAUAAGUAGACAUGGAACUUAAUGUGAACUACUAAUCCUCAUGAAAAAUAAGGUUAAUUUAAUUUCAUAAGAAAAGUCUAUCUUGCUAUUUUUCGUGGGAUUGGGAAAAGAUGAAUUGAUUUGCAGCAAGCCAAAUAAAAUUGAUUUUUCAAAAUUUUAAAUUUUAUUUGAUCUAUUUAAGAAAAAAUUAAAAAUUUCAAUCUAAUAUAAGAAUGAAUAUAUAUUUGUGUGUCAAUCCACUAUGACACUCGCCAAGAAAAAGUUCAACAUAAGUUCCAAAAGGGAAGAAUUUACAAAAUUAUUACAAUCAUGGUGAAAAGCAUAGGCUAAUUUUGUUACGUACAAUGUUCUUCUUUUUUGAGGGUCCAUUUUGGCAGAAUACAUAUGUCAAUUAUUUAGAAAAAUAAAAAGCCAAAUAAAAAGCCAGCAAAAAUUACGAUAAAAAUACCAAAAUUUUGGCAGUAUAUAUAUGUCAAUUAUUUAGAAAAAUCAAUGGCCAAUAUUUUCAAACAAAAACAUUGCUAUAAAUGGGUGUUUUUCUGAUCGAUUUUAGCCAAUUAAUUAAGGAGUUCAAAUUUUAUUUUUUAAACACUUUUUAUUAUACCAUCUUUAAUCCUUAAAGUGAGUCCCUAGCUAGACACUCAAUUCACAAGUUAAAUUAUUACUUGCAAUCAACAACUCCAUGCUUGGGGUGAACACCACACAGUAUUGGAAUUCAAGCGUGAAGGUUUAUGUAGGUUCUAAUCGGUAUAAGACUCUAAGAAGUAGGUUCAUCCAUAUCAAGUAAUUCUAAAUAUAUCCCUUUCAUAUUUAGUGAAUCCAUGGUUUUUUUUUUUUUUUUUACACCUAUGAAGUUUCUGAAAAACUCCAUAGGUGAUUUUUUCCUCAUACAUCUCGUAUUCUUGUAUGAAAUUCACCAACAUUUAAUUAUUAUUGAUAUAACUUUUAGCAACCCACCUAAAAGGGGUUUCUAGGAGAUAAUGAGCCACUGUAGGUUGAGAUCUAAUGGAAUCACCAUCUUAAUAGAUAACUAUAGAGUAUGAAAAGAAUAGAAGAUAACUAAGUGAUGUUGAUAAAAUAAAAACUUGAUGAAACGAUAGUGGAAAUGGAGGUUUACAAGAAAAGUAACAUAGCAGAGAGGAACUUAAUUGAAGUUAAGAUAUACAUAAAUUAAGAAAUGGGCUAUAUGUCCCAUAGGUAUAGUAAGAAAAACCAUUCAAAGGUGCCUAGUGACUUCCUCUCCAAAGAUGACACUACAUUUUGAAGAGGCAUACAAAAAUCCUUACCUAAAAAAUAUUAAAAUCUACAAGGUAAACAUAAAGUCCAUUGCCAUUACGUGUAUAAGUGUUAGGAUGAUUAAUCUAAGAUAAAACAAUUUUAAAACAUGUCAUACAAUAAUUUUGGUGUAUAUAUAGAAACUAGUAUGACAUAAUCAUAACAAUAUUUAAAGAAGUGUAAUGUAAAACAUGCAAUCAUAAGUUUGGACAUAUAUCCAUGAUCAAUUCAUUGACUAUAAAUAAACUUACUAGCCAUGACUACCACACACCACCACAUUCUUUAGGGUUUCACUAUCUUCAAUCACAAUACCAAGUAACUCAUCUUCUUAUCAUCCUAUUAGGGGCAGAACAAAGCAUACUCUGCCACUUUGGGCUCUACCCCCUAACAUGACAUCAAAAUUCAUGGUUUCACUAUAUAAUCCCCAUCUUGCUAUAUAAGUGGUAUGGAAUUCUGAAACAAAAUUGUACAAAACACUUCUUAGGUGUAUGUGUUAUCAUGCCCAUCGUACAUCAAUGCUCCAAAGACCAAUGGUUGUUUUAGGUUAUGAUAGGGUAUGUAAUUUCAUCAAUUAUAAAUAUAAGUUAUUAAAUAAUUAAUUCAAGAUGAAACAUAAUUUAUUUUUGUAAACUCAAUAUAAAUAAUGUAUCUUUUUGACCAAAAAAUAAUACAACAUAUAUCUCAUGUCAUUAGUAACACUAAGCAACAUAUGCAAGACAUAUCUAUUUUAAGAAAAAUUAGUAAAAUCAUUCAUAUCAUAACUACUCAAAAAUCCUAAAGCAAUUAAAACUAUAGCAAAGCUCACAGUAUGACUCCACAAACUCUAGGUUCUCAUUUGAUAAAAUAAAUUUUAAAUGGAUUAAAAAGAUUUGGAAAUUUCAUAAAAAUGGGAACUAAGAUUCUAAAGUCCUACAAGUCUACUCUCACUUAGACAACACCUUAUAUAAAAAGAUAUAAAGUCUUUAAAAAAUAAGAAUCUAGACCAACUAAGUUCAAUUCGAGUGAGAAUCAAGCCAAUAAGCACAUUGAUGAGUGUAGAUACCUUGAAGAUUAAUAAGUCAAAUGAUUAGCAAAAGACCACCAACUAAGCCUCAACAACCUGAUCCAUGUGUUAGCAUCUCAUUGGUGCUUGUGCGAUUCUUUGAAGAUUCUUAAUUUUGUUAUGAGAUUUUUCAAUCAAAUGAAUUCAAUAACAAUCUCACUCCUUAAAAAUUUUGUAACAAAACUUAAGCACAUAUCCGCAACCUUUACUAGCAUGUAUGCAUUGGUCUAAAAAAUUCAAAGCAUAAUUUCCAAUGAUAUCUCCCCCUAUAUAUGUGUGUCUCUACCAAGCACACAUUUUCUCGCUCUAACAUCAACUUCCCUAGUCUAGUAUUUUUCCCAUUUUUUGAGGCAACAUGUCAAAGGCGAAGAUGCAAAACUUUAUGAAAGAGGAUUUGAUGAAACCAAAAAUGUUUUUGAGUAUAGUUGAGAAUUCAUUCAAGGCUUUUAUCACUUUUAGUUUGCCAAUUAUAUUUUCAUCUUUUUUGGAUAGUGGUUGAUGUACAAAGGUUUUAUAGUUGAGAAUUAACUCAAAGCUUCAUCAUAAUAUUUUUAAGGAGUUAUAUAACCUCAUAUAUUCAAGGAUGUACUCUUGGUACUUAUCAAAACAAUCUUAAUCAGUCAUGAUAAAAACUCGAUUAAUCCUGGAUUGACUAUUCAAAGUAUGUGCCAUAAAUAUGCCUAUAUUAUAACAAAAAUUAGUGCUUUUGAAGAACUAAUGUUGUUAUAUAAAGCACAAACAUUCAAACUUGGUGUGCAAUUCCUCAUGGUAGUUGAGGACUUACUCAAUCACAAAUAAACUUAGAUUUUUUGAGAUAUUUAAAUUUGAUUAAAACCAAAGGCUUUUAAUUAUGUAUGCCAUUUAAUUUUCAAUAUAAGCAUAUUCUACUUUCAUUAUGUCAUUUUCAACAAGCUCCCUAAUAUAGUGAAACUGAAUGUUAAUAUGUUUAGUCCUACUAUACUUAGUGAAAUUGAAACAUUUAUUGCACUGGUAUUAUCACACAAGAUGAACAUAGUAUUGCAUUUGAUUCCAAAAUCUUCUAUCAUCUAUUUAAUCCAAUUCAUUGAGUACAAGAACUACCUAUACUAUUCAGCUUUCGUAGCUAGUGGAUAAGAGGAUAUAAUUGUCUUUUUCUCAUCCAAGUAACAAAGUUUCUCCCAAUGUAAAAUCAACCUCUUGUAGUGUCGUAUAAUACAAGAAACCUAGAGUAAUAUUGUUAGUAUACCAUAACCCUAAAUUGUAAGAUCCAGCAAAAUAUUUGAUGAUCAUUUUUACUAUUGCUAGACGAGAUUUUUUUGGGCUUGAUUGGUAGCACAAAAACCUACACUACGUGCCAUGUCUAGCCUACUAGAUGUAAGAUACAAGAGACGCCCAAUCAUCCUUCUGAAUGAUGUAGAUCGAUCAAUUUCCUUACUUUUUUUCAUCCUAUGAAAGCUUAACACUUGUUCCCAAUAAGGUCGUCUCAUGUUUAGAUGAUUCCAAGCCAAACUCUUUACUAACCCUAUAGCAUACUUGACUUCCAAGAAAGAAAGAUGACUUUUUCAUUGUGCUCAUGUCAAAUCUUGAGCUCAUUUCCUCAAUAAAUUCAUGUGCUUCAUCAGUUAAUGUGAAACUAAAUAUGAUGUCAUUGACAUUUACUGGGCUACUGCAAAGACACCAUCCUUUCUCCUUAGAAACAAAGUCCUAUGAAAUCUAUAUAUGUCAAAUAACACUUUUCUUUAUAAAAUGGUUAAAAAAAAUGUUUUUAAUGAAAGUAGCGGAUGAAGAGUACACGAGAAAGAAUAUUUUCGUUUUAUGGUAAAAUUUUAUUAGGAUAAAAAGAGUUCUUUUAUUGUGUAAUUUUUUUUUGGAAGAAUUCAGAAUAAAAUAUAAAAAAAAAAUUACUAAGAAAAAGGGUAAUAUUAAAACUAAAAUUUCAUAUAAUAUUAAAAAUAAGGGACCAUGUUUUGCUACAAGUGCAAUAUAUAUAUCUAAUUUUUCAGAUUUCAAUUACUAAUGAGUAAUGAGAACAAAAAAAAAAAAAAAUCCUAAAUUUUAUAACUACAAAGAUAUGCAUGUUAAUUAAAUUGAAUUAAAAUUAAAAUAUAAAAUUGAAUUUUAUAAUUAUAUAACAAGAUGUGAAAACAAAUAAAAUAUUUGAAAGUAUGUGAAACAACAUAUUUUUAUGAAAUGGCAAAAGAACAAAAUCUUUUUUUCAUAAAGAUAUGAAAGUCCCCUAUAUUUCCCAAAAAGAGACAUUAAUUGAAGAAGGUGGCAUCUGGUGCGCCCAUUCAAAGGCUCGUAAAUGCUGCUUUGUCUCUUGUAUAGGCUCUUUUGUAUACGGUUUGUGAUAAAAGCCUGCUGGGCAUUUACAACCCAUCUCUGUUGGCCCUGUUCUGUUAGCCUCUUCUCAGCUUUGACCAAAUCCUAGCUUUCACACACACCUGCACCAUUUCUUGCUCCUGCUCGGCAGGGCUGGCGAAAAUGACAACACAUCUCUUGUUUUCAAAUCAAGAGGAGCGCACCUGUUAUAUUUUAUUGAGCUUAAUGUCAUUUGUCAUCCAAAUAAGGGUUUAUAAGAAAAGGAAUUUAUUUUAGUCUACUACAAUGUCAACAACAUCAAAGUCUAGGUGACACGACAAGUACAUUUCUAUAGAAAGAGAAUGAGAAUAGGAAUCUAAAUUACAAUGUUAACAAUGUAAUUUAAGUCUAGGUGACACGAUAAGUAUAUUUUUAUCGAAUGAGAAUGGGAAAGAGAAUCUAAGUUUACAAUAUAAACAACGUCUGAGUCUAUACAUCGAAUGAGAACCUGAUCUGAUAAAUCAUGGGUCUAUAAUUCAGCCCUCCUGACAAGCAACUCUAUAUUGACUGAGUGUCCAAUCCAACAUAGCUACAUUAAGGUGUAUGGGGUCAAAAUUAGAAGUCCAUGAAAGAGACACGUCACAAUUAAGUCAUUAAACUCAAAAUCACAUAAAAUAUAUAAAGUAAUGUUUCUCCUCCAUUCAGAGGCAUUUCUAAGAUCUGGAAAUGGGGUGGCAUAGUCUAGAUGAGAUGUAAGUAUAUUAAGUACCAAGAUAUUAAAACUAAAAAAAAGUGAAAAAGCUACGCAAUACCCACAUAAUAUUUAUUUCAUCAAUACUUAGAAAACACAAACUCAAGUAGCACAGUACAUGAUGAUAAGUUACAUAAAAGAAACAUCUUUCUUUAAGUCGCUCACCGAUCAUGCAUAACACUAAGUAGUCCCAAAAGUAAAGGCAAGCACAAUUUUAUUAUCCUUCAUAAUACUAUUAGGCAAGGAAGGGGGAUUCGACCAAUGCAACAAGUCCUAGAAGCAUGACUUAGCAUUUCACAUCACAGAUUUUCUUCUUUGGUCUCGUACUUGACGUUGAAGCAGUUCACGCCAACGUAAACACCAUCAUCCAUAUUGUCAACAACAAUUUUCCCGUCUGUCAAAGUGUCGCGCUGAGUGUAGGAGAAAGGGACGUCGCAAGAACCCUUGGUUCCUAUCAUGCUCACGGUCACCCUAGUCAUCGCCGGCACUGUAACAUUGUACAUAGUCUCCAUUGCAGUAGUGACUGAUUCAGUUUCUCCCCACUCAUAUGCACCGCUAAACUCGGACGAAAUUUCUAACUUUCCGUUGGCGAUGAAUGGAACGCCGCUUUCCAUGGUGAUUUUGACACCCAACUUCAAUGAGACGCUGCCCUUCCAAGUACUGCUCUUAGUCUCCGUAUACGAGAGCUUCACCUGUUGAGUGUGCGGUUCAUGGGUCCUGUUAAUGGCUUCCGCGGUGGUCAUCACGAUGACGCUCUGGUCGUAGAUCCUAGCGUCCAUGAGGCGAAAAUUGACAUUAUAGAUGUUUCUUGAUAAAACAAGCUCUGCCACCUCCAGGCGUGCCUCUCUGGAAAUUGUGGAGACCGCGGCAUUGAGACAGCUGGUCUUGCCCUCGGUGGUGAGUCUCUUACAGAAAUUGUUGUUACCUAAGUUGCGGAGAGCGACCACAUUGUUGUCAACUCUAACAGGCCAAAACAAGGUAUCGGAGUUGUUGGUGGUGGAAUCAUCGGAGUCAGCCCAUAUCCAGUUAGGGCUGCGCCUCCAGAAUCUGCCGAAGUAAUCUGACUUUAUGCGGACGCUUCCAUCGUGAGUGGUGAAGACCUCGUUCCCCACCGUCGGGUCUCCAAUGUCACUUGAUGCGAACUCCAGAUAUGGGUGUCCCUCGAUCUUCCGGGCACUGAGGUAGUGGCCAUUAUCGCCCUUGAAGGCGAUAUGUUUUGGCAAUAUCAAUAGUGAUUCCCAAUCAAUGAUUGUACAGACAUCGCAGAGGUCGUUGUCAGCCGAAGUUGAUCCUGCAAACAAACAGGAACCAUAAGGAGGUGGAAGCCUCCAUAAGCAUGCAUAGUGUCCGAGCUGGACGUGGCGAAAUCGGAGUGUUUGAGCAUCGCCAUCUACGUGCACAGGCUCGAACAAGGUGCAUGACCAUGACGAUUGGUCUUCAUCUGGUUCGUCCGCCCCGGCAACAAUCCACCAGUGGUUCUUGGACCACCUUACCCAGUAUUUGUUGUUGUAGCAGCAUCUUAUGUGCACUAGUCCCCCGCCAUUCUUUGCCCUCUCCACUUGGUACUUUGAGUAGGGUGUCACGACCUCCUCUCCCGAGAAUUGGAGAAAUCCAUGAAUUUGCACAUCUUCAUGGAUGUACCGCAAGUACUUGUUGUUAUAUUUUGAUUUGAGCACCACAUACCUUGGUAAUGCCAUUUCCUCUUUAAUCACUUCUCACUGCACUUUUCUUCCCUUCACUCGGCCUUAUUUAUAAGGGAAAAAACUAUACUUAGAUGUGAAACCAUAUUUCACAUCGUAGACUUUCAUUUGCAUUCCCAUUCUGAUUUGGUAGAUAAAUUUAAGAUGCUAUUUAUUCCUCUGGGUCCCGCAACUUUCAUUGAAUAUCAUUAAUAGCAAGACUAAAACCACAUGUCAAAUUGUAGACUUUUACUCGUAUUCUCAUUUACAUUCCCGUUCUCAUUUGGUAGAUACAAAUAAAUUUAAGAUGCUAUACAUUUCUGUGUCCCACAACUUUUAUUGAAUAUCAUUGAUAGCAAGACUUAAACCACAUGUCAAGUUGUAAACUUUGAUUUGUAUUCUCAUUUGCAUUCUUGUUCUCAUUUGGUAGAUAAAGAAAUUUAAGAUCCUAUAUAUUUAUGUGUCCCACAACUUUUAUUGAAUAUCAUUAAUAGCAAGACUAGAACCACGUCAAAUUAUAGACUUUGAUUCGUAUUCUCAAUUGCAUUACCAUUCUCAUUUGGUAAAUGUAUAUACCAAUAAAUCAAGACAUCCUUUCUUUCCAUUGCAUGCUUAGUGUGGAUAAGAAAGACUCCCAUAAAACAAAUAAUGUAUAUAUGACAUAAAAAUAAAACUAUGCAUUAAACAUAAAACAUUUUAGUGGUAAAAAUAGUAAAUUGGAUUGCAAAUAGUGAGAUUUCAUUAAUAAUCAUAUAACCUAUAAAGACACGUUGAUGGUAGAAGUUAGGUUUUUUGGGUCUCCUAUAAAUAAUUUCACAUGACAUCUAUUAUUAAUACACACUUCUAUAACACUCUCACUAGCCAUUUAACAAUCGUCGAUAGUCUAUAACUCAUACAUUGACUACCAUAAUUUUUUUUUGCUUUCCAUUAUUUUAUUUUUCUCUUCAGUAUAAUAUUUAUAAUAUGAUAAUAUUGAUUAUUUAGAUUUUGUGAGAAAUAAGAAGAUAAAUACAUGAUCUAGUUUUAUUCCUAAUUGAAUAAACCAAAAACUAAAUUUAAAUAUAUAUAAAACCAUGUUUCACAUUGUGGAUUUAGAUUCACAUUCCCAUUUGCAUUCUCAUUCUUAUUUGGUGGAUAGCAAUGAUAUAAUAUAUUAUUUCUUCCAUUAUAUAUGUCUCUCAAUAUGAAUUAAACUACAAGACAUCAUUUCUUUCUAUAUCACAUGCUUGGCUAAUGAUAAGAAAGACUUUGACAUAACAAGUAAUAUGAAUGCGUGAAAUGUAAAAGAUUUAAUGGAGAAAAGGAUAAGAGUGAACAUAAGUGGUAAGUGGUGGGAUUUCCUUAAUCAUUAAUAAUUAAUAAUGAUAGAAGUUAGGUUUGUCAAGUCUUCCUUUGUAAAUAAUUAUUAUUUUACUAGAAUUUAUAAAUACACAAAAAAAAAUAGUAGUAGAUGUGAAUCUCAUGUAAAAAGCUAAUCUUGAGUGAUAAAUGGUGUUAACCCUUAUGAGAAGAGUCGUCUUUAAUUCUAAUUUUUGUGGGAUUGGAAACAUGACUCGGAUUGGAUCAAACAAAUGAAAUUGAUUUUUCAAAAUUUUAUAUUUUAUUGCAUCAAUAAAUAUCUUAAUCUAAUAUAUAAUUUAUCAACCUUUUAAAUUAUGAAAACAAAAUUGACUUAAUAUAUAUAAUUUUUAAACUUGUGUUUCAAUACCCAAUCACUGGUCAUUAAAAAGUCAUCAAUUUCAAAUAUUCUAUAACUCAUACAUGGACUUCUAAAUUUUAUUUUUUCAACUGACUUUAUUUUCUCUUAAGUAUAAUUGUCAAAACUAGAUAAUAUUGAUUAUUUAGAUUUUAUGACAAAUUUGAAGAUAAAAUAUACAAUCCAACUUGUUCCAAAUUGAACUAACCAAAAAUUAAAUUUAAAUGUAAAACCAAAAUUUACUUUAUAGACUAAGAUUUGCAUUCCCAUUUGAAUUCUCAUUCUUAUUUUGUGAAUACUAAUAAAUUAAAAACACUAUUUCUUUCUAUAUGCAUGCCUCACAACAUUUAUUGGAUAUCACUAACAGCAAGACUAAAACAAGGCUUCACAUUCUAUACUUCGAUUCUCUUUUCCAUUUGCAGCUCCAUUCUCAUUUGGGGGAUACCAAUAAAUCUAAAACAUAAUUUCUCUUUAUAUAUCUCACAAAAUUUAUUAGAUAUUAGUAAAUGUGUGACGUCAUAUUUCUUUUUAUCACAUGCUUGGUAAAGAUAAGGACUCACAAAACAUAUAACAUUGAGGGGUGAAAAUGGUUAAGCGAUUUGUAAGCAGUGAGAUUUGAUUAAUACUUAUAUAACCUACAAAGACAUGUUGAUGGUAGAAGUUAGGUUUGUUGGAUCUCCUUUUGUAAAGAAUUAUUAUUUUACAUGACAUAUUAAUACUCACUCCAAAAAUAAGUGGACGUAGAACAUCAUAUGAAAUAAUAAUGAUGGAUGAUGAAUAAAGUUAAUUUCCAAAAGAAGAGUCUCUCUGACGAUUUUGAGUGGGAUUGGGAAAAGAUAGAUUAAUUUGGACCAAGAAAAUCAAUUUGACUUUUAAAAAUUUUAAAUUUUGUCGGAUUUAUUUAAAAAGAAGCUAAAAUUUUCAAUCUAAUAUAUGAAUAAUCAACAUGUUAAAUGGUUGAAAACUGAAUUCACUAGGAUAUAUCUAGAAUUUUUAAAUUUGUGUGUCAAUCUACUAUGACAUCUCACCAGUUAUCAAAUAAGCAUCAAUGAGCAUAAUAUGAUAAUAUCGAUUAUUAAGAUUUUAUGAAAAAUAUGAAGAUAAAAUACAUGAUCUAGGUCCAUUCUUAAUUGAAUUAAUCAAAAAUUAAAUUUAAAUGUAAAACCAUGUUUCACAUGGUAGACUUAGAUUUACAUUCCCAUUCCCAUUUGCAUUCUCAUUCUCAUUCUCGUUUGGUAGGUACCAAUAAUAUAAGAUAUUAUAUUUCCUUUAUAUGUAUAUGUCUCACAACAUUUAUCAAACUACAAGACAUCCUUUCUUUCUACAUCACAUGUUUGGAUAAGGAUAGGAAAGACCUUGACAUAGUAAGUCACAUAUUUAGCAUAAAAAUAAAUUUGAAAUCAUGAAAGGUAAAGUAUUCAAUGAAGAAAAUGGUAGAGUGGACUACAAGUGGUGGGAUUUUCAUUAAUAGUUAAAUAACUUAUAGAGACAUGUUCAUGGUAGAAGUUAGAUUUGUCAGUCUCACUCUUUAAAUAAUUAUUGGAUGUGACAUCUAUAAAUACACACAAAAAAAGAAGUAGAUGUAGAAUCUGAAGUAAAAACUAAUCCUAAGUUAUGAAUGAGGUUAACUCCUAUGAGAAGAGUUUUUAAUAUUAAUUUUUAUGGUGUUGAAAAAAUGAAUAGAUCACAAUCAUCCAUUCCUAAUAAUUCAUAACCCUUAUAUUGAUUCCUAUAUUUUAUAUUUUUAGUUGAUUUUAUUUUUUCUCUUAAGCAUAAUUGUCACAGCAUAGUACUAUUGAUUAUUUGGAUUUUAUGACAAAUUUGAACAAGAAGUAUAUGAUCCAACUUUUUGAAAACUUGAAUUAACCAAAAAUUAUAUUUAACUUAAAACGGUAACUCACAUAAUAAACUAAGAUUUGCAUCCUCACUUGCAUUCGCAUUCUCAUUUAGAGGAUACCAAUAAAUAAAAGACAUCAUUUCUUUCCAUGUCUUACAACAUUUAAAAACUAUGUUGCACAUUUUAAACUUAAAUUCAUAUUCACAUUCCCAUUUCUGCUCUCAUUUGGUGGAUACAAACACUUACAAGACGUGAUUUCUCUCUAUUUGACUCACUACAUUUAUUAGAUAUUAGUAAUCGCAAGACUUUCUUCUUCUUUUUUUCUAUCAAGUUCACAAAACAAGUUAUAUAUCACACAUAAAAAUAAAAAAUAAAAAAAUAAAAAAAUAAAAAGUAUUCACUAUAACAUAAAGCAUUGAAUGGUGAAAAUAGUAAAGUAUACUACAAGUAGUGAGAUUUCAUUAAUAAUUUUACAAACUAUGAAGAUAUGUUGUUGGUAGAAGUUAGGUUUGUUGGGUCUCCUUCUAUAAAUAAUUAUUAUUUUACAUGACAUCUACUAAUACCCACUCCAAAAAUAAGUAGACUUAAAACCUAAUGUGAAAUAAUAACCAAAGAUGGUAAAUAAGGUUAAUUUCCAUAAGAAGAGUCUCUCUUAUAAUUUAGUGGGGUUCAAAAAAGAUGAAUUGAUUUGGACAAAGCAAAAUCAAUUUGAUUUUUCAUCAACGUAUAUUUGCACUAAGAGCAUGUCAUUUUCUUUGGUUUUUAUGAAAAGAGUUGUGUCUAUUUUUCCCAUUUUAAAACCCUCUUUCAAAAGAAAUUUACUCAAUCUUUCAUACCAUGCUCUAGGUGCUUGUUUCAAACCAUAAAAUGCCUUUUUAAGUUUAAAAACAUGAUUAGGAAGGUUAAAACUUUGAAAAUCGGGCGGUUGUUCUGUUGGGCUUUGUGGAGCCUAGUUUUGUUUGAUCCGGUUUGGCGACCUGACCCAAAUAAUAUUGCAUGACUUUUUAAUGGGAGAUUCACUAAGGCUUGUUGGGCCCGUUUAGCCCAUUGUGGAACCACCUUUUGUAAUUAGGGUUUUUAAGUGUAGUGUGGUUGCCAUGUUAUAUAUAGAGAGAAAAUAUUGUAGCCGCUGUGGUGGUACUCUAUAUUUUUCCCUGAUAAUAGUGAUAUCCCUACAACUCCGUGGACGUAGGCAAAUUGCCGAACCAUGUAAAUAUUGUCUUGUGCAUGUGAUUGUUUUUCUUUGGCGUGUGUUUUCUCUAAUUUUUGUUUCUCACGGGUUGGGAAUUCGGUUUAAUUCCCUACAACUGGUAUUAGAGCCUAGGGUUAGGUUUGAGUGGGAGCAAUGGAAAAAGAAGCAGGAAAGGCAUCUGGAAUAGAAAAGUUUGAUGGCACAGACUUUGCGUAUUGGAAGAUGCAGAUUGAAGAUUAUCUCUAUGGGAGGAAAUUGCAUCUACCUCUUUUGGGGACAAAACCUGAGAGUAUGAAGGCUGAGGAAUGGGCGCUUCUUGACAGACAGGUUCUAGGAGUUAUUAGGUUAACUCUGUCUAGGUCUGUUGCACACAAUGUUGUAAAGGAGAAGACCACAGCAGAUCUAAUGAAGGCUUUGUCCAGUAUGUAUGAAAAGUUGUCCUCAAACAAUAAGGUGCAUCUGAUAAAGAAAUUGUUCAAUUUGAAGAUGGCAAAGAAUGCAUAAAUAGCACAACAUCUGAAUGAAUUUAAUACAAUCACAAAUCAAUUAUCGUUUGUAGAAAUUGAUUUUGAUGAUGAGAUUCGUGCUCUAAUCGUCUUGGCUUCUUUGCUAAACAGUUGGGAGGCAAUGAGGAUGACAAUAAGCAAUUCUACAGGAAAGGAAAAGCUCAAAUACAAUGAUAUACAAGAUUUAAUUCUGGCUGAGGAGAUUCACCGAAGAGAUGCAGGCGAAACCUCAGGAUCUAGUUUUGCCCUAAACCUUGAGACAAGAGGCAGAGGUAAUGACAAAAAUUCAAACCAGGGUAGAUCAAAAUCUAGAAAUUCUAAUCGGAACAGAAGCAAAUCUAGAUCAAGCCAACAAGUACAAUGUUGGAACUGUGGGAAAACAGGUCACUUUAAAAGGCAAUGCAAAAUCCCUAAGAAGAAGAAUGAAGAUGAUUCUACUAAUGUUGUAACAGAAGAGGUACAACAUGCAUUACUUCUUGUAGUAGACAGUCCACUCGAUGAUUGGGUUUUGGAUUCAGGAGCUUCGUUUUAUACCAUUCCACACCGAGAAAUCAUACAGAAUUAUGUUGCAGGUGAUUUUGGUAAGGUGUAUUUGGCUGAUGGUUCAGCCUUGGAUGUUGUGGGUCUGGGAGACGUCCGAAUAUCGUUACCCAAUGGGUCUGUUUGGUUACUGGAGAAGUUCGACAUAUUCCUGACCUAAGGAGGAAUCUGAUUUAUGUUGGACAACUUGAUGAUGAAGGACAUGCAAUACUAUUUGUUGGUGGUACUCGGAAGGUUACAAAGGGAACUAGGGUAUUGGCUCGUGGAAAAAAGACCGGUACACUGUAUAUGACCUCAUGUCCAAGAGACACAAUUGCAGUUGCUGAUGCAAGUACUGAUACAAGCCUAUGGCACCGUAGACUUGGUCACAUGAGUGAGAAAGGGAUGAAGAUAUUGUUAUCAAAAGGGAAACUACCAGAAUUGAAGUCCAUUGAUUUUGACAUGUGUGAAAGUUGCAUCUUAGGAAAACAAAAAAAAAGUGAGCUUCUUGAAAACUGGCAGGACACCGAAGGCUGAAAAAUUGGAACUAGUACACACUGAUUUGUGGGGGCCUUCUCUGGUUGCAUCCCUUGGUGGUUCAAGGUACUACAUCACUUUUAUUGAUGACUCAAGCAAAAAGGUAUGGGUUUAUUUUCUGAAAAAUAAAUUUGAUGUAUUUAAAGCUUUUAAGAAGUGGAAGGUCAUGGUUGAGACAGAAACAGAUUUGAAAGUAAAAUGUUUGAGGUCAGAUAAUGGAGGAGAGUACAUAGAUGGAGGGUUUAGUGAGUAUUGCGUUGCACAGGGAAUUAGAAUGGAGAAGACCAUUCCUGGGACACCACAGCAGAAUGGUGUGGUUGAGCGCAUGAACAGAACUCUCAAUGAGCGUGCUAGAAGAUGAGGUUGUAUGUUGGACUACCAAAAACUUUUUGGGCUGAUGCUGUUAGCAUUGCAGCUUACCUGAUAAACCGAGGACCAUCAGUUCCUAUGGAAUUCAGACUUCCUGAGGAGGUUUAGAGCGGUAAAGAGGUGAAGUUUUCACAUUUAAAAGUUUUUUGUUGUAUUUUUUAUGUUCAUAUUGAUUUUGAUGCUCGUAGUAAACUUGAUGCAAAGUCAAAAAUAUGUUUUUUCAUUGGCUAUGGUGAUGAGAAAUUUGGCUAUAGGUUUUGGGAUGAACAAAACAGGAAAAUCAUCAGAAGUAGAAAUGUGAUAUUUAAUGAACAGGUUAUGUACAAUGACAGGUCAACUGUAGUGUCAGAUGUUACAGAGAUAGAUCAAAAGAAAUCUGAGUUUGUCAACUUAGAUGAAUUGAUUGAAAGUAUUGUCCAAAAAGGGAGUGAAGAAGAUAAGGAGAAUGUAAAUUCACAAGUAGAUCAAAGUACACCUGUAGCUGAAGUUCGCAGAUCUUCCAGGAACAUUAGACCUUCACAGCGUUAUUCACCUGUUUUAAAUUAUCUCCUGUUGACUGAUGGUGGUGAGCCAGAGUGUUAUGAUGAGCCUUGUAAGAUGAGAAUUCAAGCAAGUGGGAGUUAAUCAUGAAGGAUGAGAUGGAUUCCUUGUUGGGGAAUCAAAUAUGGGAACUGACUGAAUUGCCAGUAGGAAAGAAGGCUUUGCACAACAAGUGGGUAUACAAAAUAAAGAAUGAGCAUGAUGGUAGCAAACGUUACAAGGCCAGAUUAGUUGUUAAAGGGUUCCAACAGAAGGAGGGCAUUGACUACACAGAGAUAUUUUCUCCAGUUGUGAAGAUGUCAACAAUUAGACUUGUACUUGGAAUGGUGGCUGCAGAAAACUUACAUCUUGAGCAGUUAGAUGUGAAGACAACAUUCUUUCAUGGUGACUUGGAGGAAGACCUUUACAUGAUUCAACCAGAAGGGUUCAUUGUUCAUGGACAAGAGAAUCUAGUCUGCAAACUGAAAAAGAGCUUGUAUGGCCUUAAACAAGCUCCUAGACAAUGGUACAAGAAGUUUGACAAUUUUAUGCAUAGAAUUGGGUUCAAGAGAUGUGAAGCUGAUCAAUGUUGCUAUGUUAAGUCCUUUGACAAUUCUUACAUCAUAUUACUAUUGUAUGUGGAUGAUUUUCUUAUUGCAGGGUCUGACAUUGAAAAGAUUAAUAAUCUGAAGAAGCAAUUGUCCAAACAGUUUGCAAUGAAGGAUUUGGGAGCUGCAAAGCAAAUCCUUGAUAUGAGAAUCAUUAGAGACAAGGCUAAUGGUACAUUGAAGCUUUCACAGUCAGAGUAUGUGAAGAAAGUUCUUAGCAGGUUCAACAUGAAUGAAGCUAAACCAGUGAGCACACCCUUGGGUAGUCAUUUCAAACUAAGCAAAGAACAGUCACCGAAGACAGAAAAAGAAAGGGACCAUAUGAGCAAGGUGCCCUAUGCCUCAGCUAUUGGCAGCUUGAUGUAUGCUAUGGUGUGUACAAGGCCAGACAUUGCACAUGCAGUGGGAAUUGUGAGUAGAUUCAUGAGUAGGCCUGGAAAGCAGCAUUGGGAGGCAGUCAAGUGGAUUCUAAGAUAUCUGAAGGGUUCAUUAGAUACAUGUCUUUGCUUCACAGGUGCAAGUUUGAAACUGUAGGGUUAUGUAAAUGCUGAUUUUGCUGGUGAUAUUGAUAGUAGAAAGAGUACUACUGGGUUUGUUUUUACUCUAGGUGGUACAACUAUAUCAUAGGCUUCAAAUCUACAGAAGAUUAAUUGUUACUUUGUCUACUACAGAAGCUGAAUAUGUUGCAGCAACUGAAGUUGGAAAGGAGAUGAUUUGGCUACAUGGUUUCUUAGAUGAAUUAGGUAAGAAGCAGGAGAUGGGCAUUCUACACAGUGAUAGUCAGAGUGCAAUUUUUCUUGCCAAAAAUUCGGCUUUUCAUUCAAAGUCGAAGCAUAUACAAACAAAAUACCACUUUAUCCGUUAUCUUGUUGAAGAUAAACUGGUAAUACUUGACAAGAUUUGUGGAUCUAAGAACCCGGCAGACAUGUUGACUAAGGGUGUCACUAUUGAGAAGUUGAAGUUGUGCGCAGCUUCAAUUGGUCUUCUAGCUUGAGGACAGGAGGAUGAGUUGUAGGGAUGAAGGAUUGUUUCUUGGAUGAUAGCGGUUUGAUGUUGGUGAUUGAACUAAUCUCCAAGUGGGAGAUUUGUUGGGCUUUGUGGAACCUAGUUUUGUUUGAUCCGGUUUGGCAACCUGACCCGAAUAAUAUUGCAUGGCUUUUUAAUGGGAGAUUCACUAAGGCUUGUUGGGCCCGUUUAGCCCAUUGUGGAACCACCUUUUGUAAUUAGGGUUUUUUAGUGUAGUGUGGUUGUUAUGUUAUAUAUAGAGAGAAAAUAUUGUAGCCGCUGUGGUGGUACUCUAUAUUCUUCCCUGAUAAUAGUGAUAUCUCUGCAACUCCGUGGACGUAGGCAAAUUGCCGAACCACGUAAAUACUGUCUUGUGCGUGUGAUUGUUUUUCUUUGGCGUGUGUUUUCUCUAAUUUUUGUUUCUCAUGGGUUGGGAAUUCAGUUUAAUUCCCUACAUGUUCAACUUAUACCUCUUCAUUUAUAAAGCCAUUUAAGAAAGCACUUUUCACAUCCAUUUGAUAUAAAACAAAGUCUUUAAAACAUGCAAAGGCAAUUAGCAUCCUAAUGGCUUCCAAUCUAGCUACGGGAGCAAAGGUUUCUUCAUAAUCUAUCACUUCUUCUUUAUUAAAACCUUGGGCUACCAAUCUUGCUUUAUUCCUUAUAAUUAUGUCAUUUUCAUCCAUUUUAUUUCUAAAGACCUAUCUAGUUCCAAUAACACUUUGAUUUUGAGGUCUUGGCACUAAUUCCCAUACUUCACUCCUUUCAAAUUGAUUUAACUCUUCUUGCAUGGCAAUCAUCCAAUUUUCAUCAAUUAGAGCAUCUUUUAUAGUUUUAGGUUCAAUUUGAGAGAUAAAAGCAAGAUUAUUGCAAAUAUUUCUAAGAGAUGAUCUAGUUCUUACCCCACUAGAUGGAUUACCUAUAAUUUGAUCUUGUAGGUGGUUGAUGACAAACUUCCAAUCUUUAGGGAGGUCUUGGCUUGAUUCACCUUGCACUUGUUGAAGAGGAGGUAGUGCCAAAGGUGAUUCUUCUUUCUUGGGAUCCUCUACAACUUCUUCUUAUUGCCUUCUAUCUUCAAUUUGUAAUUUUCCCAUAGAGGUCUCCAACCCUAAAUCAUCAUCAAAGCUCUCUCUUUCUUGGAGAGAAUUGUUAGAUUCAUAAAAAAUAACAUGGAUGGACUCCUUAACAACCAUGGUUCUUUUGUUAAAAACUCUAAAGGCUUUACUUGAAGUUGAGUAACCAAGAAAAAUUCCAACAUCCGAUUUUGCAUCAAAUUUUCCAAAUUUGUCUUUAGUGUUUAAUAUAAAUCAUUUGCACCCAAAGACUUUGAAAUAGCUAAUGUUGGGUUUCUUGUUUUUCCAAAGCUCAUAGGGAGUUUUCUUAAGAAUAGGCCUUAAUAAAAUUCUAUUUAAAACAUAACAAGAAGUGUUAACCGCUUCAGCCCAAAAGUAUUUUGGUAAAUUGUUUUCAUUUAGUAUGGUUCUAGCCAUUUCUUGAAGAGUUCUAUUUUUCCUUUCAACUACCCCAUUUUGUUGAGGAGUUCUAGGAGCCGAAAAUUUGUGAUUAAUACCAUGCUCAUUGCAAUAGUCUUCAAAAUUAAUAUUUUCAAAUUCUCUCCCAUGAUCACUUCUUAUACAAGUAAUUGUAAAACCUUUUUCAUUUUGAACCUUGUUGCAAAACUUUGAAAACUCAUAAAAGGCUUCAUUCUUUUGACUUAAAAAUAAGACCCAAGUGUAUCUAGAGAAGUCAUCCACAAUAACAAAAGCAUAAGAUUUUCCUCUAAGGCUUGGUGUCCUAGAGGGACCAAAUAAAUCCAUAUGCAACAAUUCAAGAUGCAUAGUUGUUGAAAUGAAAUUUUUGUUUUUAAAAGAGUUUUUGAUUUGCUUUCCCACUUGACAAGCUUCACAAACUUUGUCUUUUUGAAAAUUUAUUUUGGGAAGGCCUCUAACAAGUUCAUCUUUGUUGAGUUGGGAAAUGAGGUCCAUGUUAGCAUGUCUCAACCUCCUAUGCCACAACCAACUUUGAUCAUGCAUGCUUGAAAAGCAUCUAUCAUGGCCAUCAUAUUUUGAAAUAUUUAUUGCAUAAACAUUAUCACAUCUAUGGCCCAUGAAGAUGGUUUUAUCAUUUUGAAUAUCUUUGAUGAUGCAAUGAGAUGCUUCAAAAAUCACUUUAAAACCUUUGUCACAAAGUUUUCUUAUGCUCAAAAGAUUAUGUUUUAAACCAUCCACUAAUAAAACACUUUCAAUAAGAGAGGAUAUGUCAUUACCAAUGUUGCCUUGACCAAUGAUCAUUCCUUUUGAAUUGUCUCCAAAGGUAACGUAUCCUCCCUUUCUCUUUGUAAGGAAAGCAAACUUGGAUUCAUCCCCGGUCAUGUGUCUUGAGCAUCCACUAUCCAAGAACCACUUAUCCUUCUUUGAUCCCUAUAAAAUAAAAUUUAAGCUGAUUUAGGUACCUAUAUCUUUUUGGGUCCUUGAGGGUUAGUGACCUUGGAUUUCUCAACCCAAACCUUUUUAGGUUUAGCAUUUGAAUUCUUUUGAGAACAAUUUCUUAAGGGACAUGUACUACAAAUGUGCCCUCCUCUUCCACAAAAGUUGCAAGUGGUGGAAGGACUUGCACUUGCGGAUUCUUUUACAAAGUAGUUUUUAAAAUACUUUUGAUUUUUUUUUUUAAGAUUUGAAUCCUAGCCCUUGUUUGUCAAAGACACAUUUUUGGCUAGCUAAGAUCAUUUCAAAAUAUUUUUGUCCACAAGAGAAAAUUGAAAGAGAGGAGGUUAACCAUUCAUUUUUCUUUUUCAAAAUCUCAUUUUCUUUUUCAAGAUGAGUUUUAGAUAUUUCAACAAUUGAAAAUCUUUCUUUCACUUCUUCAAGUUCCUUUUCAAGUUCUUGAAUUUUCUUUUUAAGAGAAUUAUUUUUCAAACUAAGUUUUUCAAAAUCCUCAUAUAAUUCUUUAAAAACAUCAUGCAUAUCUUUAUCACUAAAGUUAGAUUUUACCUCAUCAAGAUCAUCUAUUUCCAUAAAGCACAUGUUUGCCACUUCCUUCUCAUUUUCUUCUUCAGAGGAUUCUUCACUUUCACUCCAAGUGGCCAUCAUUGCCUUCUUCAUUCUUCUCUUGGCUUCACUCUUGUAGAGAGGACAAUCAUAUUUAAUGUGUCCCGAUUUUUUGCACUUGAACCAUAUCAAAUCUCUUUUCUCUUCCCAUUUCUCCUUGUCACCAUGGGAUGAAGAUUCCUUUUUAGAAGGAUCCCUUCCAAAGGUGAAUUUCCUUCCUCUAAACCUUUCACUUCUCAUGUAUUUGUUGAGCUCUCUUGUGAUGAGGGCUAAAUCAUCAUCUUCAUCACUUGGCUUUUCUUCUUCAAAAUCUUCUUCUUCCUUGGUUGUAGCUUUGAGGGUUAUACUCUUCUUCUUUUUGUCUUCACCCUCUUGUAGCUUCUUUGUCAAAUUGAUCUCAUAUGUCAUUAAUGACCCUAUGAGCUCUUCUAUAGGUAGCUUAGUCAAGUCUUUUGCUUCUUGAAUUGCGGUGACCUUGGUAUGCCAUUUUGAUGGGAGAGACCUCAAUAUCUUCAUCACCUUCUCGAAUUCCUUGUAGGUUUUUCCCAAAGCUUCAAGACCAUUGACAAUGUCGGUGAACCUAGUAAUCAUCUCAACAAUAGUCUCAGUUUCUUUCAUUGAAAAUAAUUCAUAGUUAUGAACAAGUAAAUUGAUUUUUGACUCUUUCACUUGAUUAGUUCCUUCAUGAGUUAUUUCAAGCAACCUCCAAAUUUCUUUAGCCGAUUUGCAUUGUCAUAUUCUAUUAUAUUCAUUUCUAUCCAUAGCACAUUGCAAAGUAAAACCGGCUUUAGCAUUUAAUUGAAAGUUUCUUCUAUCAAGCUCACUCCAUUCUUGCUUGGGUUUUGGAACCAAAACUCCAUCAACUAGUUUAGUGGAAAAAGUUGGGUCAUCUUCAAUGACAUCCCAUACAUCUAAAUUAGUUGAUUGCAAAUACCAAGUCAUUUUAGUUUUCCAAUAGGAAUAGUCGGUUCCCGUAAAGAAUGAAGCUCUAUGUUUUGAAAAAAUUUCAGCUUGGGAUGAGCUUGAUGGAAUAGCCAUUUCCUCUUAGACGAUUAAGUCUUUAGAAAAAAACAAGAGGUCUAGCUCUGAUACCAAUUGAGAAAACAAAGGCUAUACUUAGUUAAGAAAAACACCCAAAAGGGGGGAGAGGGUGGUGAAUUGGGUUUUUAAAAUCUUUUCAAUCACAACAAAUUCAAACACAAUAUAAGCAAAAUAAAGAGAUAGAGUUUAGAGAAUUCAAACUUAGGUUUAUAGUGGUUCGGCACUUCCUUGCCUACGUCCACUCUCCUCAACCUCCUAAUUGAGUGAGGGUUCCACUAACUUGAAGCUUCAACCAAGCUUCCAAUCUUCUUACACUUAGAUUCUGGCUCCAAUGGGCUCUUACACAAUCUCUUCAAGAUUCAAACCUCUUGAAGGCUUUGACACUCAGAUUUUUAUAAGAAAUGAUCCCUCAACCUAGCUUAAGGAUAGCUCAAAUACAAGACAAAGCUAGGAUGACACACAAGAGUGCACUAAAUGAUAUGCAAGUGGUGAUUUAAUGCACUAUGAAAGAAAUGAGAGCUUUUUUAUCAAGAACAGGUAGGUAGGCUAUUGAAUGCAAGUGUUCUAUUGUAAUAAAUGAAGUGGAGCUCUCAAUUUAUUGGUUUCAAAACUCGGGAGUCAAAAACAGCAAAAGGUAACCUCGUCCGGUCGAGCUAAGGGUCGACCGGUUCACUAGCCAUUGGAGCAUUUAAUGCAUGACAGGUUACCGUUGCCUUAACCGGACCUCGACCGGUCCUCGACCGGACAUCGAUCGGUAAGAGAAUCCCCUCGACCGGGAAGAGAAGGCUACUGGGAAAGAGAGAAACUUUUUGGCCUCCCUCGACCGGUCCUUGACCAGACGAGCACAACCGGUUUACCGGUUCCUUAACCGAUUGAGCUGGUUGGCCAUAGCCUCGACCGAUUGAGCCUUUUUUGCCCCGAAAACCUAUUUUUUUAAUUCCUUUCUUUUCUAACACUUAGGCAAGGUCUUUAGGUAAAUCAUUAAGCCAAUUAUAAAAUAUUUUGCCUAAGGUACAUUACUUAAAAACUCAGGUUUUAAUGAAAUCGACGUUUUAAAUAAUAAACCAAGUUUUCAAAGAUGCAUGAAAUGUGUGAAAAUCCUAAGUGCACUCAUGCAUUCAUCUUACAUUAGUUUCCUAUUAUCACAAGUCUUACAAGCGUCUCGAUCUUGUAUCCAUUUGGUCCUUUGAUGAAUUUUCGAGUUUAUGCCUGAGAUUCUUAACCAUUAAAUAAAUUAGUCACUUAACCAUGGUUUGUUAUCAUCAAAACCCGAUUAGGAGAACCCUUGGGCUAACAAUAGCAAUAUCAUUUCCAGUGUUUAUUAAAUCAUCCACACAUAAAUAAACAAUGAGCAUUUUUCCUCCAUCACCAAUUUUAACAAAAAGUGUAUGCUCACAUUUUUUAAAACCUUUCUUCAAAAAAUAAGCAUCAAUCCUCCUACUAUACCAAGCUUGUGGGGCUUGUUUUAGUCCAUAUAAAGUUUUCUUUAAUUUAUACACUUUAUGCUCAUUUCCAACCUUAAUAUAACCAAGAGGUUGAUUAAUAAAUACCUGUUAAGAAUUGAGCUAUUUUUCCGUUCACAAACUCCGUUUUGUUGAACAUGUAAGUUGCAGUGAGUUGCCUCCUGAUUCUACGAUUCUCACAAAAGUUUGCAAAUUCUUAUGAGAUGUAUUCUCCACCACAGUCUGUACAAAGAACUUUGAUUGGGCUGCCCAUGUCUUUCUCAACUAGCACUUUAUAGGUUUUAAAGGCUGUAAAAGCUUCAUAUUUCUCCUGCAAAAAAUAUACCUAAGUUUUCUGACUAAAAUCAUCAAUGAAGGUAAUUAUGUAUCUUUUACCUCCAUUUGAAGAUGGAUGUAUUGGGCCACAUAGGUCAUAAUGCACCAGCUCCAAUGCCUUCUUUGCUCUCCAUGACUUUCCUUGUGGAAAUUGAUUUUGGUGUUGUUUGCCACUACACAUUCUUCACAAACUUGUUGAGGGAAUUCAAUUUGAGGAAGGCUAGUCACCAUUUUUUUUUUAUUAUAAUGUCUUGAGUCGAAAAUGCCAAAGCCUUGCAACAUCCUCCAUCUUAGUAGAGAAGCAUAAAUUAGUAACACUAUGGAGAUACAAAGGAAACAUACGAUUGGCAGUCAUAUGGACUUGAGCAAUCAGGCCUUUCUUUGAAUCAUGAAUUUUGCUCCAAUGAUUUCUCCUCCUAUGCAUGUGUCUCUCAACCAAGCACACAUUUUCUCCCUCUGAUAUCAACUUCCAUAGUCUUGUAUUUUUGCCCACGUUUUGAGGCAACAUGUCAAAGGCGAAGGUGAAAAACUUUAUGAAAGAGGAUUUGAUGAAAACAAAAAUGUUUUUAUGACUAUAGUUAAGAAUUCACUCAAGGCUUUUAUCAUUUUUAGAUUGUCAAUUAUAUUUUUCAUCUUUUUUGGACAAUGGUUGAUGUACAAAAGGUUUUAUAGUUAAGAAUUAACUCAAAGCUUCAUCAUCGUCUUUUUCAAGGAGUUAUAUAACCUCAUAUAUUCAAGGACAUACUCUUGGUACUUAUCAAAACAAUUAAUCUUAAUCAGUCAUGAUAAAAACUCAAUUAAUCCUAGAUUGACUAUUCAAAAUAUGUGCCAUCAAUAUGCCUUUAUUACAACAAAAAUUAGUGCUUUUGAAAAAUUAAUGUUUUUAUAUAAAGGACAAACAUUCAAACUUGGUGUGCAAUUCCUCGUGACAGUAUCCCAUUUAAUUUUUAGUAUAAACAUAUUCUAUUUUCACUAUGUUAUUUUUAACAAGCUCCCUAAUAUAGUAUAAUCAAAUGUUAAUAUGCUUAGUCCUACUACGCUUAUUGAAAUCGAAGCAAUUAUUGCACUACUAUUAUCACACAAGAUGAACAUAGUAUUGCAUUUGAUUCCAAAAUCUUCUAUCAUCUAUUUAAUCCAAUUUAUUGAGUAUAAGAAUUACCUAUACUAUUCAACUUUUGUAGUAGAUAAGCAAAUAUAAUUCUGCCUUUUUCUCAUCCAUGCAACGAAGUUGCUCCUGACGUAAAAUCAACCUCUUGUAGUACUGUUUUAUAAUACAAGAAACCUAGAGUAAUAUUGUUAGUACACUAUAACCCUAAAUUGUAAGAUCUAGCAAUACAGUUGAUGAUCAUUUUUACUAUUGCGAGACGAGAUUCUUUUGGGCUUGAUUGGUAGCACAAAAACCUACACUACAUGCUAUGUCUAGCCUACUAGAUGUAAGAUACAAGAGAUCUCCAAUCAUGCUUCUAUGUGAUGUAGAUUGAUCAAUCUCCUUACUUUUUUCAUCCUUGGAGAACAUAACACUUGUUCUGACAAAGGUUCUCUCAUGUUUAGCUGAUUCCAAGCCAAACUCUUUACCAACUCUAUAGCAUAAUUGACUUCGAUAUAAAGAUUCCAUUUUUAAUCUGUCUUAUUUGCAGUCCAAGAAAGUAAAAUAACUUUUUCAUUGUGCUCAUUUCCUGAAUAAAUUCAUGUGCUUCAUCAGUUAAUGUGAAACUAAAUUUGAUGUUAUCGACAUAUACUUGGGCUACUACAAGGACACCAUCCUUUCUCCUUACAAACAAAGUCCUAUGAAAUGUAUGUCUUUCUUUAUAAGAUGGUUAAAAAAUAUUUUUAAACUUAUUUUUUACGAUGAAGAAUAAAUUUUAAUGAAAGUAGUAGAUGAAGAGUACAUGAGAAAGAAUUUCGUUUUAUAGUAAAAUUUUAUUAGAAUAAAAGGAGUUUCUUUUAUUGUGUGAAUUUUUUAUUUUUUGAAAGAAUUAAGAAUAAAAUAUAAAUUUUUUUUACUAAGAAAAAGGGUAAUAUUAAGACUAAAAUUUCAUAUAAUUUUAAAAAUAAGGGACCAUGUUUUGCUACAAGUGCAAUAUAUCUAAUUUUUUAGAAUUCAAUUAGUAAUGAGUAAUGAGAACAAAAGAAAAAGGAAUCCUAAAUUUUAUAACUACAAAUUAAGAUAUGCAUAUUAAUUAAAUUGAAUUAAAAUUAAAAUAUAAAAUUGAAUAUUAUAAUUAUAUAAGAAGAUGUGACAACAAAUAAAAUCGUUCUAAUGUGAUAUUUGAAUGUAUGUCAAGCAAGUAGCAACAUAUGUUUAUGAAAUGGCAAAAGAACAAAAUCCCUUUUUAUAAAGAUAUGAAAGUCCCCUAUUUUUCCCAAAACAGACAUUAAUUGAAGAAGAUGGCAUGUGGUGCGCCCAUUCAAAGUGACUGUUAUAUUAAGGGCUCCACAGGCUUGUUAAUGCUGCUUUGUCUCUUGCAUAGGCCCUUUUGUAUACGGUUUGGGAUAAAAGCCUGCUGGGCAUUUACAACCCAUCUUUGUUGGCCUCUUCUCAGCUUUGACCAAAUCCUAGCUUUCACAUGCACACCUGCACCAUUUCUUGUUCCUGCUCUACAGGACCGGCGAAAAUGACAACAUAUCUUGUUUUCAAAAUCAAGAGGAGUGCACCUACUAUAUUUUAUUGAGCUUAAUGUGAUUUGUCAUCAAAAUAAGGGUUUUAAGAAAAGGAACUUAUCUUAGUCUACUACAAUGUGAACAUCUUAGUUUAGAUGACACAAGUAGUACAUUCCUAUCCAACGAGAAUGAGAAUAGGAAUCUAAGUUUUCAAUGUGAAGAAUAUAGUCUAAGUCUAGGUGAUAUGAUAAGUAUAUUUCUAUCCAAUGAGAAUAUUAAAACUUUAAAAAAAAAAUGCUGCACAACACCCACAUAAUAUUUAUUUCAUCAAUACUUAGAAAACACAAACUCGAGUAGCACGAUAAGUUAUAAAAGAAACAUCUUUCUUUAAAGCGCUCUCCAAUCAUGGACAACACUCUCAAGAAGUCCCAAACGUAGAGGCAAACACAAUUUUAUUACCCUUGAUAAUAUUAUUAGGCAAGGGAGGGGGAUUGGACCAAUGCAACUAGUCCUAGAAGCAUCACUUGGCAUUUCACAUCACAGCUUUUCCUCUUUGGUGUGGUACUUGACGUUGAAGCAAUUGACGCCAACGUAAACACCAUCAUCCAUAUUGUAAACAACAUUUUUCCCGUCGGUCAAAGUGUCGUGCUGAGUGUAGGAGAAAGGGACGUCGCACGAACCCUGUGUUGCUAUCAUGCUUACGGUCACCUUAGUCAUCGCCGGCACAGUAACAUUGUACACAGUCUCCAUUGCUGUUGUCACUGAUUCAGUUUCUCCCCACUCAUAUGUACCGCUAAACUCGGAUGAAAUUUCUAACUUUCCGUCAGCGAUGAAUGGAACGCCGCUUUCCAUGGUCAUUUUGACACCCAACUUCAAUGAGACGCUGCCCUUCCAAGUACGGCUCUUAGUCUCUGUAUACGAGAGCUUCACCUGUUGGGUGUGCAGUUCUUGGGUCAUGUUAAUGGCUUCCCCGGUGGUCAUCACGAUGACCCUCUGGUCGUAGGUCCUAGCGUCCAUGAGGCGAAAAUUGACAUUAUAGAUGUUUCUUGAUAAAACAAGCUCUGCCACCUCCAGGCGUGCCUCUCUGGAAAUUGUGGAGACCCCGGCAUUGAGACAGCUGAUCUUGCCCUCGGUGGUGAGUCUCUUACAGAAAUUGUUGUUACCUAAGUUGCGGAGAGCGACCACAUUUUUGUCAACUCUAACGGGCCAAAACAAGGUAUCGGGGUUGUUGGUGGUGGAAUCAUCUGAGUCAGCCCAUAUCCAGUUAGGGCUGCGCCUCCAGAAUCUGCCGAAGUAAUCUGACUUUAUGUGGACACUUCCAUCGUGAGUGGUGAAGACCUCGUUCCCCACCGUCGGGUCUCCAAUGUCACUUGAUGCGAACUCCAGAUAUGGGUGUCCCUCGAUCGUCCGGGCACUGAGGAAGUAGCCAUUAUCACCCUUGAAGGCGAUAUGUUUUGGCAAUAGCAAUAGUGAUUCCCAAUCAAUGAUUGUACAGACAUCGCAGAGGUCGUUGUCAGGCGAAGUUGAUCCUGCAAACAAACAAGAACCAUAAGGAGGUGGAAGCCUCCAUAAGCAUGCAUAGUGUCCAAGCUGGACGUGGCGAAAUUGGAGUGUUUGAGCAUCGCCAUCCACGUAGACAGGCUCAAACAAGGUACAUGACCAUGACGAUUGGUCUUCAUCUGGUUCGUCGGCCCCGGCAACAAUCCACCAGUGGUUCUUGGACCACCUUACCCAGUAUUUGUUGUUGUAGCAGCAUCUUAUGUGCACUAGUCCCUUGCCAUUCUUUGCCAUCUCCACUUGGUACUUUGAGUAGGGGGUCACGACCUCCUCUCCCGAGAAUUGGAGAAAUCCAUG